GAUAUUUGAUUUGGUUUAGAACAAUUUGGAUUUAGUUCGGUGAUUGUGAUAUUUUAACCUAAUUUUACACUGGAUUAUAAGGUUUUGGUUGGAUUUAGUUAGGUGAUUAUGAUUUUGACGAGCUAGUAAAAGAUGGCCGGUGGAUUAUGUGAAUCUAGGUUUAGAAGAUGAGCAUGUUGAUUAUUAUAUUGGUGGAUAGAGAUGAGAGCCACACAAGUGACUCAAGGUGAUGAUGCCACUACUGAAAAUAGCUGAUAAACAAGGCAAGAGAGCUGGAGAGACUGGGGAUAAUGGCAGCAGAUGGACUUUAUCCAGCAUCCCACGUUCCCGUGCAUUCUUUGUUCCCCGUUGAUCUGGCUUGAUGUCCUUGUCCUGUUUGCGGUUUUGUGUCACGCACUUGAUUAAGCAUCCCACGUUCUCCUACUGUGCGCCCUUGGCCUUGACGAUAGGUAUCGCGUGUUCUCGGGCGCGUCCCGUGUAUAAAAUCCAGGUAUGCGCCAAUUGUCCUAGCUCUUGCUCGCCAUUGGUGGUGCUUGAGCGUGCGGUUACGGUGUCGACCAGCAAGGGAACAUGGGAUGUGGGAUCAAGACAGCACACAUAGCAACCCGUCAUCAAGCAACAGACACACAUCCAGAUUUACAAGGAGCGGAGGUGGACACAAAAGUGGAUGUUGAGUUCCAUAGGAGUCUCAAUAGUGUGCUCAUCAAAGCAGCAUGAGUAAGAAGAUCCUAGAUAUACUUCUCUUAGGAAAUAAAGAAGCCAUUAGAGAUAGAAAAAAGCUCAAUCUCCAAGAAAGUAGCGACUUCUUUAGUAAACAUGGAACAAUUUGGAUUUAGUUAGGCGAUUGUGAUCUUGAACAAAUUGCAUGAUGGAUCACGAGAUUUUUCAAUGGAUUUAGAUGAAUGUGAUCUUGAGGAGAUAGUCAAAAAUGUUUUUGGAUUAAUUGAUCUUGAACAAUAUGGAUUUAGUUAGGUGAUUAUGAUAUUGAAUUAUUUUUUUGUGAUUUAUAAGAUUUUAGUUGGAUUUAGUUAGGUGAUUGUGUCUUGUGAUGAUAAUCAGAGAUGUUUGGUGGAUUAUGAGAUUUUAGGUCUAGUAGAUGAGCAUGAUGAUUUAUAUUGGUGGAUAAACAGAUAUUUAAUUUAGUUUGAAACAAUUUGGAUUUAGUUAGGUGAUUGUGAUCUUUUAACCUAAUUUUACGGUGGGUGUUUUGGUUGGUUUUAGUUAGGUGUUUUUGAUUUCGAUGAGUUAGUAAAAUAUGUUCGGUGGAUUAUGUGAAUUUAGGUCUAAUAGGUGAGCAUGUUGAUUAUAUUGGUAAAUAAAUGAAUCUUUAAUAAAUUUGAAACAAUUUGGAUUUAAUUACACGAUUGUGACCUUGAACCAAAUUUUAUUGUGGAUUAUGAGAUUUUUGAUGGAUUAGUUAGUUGAUGGCCAUUUUGAGGAGAUACUCUAAAUAUGUUUGGUGGAUUAAUUAAUCUUGGACAAUUUGAAUUUACUUAGGUGGUCGUGAUAGUAAACCGAAUUUCAUGCUGGAUUAUGAGAUUUUACAUGGAUUUAGUUAGAUGAUUGUGUCUUGAGAAUAUAGUCAAAGAUGUUUGCUUGACUAUGGGAAGAUGAGAAUGGUGAUUUUAUAUUGGUGGAUAAACAUAUCUUUAAUUUAGUUUGGAACAAUUUUGAUUUAGUUAGGUGAUUGUUUUUUUUCAACCAAAUUCAUGAUGGGAUUUUGAGGUUUUGUUGGUUUCAGUUAGAUGACUGUGAUCCUAAAGAGAUAGUCCGAGAUGAUUGAUGAAAUAUGCUAAUUUAGGUCUAGUAAGGGACCACAGUGGUUAUUAUAUUGGUGGAUAAAUGGAUCUUUAGUAACAUGGAGCAAUCUGGAUGUAGUUAGGCAAUUGUGAUCUUGAACAAAUUUCGCGGUGGAUUACGAGAUUUUCAAUGGAUUUAGUUAGUAGAUUGUGAUCUUGGGGAGAUGUCAAAGUUGUUCGGUGGAUUAACUAAUUUUGAACAAUUUGGAUUUAGUUAGGUGAUUGUGAUCUUUUAACCUAAUUUUACGGUGGGUGUUUUGGUUGGUUUUAGUUAGGUGUUUAGUGGUCGCAAAUAAAUAUGGUUCAUAUGUCCAAGUUUAAUAGUAAUGCUUAGCCAUGCUAGUUGUGUAAAUCAUAGGACUUGGGAAGAAUCUUUGUUACUCAUAGAUGUUUUAUAAAAACUCAAGGGUGUCACUAAUGCCCAUGGGAUGAUUCUGAAAAUAAGGUUUUACAAAAUGGAGAUGAAGUGGAGAUUUAGUUAGGUGAUUGUGAUCUUGACGAGAUAGUCAAAGAUGUUCGGUGGAUUAUGAAAAUUUAUGUCUAGUAAAUGAGCAUGGUGGUUACUAUAUUGAUGGAUAAAUGGAUCUUUAAUAAACUUGAAGCAGUUUGGAUUUAGUUAGGCAAUUGUGAUCUUGGACCAAAUUUCAUGGCGGAUUACGAGAUUUUGAUGCAUUUAUUUAGCUCAUUGUGAUCUUGAGGAGAUGGUAAAAAAUGUUUAGUGGAUUAAUUCUUGGAAAAUUUGUAUUUAGUUAGGUGAUUGUGAUAUUGAACUGUAUUUCAUGAUGAAUUAUGAGAUUUUAGGUGGAUUUAGUUACGUGAUUUAAUCUUGAGAAGAUAGUCUAAAAUGUUCGGUGGAUUAUGAGAUUUUAGGUAUGAUAGAUGAGCAUGGUGAUUAUUAUAUUAGUGGAUAAACAUAUCUUUAAUUUUGUUUGAAACAUUUUGGAUUUAGUUAGGUGAUUGCAAUCUUAAAUCAAAUUUCAUGAUGGAUUAUAAGGUUUUGGUUGGAUUUAGUUAGGUGCUUGUGAUCUUGACGAGUUAGUAUAAGAUGUUUGGUGGAUUAUGUGAAUUUAGUUCUACUGGUGAGCUUGGUGGUUAUUAUAUUGGUGAAUAAGCAAUUUUUUUAAUAAACUUAAGAAAAUUUAGAUUUAGUUAGGCGAUUGUGAUCUUGAACCAAAUUUCAUGAUGGAUUAUGAGAUUUUAGAUGAAUAUAAUCAGUUGAUUUUCAUCUUGAGUAGAUACUCAAAGAUAUUCGAUGGAUUAAUUAAUCUUGAACAAUUUGAAUUUAGUUAGUCUUUUGCGAUAUUGAAUCGAAUUUCAUGAUGGUUUAUGUGGAUUUAGAUAACUUAUUAUGAUCUUGAGAAGAUGGUCAAAGAUGUUCGAUGGAUUUUAAGAUUUUAGGCCUAGUACAUGAGCAUGGUGACUAUUAUAUUGGUGGAUAAACCGACCUUUCAUUUAGUUUGAAACAAUUUGAUUUUAGUUAGGUGAUUGUGAACUUUUAACGAAAUUCACAGUGGAUUUUGAUGUUUGGGUUGGAUUUAUUUAGGUGACUAUGAUCUUGGUGAGGUAGUCAAAGAUGUUCGCUAGAUUAUGUGAGAAUUUAUGUCUAGUAAGUGAGCAUGGUCGUUAUUAUAUUGAUGGACAAAUGAUUUUUUAGUAAAUUUGGCGUAAUUUGGUGGAUUAUGUGAGAAUUUAUAUCUAGUAAGUGAGCAUGGUCGUUAUUAUAUUGAUGGAAAAAUGGAUUUUUAGUAAACUUGGCGUAAUUUGGAUUUAGUUUUUUUUUUCGAGAAAACGCAGAGAGUGCGUUUCUUUGUAUUGAAAAGAUAGAAAGUCAGUCUCAGAGGAGACGGUUACAACGGAUUACACGCAAUUCAGUGGACAUCCCAGGAUGGGGGCAAAACUACCCUAAGCCCCUUGUCCCCAGCUCUAGCCCAACAUCUCAUCUCAUCUUUGAUCCCAUCCGCGAGCUCGGGGAGCGACGGAGUGGCAUGAUCAAAUACACACGCAUUCCUAUGUUUCCAGAUCAUCCAUGGGACUAGCAGUGUGGUGGACCUCAGCGCCUUGCGGAGUGAUGGUGGUGUUGCAUCUCUCGCCCUGAUCCACCAGUCCUGAAUGGAGAUAUCCUGCUCCGGUGCGGGGGCUGGUAGGCGCAGCCAGGAAAGAGCCUCAUGCCAGGCUUGCCGCGAGAAGGGGCAUGCCAGCAGCAGGUGGUGAAUGGUCUCUGGCUCCUGAUCGCAAAGCAGGCAUCGAGUGUGGUGAGGUAGGCCGCGGCGGGCGAGUCUGUCCGCGGUCCAGCAUCGGUCUAGGCUCACUAGCCAGUGGAAAAACUUGACCUUCGGCGGAGUCCAUCCCUUCCAGAUUAGCUUCCAGGAGUGGCAAGUGAGGGGUCCGUGGAAGGUGGCCUGAUAGCAUGAUUGCGCCGAGUAGUCUCCAUUAGCAGUCCAUUUCCAGACGAGCCUGUCUGGCUCGGCGGACAAGGCAGUGUGCGUGACGCGCUGCCAUGUCGUCAAGUAUUGGCCAAUCUCUUGCAGCCCCACUACACCGCGGAUGUCUCGAGCCCACGCGUUGCCGGCGAGGCCAUCUGCCAGCGUCCGCACCCUCUUCCUGUUCUUGGGAAUGCAUCGGUACAGCAUGGGUGCUAGCUCGCGGAUCGACUGCCCAUGCAGCCAUCUGUCUUCCCAGAACAGCGCUGUGUGGCCAUCGCCUAGCACCAUGAAGGUGGAGGCAUAGAAGAGGUUGAGCUCCUCACUGGAGAACUGCAGGUCCAUACCUUUCCAGGCCCUGUCGGCGUCCGUCUUAGAUAGGCAGAGCCACCGCAGCCUAAGUGCUAGCCCAGUCCGCUCCAAAUCUCGGAUGCCCAGCCCUCCCAGAGCGAGAGGCCGGCUGACCGUGUGCCAGUUAACAUGACAGUGCCCUCCCUGAGCAGCCGCACGGCCAGCCCAGAGGAAGCCGCGCUGUAUCUUCUCUAGUUGUUUCAGGGUCUUCUUCGGUGGUGUCAGGGUGAGCAUCUGGUGGAUUGGGAUCGCGCUGAGGACCGAUCUGACCAAUGCCAACCUCCCAGCUUUGUUCAUGAGCCAUGCUUUCCAUGUCGGGAGGCGGCCAGCCACAGCAUCGACUAGCGGCUGCAUCUGAGCUGGUGUGGGUCGUCGGGUGGUGAGCGGUAUGCCCAGGUAGGUGAUGGGCAGUGUCGCCGCCUGGCAGCCCAAUGCCUCUAUCAGGGCAUCGCUCUCCUCGUCGCCGUGUAUGGUCGUGGCCGAGCUCUUGCCAUAGUUAACCCGCAAGCCCGACGCGGCCUCGAAGAUACCUAGGAUGCCCUUCACCGCGAGCACCUCAUCCAUCUCAGCAUGGCAAAACAGCAUCACGUCAUCGGCGUAGAGCGAAACGGCCGGAACAGUACGUCGGGGGUGCAGCUGCCGGAGUAUGCCGGCCUGGAGAGCCCGAUGCAUGAGGCGGCCCAGCGCGUCGACAGCGAGGACGAAUAGCUGCGGUGAUGUGGAGUCCCCUUGACGCAGCCCGCGACAGUGCCAAAUCGGGGGGCCAGGCACGCCAUUGAGCAUGACCCGCGUGCUGGCCGAGGAGAGUAGUAUGGCUAUCCACUCCCUGAACCUGUCCCCAAACCCAUAUUGGCGCAACAUCUCGAAGAGGAACGGCCAAGAUAUGGAGUCGAAAGCCCGAGUGAGAUCGAGCUUGAGCAUGAUGCACGGGGCGCCCAAGUGGUGAAGCAUCCGGAGAGACUGCCUGACUAGCAUGAAGUUGUCGUGGAGGGAGCGGCCGGCAAUGAAUGCGUUCUGGUUGCGGCUGACUAGGCUGUCCAGCUUGGGGGCGAUGCGCAAUGAUAGAACUUUGGCUAAUAGCUUGGCCAUGAUGUGGAUCAGGCAAAUAGGCCGGUAGUCGCCCAGUUUUUGCGCAUCCGCGCGCUUAGGCAGCAGGGUCAGGAGGGCUUGGUUGAGCUUAGCAAACCCUCUCCCAUGNNNNNNNNNNNNNNNNNNNNNNNNNNNNNNNNNNNNNNNNNNNNNNNNNNNNNNNAUAGCUGGUCAAAAACAUCCAGGAUAUUCUGCCUAAUAACGCCCCAACAGGCCUGUAAGAACUCAGUGGAGAACCCGUCUGGCCCUGGUGCCUUAUGCGCCGGCAUGUGCUGCACCGCAGCCCAGAUCUCCUCCGGGGUGAAGGGUGCAUCCAGGCUGCCAAGGUCAUCAGCCGUGACGAGCUGCUCGAGGUCCAGAGUGUGCUCACGGUCCACAGCAGUGCCCAGCAGCCCGUCAAAGUGCCUGAAUGUCGCGUGGGCCAUCUCGUCAUGCUCACAUAGCACAUGUCCGUCAACUAGGAGGCUGUGCACGCGGUUUUUCUGACGCCUGAACGUACACUGCUUGUGGAAGAAGCUCGUGUUGGCGUCGUCCUCGGCCAGGAAGGAAAUGCGGGCACGCUGCCGCGCGAUGGUGCGCUCCAGAGAAGCCAGCCCAAGGUACGCCACCUUGAGCUGCUUGCGCAGCCAGUCCUCUGCCGGGGCGAGCAGGCGACUCUCCAUCGCGUGGUCGAAGCGGGCGAUCAGCUCUCGGCAUAUGGCCAGUUUGUCCCGGACAUUGCCCGUGGACCUAGCACUCCAACUCGUCAGGGCGCGGGCGGUGGCCUGCAGUCGUCGGACCAGCCGCUGGAAGGGGUCGGGGUCAUCCACCGAGCUCCAGGCUGUGGCGACCGUGUCCUGAAAUCCAUCGCGGCUGGGCCAGAAGGCCUCGAAACGGAAGCGUCUGCGGGCCGUGGGCAUGGGGGAGCAGUCCAACAGCAGGGGGCAAUGAUCCGACACGACAGAUGCAAGGCAUCUGAGGUGGCACUCUCCGUGGUAAUCCUCCCAGUCUGAGGUGCAGAGAACUCGAUCGAGGUGCACAAGCGUCGGCGGGGUCUGCUCAUUAGACCAAGUGAAGCGGCGCCCAUUCAGGUAUACCUCCUUCAGGGCAAGAUCGUUAAUGGCGCGACGGAACCUUCCCAUCAUGCGGCGGUUCAGGGUACCGGCGCUCUUGUCGGCGUCCUGGUAGAUGAGGUUGAAAUCGCUGCAUAGCAUCCAAGGGCCCGGGCAAGCAGCCCGGAUGUCCCGCAGCUCUUGCAGGAAUAGUAUCUUGUCUGGGUCGCUUUGAGGGCCACACACCGUGGUAAGCCACCACGGUGCACCACUAGGUGCGCACACUUUAACCGUGAUCGCGUUUUGGGUGAAUAGGGGAUCGGAGAUGGUGACAGCCCUACUCUUCCAUGCGAUGAGAAUGCCGCCGCGGGUGCCGUCGGCAGGGAGAUAAGUAGAGCCAUCGAACUCAGACCCGAGGGUGUCUAGCACAAUCAACGAGCAGACCAGCGUCAUUUUAGUUUCCUGGAGGCAUACAAUGGACGCACUGGUGGUACAUAUCAGAGAGCGUAUGGCGCAGCGCCUAGCGCGCGAGUUCAAGCCCCUGACAUUCCAAACCACUAUCUGGGGUCCUGGAUACAUGAGCACGAGGUCGACAACAGGCACCACCAGCCUAGCGCGCGCAAGCCAUGGCAUCACCAGCCGGCAUAGACAGGCCUGCAGGGAUCGCACGGUCUACGAGGGUGGCUAUGGCAUGCAGCGCUGGAAGCUUGAUCGGCGCGGCGAACAUGUCGUCGUAUGCUUUCAUCUCGACGGGGGUGAUCUGCUGAUGCGCGCCGACGAUCCCUAGAGUGCGAAGAAUCUGCACCACCGCCCUCCUGUCCGUAGUGCAGGCCGCGGGUGCCGGAGCAAUGACGGCGGCGGAACGCCCCCUCCUGGGGCUGAAGUUGAGAGGGGGCCGCUGGCGUUUCCCGGGAGAUGGCAGCAUCGCAUCAAGCUGCUUAGUGGCUGAUUUAGUUAGGCGAUUGUGUCUUGAGAAAGUCAAAAUGUUGGUGGAUUAUGAGAUUUUAGGUAUGAAAAUGAGCAUGGUGAUUAUUAUAUUGGUAGAUAAUCAAAUAUUUAAUUUAGUUCGGAUCAAUUUAGAUUUAGUUAGGUGUUGUGAUCUUUAACCUAAAUAUAGGAUGGAUUAUGAGAUUUUAGCUGGAUUUACUUAGGUGAUUGUGAUCUUGAUAAGAUAUUCAAAGAUGUUCGAUGAAUUAAUAUCUCUAGUAAGCUAGCAUGAAGAAUAUUAUAUUGGUGGAUAAGUGGAUCUCUAAUAAACUUGAUGCAAUUUGUAUUUAGUUAUGAUUGUGAUCUUGAACCAAAUUUCAUGGUGGAUUACGAUGUUAUGGAUGGAUUUGAUUAGUUGAUUGCGGUCUUGACGAUUCGGUGGAUUAAUUAAUCUUGAAUAAUUUGGAUUUAGUUUGGUGAUUGUGAUAUUGAACCAAAUUUUUCAAUGCUUUAUGAGAUUUUAGGUGGAUUUAGUUAGGUGAUUUAAUCUUGAGAAGAUAGUAAAACAUGCUUGGUGGAUUAUGAGAUUUCUAGGUAUGGUAAAUGGGCAUGGUGAUUAUUAUAUUGAUGGAUAAACAGAUCUUUAAUUUAGUUUGAAAGAAUUUAGAUGUAGUUAGGUGGUUGUGAUCUUGACGAGCUAGUAAAAGAUGUUUGGUGACUUACGUGGAUUUAGGUUUAGUAGGUGAGCAUGUUGGUUAUUAUAUUGAUAAAUAAAUGUUCUUCUAAUAAAGUUGGAAAAAAUUGGAUUUAGUUAGGCGGUUGUGAUCUUGAACAAAAUUUUAUGGUGGUUUAUGAGAUUUUUGAUGGUUUUAGUUAUUUGUUUGUGAUCUUGAGAAAAUAGUCAACGAUGGUUGGUGGAUUAAUUAAUCUGCACCAGUUUGGAUUUAAUAAGGUGGUUGUGACACUGAACCAAAUUUCACGAGGGAUCAUGAGAUUAGGUGGAUUUAGUUAGGUGAUUAUGUCUUGAGAAUAUAGCCAGUGAUGGUUGUUGGACUAUGAGAUUUUAGGUUUAGGAGAUGAAAAUGGUGAUUAUUACAUUGGUGCAUAAAUAGAUAUUUAAUUUAGUUUGAAACAAUUUGGAUUUACUUAGGUGACUGUGAUCUUGAACCAAAUUUCUCUUUGAUUUAUGAGAUUUUAGUUGCAUUUAGUUAGGUGAUUGUGUCUAUGAAGAUAAUCGAAUAUGUUGGUGGAUUAUGAGAUUUUAGGUCUAAUAAAUGAGCAUGAUGAUUAUUAUAUUGAUGGAUAAAAAUAUAUUUGAUUUGGUUUAGAACAGUUUGGAUUUAGUUCGGUGAUUGUGAUCUUUUAACCUAAUUUUACAGUGGAUUAUAAGGUUUUGGUUGGAUUUAGUUAGGUGAUUAUGAUUUUGACGAGCUAGUAAAAGAUGGCCGGUGGAUUAUGUGAAUCUAGGUUUAGUAGAUGAGCAUGUUGAUUAUUAUAUUGGUGGAUAGAGAUGAGAGCCACACAAGUGACUCAAGGCGAUGAUGCCACUACUGAAAAUAGCUGAUAAACAAGGCAAGAGAGGUGGAGAGACUGGGGAUAAUGGCAGCAGAUGGACUUUAUCCAACAUCCCACGUUCCCGUGCAUUCUUUGUUCCCCGUUGAUCCGGCUUGAUGUCCUUGUCCUGUUUGCGGUUUUGUGUCACGCACUUGAUUAAGCAUCCCACGUUCUCCUACUGUGCGCCCUUGGCCUUGACGAUAGGUAUCGCGUGUUCUCGGGCGCGUCCCGUGUAUAAAAUCCAGGUAUGCGCCAAUUGUCCUAGCUCUUGCUCGCCAUUGGUGGUGCUUGAGCGUGCGGUUACAGUGUCGACCAGGAAGGGAACACUGGAUGUGGGAUCAAGACAGCACACAUAGCAACCCGCCACCAGGCAACGGAUACACAUCCGGAUUUACAAGGAGCUCCAUAGGAGUCUCAAUAGUGUGCUCAUCAAAGCGGCAUGAGUAAGAAGAUCCUAGAUAUACUUCUCUUACGAAAUAAAGAAGACAUUAGAGAUAGAAAAAACCUCAAUCUCCAAGAAAGUAGCGACUUCUUUAGUAAACAUGGAACAAUUUGGAUUUAGUUAGGCGAUUGUGAUCUUGAACAAAUUGCAUGAUGGAUUACGAGAUUUUUCAAUGGAUUUAGGUGAUUGUGAUCUUGAGGAGAUAGUCAAAAAUGUUUGGUGGACUAAUUGAUCUUCAACAAUAUGGAUUUAGUUAGGUGAUUGUGAUAUUGGAUUAUUUUUCUGUGAUUGAUGAGAUUUUAUUUGGAUUUAGUUAUGUGAUUGUGUCUUGAGAUGAUAAUCAGAGAUGUUUGGUGGAUUAUGAGAUUUUAGGACUAGUAGAUGGGCAUGAUGAUUAUUAUAUUGGUGGAUAAAUAGAUAUUUAAUUUAGUUUGAAAUAAUUUGGAUUUAGUUAGGUGAUUGUGAUCUUUUAACCUAAUUUUACGGUGGGUGUUUUGGUUGGUUUUAGUUAGGUGUUUCUGAUUUCGAUGAGUUAGUAAAAUACGUUUGGUGGAUUAUGUGAAUUUAGGUCUAAUAGGUGAGCAUGUUGAUUAUUAUAUUGGUAAAUAAAUGAAUCUUUAAUAAAUUUGAAACAAUUUGGAUUUAAUUAGGCGAUUGUGGCCUUGAACCAAAUUUUAUUGUGGAUUAUGAGAUAUUUGAUGGAUUAGUUAGUUGAUGGCGAUUUUGAGGAGAUAUUCUAAAGAUGUUUGGUGGAUUAAUUAAUCUUGGAAAAUUUGAAUUUACUUAGGUGGUCGUGAUAGUAAACCGAAUUUCACGCUGGAUUAUGAGAUUUUACAUGGAUUUAGUUAGAUGAUUAUGUCUUGAGAAUAUAGUCAAAGAUGUUUGCUUGACUAUGGGAUUUUAGAUAUAGAAGAUGAGAAUGGUGAUUUUAUAUUGGUGGAUAAACAGAUCUUUAAUUUAGUUUGGAACAAUUUUGAUUUAGUUAGGUGAUUGUUUUUUUACAACCAAAUUCAUGAUGGGAUUUUCAGGUUUUGUUGGAUCUAGUUAGAUGACUGUGAUCCUAAAGAGAUAGUCCGAGAUGAUUGAUGAAAUAUGCUAAUUUAGGUCUAGUAAGGGACCACGGUGGUUAUUAUAUUGAUGGAUAAAUGGAUAUUUAGUAAACAUGGAGCAAUCUGGAUGUAAUUAGGCAAUUGUGAUCUUGAACAAAUUUCGCGGUGGAUUACAAGAUUUUCAAUGGAUUUAGUUAGUAUAUUGUGAUCUUGGGGAGAUGUCAAAGUUGUUCGGUGGAUUAACUAAUUUUGAACAAUUUGGAUUUAGUUAGGUGAUCGCGACAUUGCGCCAAAUUUCUCGGUGAUUUAUGAGAUUUUAGUUGGAUCUAGUUAGGUGAUUGUGUCUUCAGAAGAUAGUCGAGGAAGUUUGGUGGAUUAUGAGAUUUUUGGUCUACAAGAUAAGCAUGAGGAUUAUUAUAUUGGUGGAUAAACAAAUAUUUAAUUUAAUUAGGAAAAAAUGGAUUUAGUUAGGAGAUUGUCAUAUUUUGACCUAAUUUUAUGAUGGAUUAUGAGGUUUUGCUUGGAUUUAGUUGAGUGAUUGGGAUCUUGACGAGCUUGUAAAAGAUAUUGACACCCUCCUUUGACUUUCUUAAUACCCCUCCUUCCUAACCAUGCAGUGGUCGCAAAUAAAUUUGGUUCAUAUGUCCAAGUUUAAUAGUAAUGCUUAGCCAUGCUAGUCGUGUAAAUCAUAGGACUUGGGAAUAAUCUUUGUUACUCAUAGAUGUUUUAUAAAAACUCAAGGGUGUCACUAAUGCCCAUGGGAUGAUUCUGAAAAUUAGGUUUUACAAAAUGAAGAUGAAGUGGAGAUUUAGUUAUGUGAUUGUGAUCUUGACGAGAUAGUCAAAGAUCUUCGGUGGAUUAUGAAAGUUUAUGUCUAGUAAAUGAGCAUGGUGGUUACUGUAUUGGUGGAUAAAUGGAUCUUUAAUAAACUUGAAGCAGUUUGGACUUAGUUAGGCAAUUGUGAUAUUGGACCAAAUUUCAUGGCGGAUUACGAGAUUUUGAUGCAUUUAUUUAGUUCAUUGUGAUCUUGAGGAGAUGGUAAAAAAUGUUUAGUGGAUUAAUUCUUGGAAAAUUUGUAUUUAGUUAGGGGAUUGUGAUAUUGAACUGUAUUUCAUGAUGAAUUAUGAGAUUUUAGGUGGAUUUAGUUACGUGAUUUAAUCUUGAGAAGAUAGUCUAUGUUGAACUAGUAUGGCCCAGCCCAUCCAGUUAUCUCUUAGGGCCCAGGCCCAUGUAGUGGGACUGACCUAAAAAGAGGCUCCCAGCCAUCCCGUUCCCAGUCUGAGCCGCCACACACAAACACACGAGCUGGAGGUACUUCUCUCUUCCUCCCGUUUCUACAUGGUAUCAGAGGCCAGGUCCGGCAAGGCCUGACGGACGGCGGCGCCGGCCGGCGUGGCUGCGGGGUCCGGUGGGGAUCGAUGGCGACACUGCGCGCUGGAGAGGAGGCGGCUGUGCGCAGGCUGUGCGUGCGCACGAGGAGGAGAAGCGGCUGCGCGGGCGACAGGGCGACGGCUGGUGCUGGUUCCUUCCUGCCCUGGCUCUCUUAUCUCUCUCUGUUCUGCUGUGUUUCUGGAGGUGGAAGGGAGAAGGAGAGAGGAGGAAGCGAAAGAAGGGCAGCUGCUGGAGUUUGCUGUUGUGGCUGCAUCUGGGGUUGCGGCUGCUGCUGUUUGCCCGAGAAGGAGGUUGCAGCUGCUAUUGCUGGUGGUGGUGGUGUGUACUAAGGGGAGACCGGGAGCUGGGUGCUGCUGCUAGAGGAGAAGGUGUUGGUGGUGGUCUGUUCCUGGAGCUGCUGUUGUGCUGUUAGUGGAGUUGUUGUUGUGUUGUUCCUGCUGCUGUGCAUCUGAGUUGCUGUUUUGCUGCUGCUGUGUUGGUUCUGCUGUGGAGAAGAAGUGAGGCUGUGGUGCUGCUGGAACACCAAAGAUGGCUGAACCAAAUGCUCUCGCUGCUGCUUUCGAGAAGCUCGCUAAGAUCCUCGCGGAGUCCAACUCCAACUCUGGGGCCAUCGUUCCUUGACAGGAAGUGGCUCAGAAGCUCGAAAUGUGACCCCUCGACAUGAAGCUAGAGGGAGCCACAAAUUAUUUGAGCUGGUCCAGAAGGGCAUUGCUGGCUGUGGAACAGAAGAAACUUGAUGGGCACUUAUUGGGUGCGGUUGAUGAACCUGGAGACAAGACUAACGCGGAGGGAAAGCGGUGGAAGGUCAUAAACUCUGUGCUUGUUGGCUGGUUGUUGAACUCAGUGGUGCCCUCCAUUGGUCGCUCUGUGGAGGGACUAUCCACGUCCGCCGAGAUAUGGAAGACUCUAUCCACCCAAUACUCAGACAAGGGUAAUUUCAUGCUAAUUGCUCAGAUUGAGGGUAAGAUCAGUCGGCUGCGCCAAGGCGAUGACAUGUCAGUGAUGGCAUAUGUAGCAGAGCUGCAGGCUUUGUGGGCGGAGCAGGAUAACUGUGAUCCUUUGGAACUCUAUGAUGCGGCGUGCAUCGAGUCAGGGCGCAAGUGGAUUGCACGCAGGCAUGUGUUGAAACUGUUGGAAGGCCUCAGAGGUUGCUUUCAUGGCAGGGGAGCUUCCCUGUUGCACCAACCUCUCCUGCUAACUAUUGAGGAGACUAUUGCAGCAAUGUCUCAAGAGGAGGUGAGGCUAUCUCUUGAGCAUGCAAACGUGAAGUUUGUGCCGGCUUCGACAUUUGCAGUCACUGAGCGCAUGGAGUGGGGUGAUCCCAACAAAUGUCAUAUUUGUGGGGAGGUAGGUCAUUGGAAGAGGGAAUGUCCAACUCGUGGUAGAGGCAGGGGAUACAACAUAGGGGGCACUGGCAGAGGCGGGUAUGCUCGAGGCAGGGGUGGAUACCCAUGGAACUCAGGGGGUCAACUUUCUAGGGGCAGAGGUGGCUACUCAGGAAACUCAGGGGGCAGGGCGCAUAUGGUAGUUGAAGAGGACACUCGGACGUCAUAGGGCAAGGGAGUUGAUGAGGCUGCCUAUGGAGACUUUGCUCACUGGGCCUCCACUGAUGAAGGUAAUUCGAUGAAGGCAUUUCUUACUCCUAAUGAGAGUGCUUCAGAGUGGGUCUUAGACUCUGGAGCAUCUAAGCAUGUUGCGGGUAAUUCCUGUGUGUUUGAGUCUUACCAUAAGCAUGCUCCUAUUCACAAGGACACUAUACAAACUGCCGAUGGUACCAAUCAGCCUGUCGUAGGGGUUGGCAAGUCAAAUGCACUUCAGCCAUCUCCUUAUCGUCAGUUUUGCAUGUGCCAGCUUUUCCUGUCAAUUUGGUCUCUUUCAGUGCUCUCAUUGAUCAAAUAGACUGUUGUGUGAUCCUUGACAAGUUCGGUUGCUUGAUUCAGGAGCGACAGACGAGCCAGACGGUUGGGACUGGCACCAGGCGUAGGGGGCUCUGGUACAUGGACCAGGAGGUGCAACCGGACUUGGUGUGUGCUGCGACCAUGGAGGACAAGGAGAAGCAGGCGAUGAUCCAUCAUUGUAGAAUGGGUCAUAUAUCUUUUUAUAAGACGAGCAGAGUCUUUCCGGAUGUUAUGUGUGGAAUAGGCAAGGGCAAGUUGACAUGUGAUGCUUGCGAAUAUGCAAAACACACACGAGCCUCAUAUGUGAGUAAGGGGCUUAGGAGCAUAUCUCCUUUUAUGCUCAUUCAUUCGGAUGUAUGGACUAGCCCGGUAGUGUCAAUGAAUGGAAAGAAGUAUUUUGUUACCUUUAUUGACUGCUAUUCUCGUAUGACUUGGAUUUACUUGAUGCGUCACAAGGAUGAGGUGUUUAGCUGUUUUCAGAACCAGUUUCAGGUGCAGGUCAACGUGCUCAGGACUGACAAUGGUACAGUGUAUGUGAACAAUAUUUUUGGGGAUUUCAUGGCUAACCAAGGGAUACUUCAUUAAACUUCAUGUCCGGACACCCCACUCAGAAUGGAGUGGCCGAAAGGAAGAAUCGUCAUAUUCUUGAGGUUGCUCGGUCAAUAUGUUUACCAUGAAUGUGCCUAAGUUCUUAUGGGAUGAAGCAGUUAUGACAGCCACCUGAUCAACCGGACACCUUCCAGGAUGUUUGGUAUGAAAUCUCCAUCUGAGUUGCUCAUUGGAGAUAAUAAGUUUGUUGUUUCCCCAAAGUUGUUUGGCACUACUUGCUUUGUUCGUGAUCACCGACCAUCUGUUGGAAAGCUUGAUCCUCGGGCAGUGAAGUGUGUCUUCCUGGGAUACUCUUCUAGUCAGCAGGGGUAUAAAUGUUGGUCUCCCUCUGAAAAACGCAGGUUUGUGAGUAUGGAUGUUACCUUCAGGAAGUCUGAGUCAUUCUAUGGUACGCCGACUGAUAUCAGUCAGCUAUUUGCAGAGCUUGACCACCUACAUCAUGUGCAAGAUGGUCAAGAGGGGGAGAAGGAUGUGUCUCAUACUCAGGGUGAUUUUGUGGGCAAUAACACUGCUAAUGAUGUGCAAGUUCAGGUCCAACCAAUAGUGGGGACAAUUCCGGUUAGUACUCUCACUAAUGAUGAUGUGCAGGUUCAUGUCGAGCCAACCGUCGAUACACUUAAGAUUGGUGCUCUUCGGGUUCCUGUUCGGGAUCGAUGGCAGACGAACACCCUAGUGUACUCUCGACGGCAACCACACGUGCAAGGGGAGCAACAAGGCAAUGAGAUAAGAGUGCAAGGGGAGCAGCAAGGCAAUGAGGCAAGAGUGCAGGGGGAGCAACAAGACAGUGAGACGAGCUCAUCUGACACAGUGGAGCUGCCCAUUGCAUUGCGAAAGGCUACACGUGAAGCGGCAAGAAAGGGUGAAGUAGCAAGGAAGGCUCUACCGAAGGAUGAUGCUUGUGAUGACCUUGAUAUUGGCAAUUUUGUGUCUUAUAAGGCUUUGUCACCCACAUAUAAGGCGUUUGUUGCCACCCUUCAAACUGUGUCAAUUCCAAAGGAUUGGAAGGCUGCAAAGCAAGAUCCGAGGUGGCGUGAAGCGAUGAUAGAAGAGUUGGAAGCACUAAGGAAAAACAAGACAUGGGUGACCACAUUGCCGGCAGAAAAGGAAGCAGUGAGUUGUAAGUGGAUCUAUACAGUGAAGCAGAAUCCUGAAGGGAAGGUGGAACGGUAUAAGGCCAGAUUGGUUGCCAGAGGAUAUAGCCAAACUUAUGGAAUUGACUAUGAUGAGACGUUUGCUCCCGUGGCAAAGAUGAACGCAGUAAGGAUAUUGGUCUCCUGUGCUGCAAACUUUGGGUGAAAGUUGCAUCAAUUAGAUGUCAAGAAUGCCUUCUUGCAUGGUGAGUUGCAGGAAGAAGUGUACAUGGAAAUACCACCAGGUUUUGGUACUUCAGAGACUACGGGGAAGGUAUGCGGGCUGAAGAAAUCCUUGUAUGGACUGAAGCAAUCACCAAGGACCUGGUUUGAUAGGUUCAGACGUGCUGUCCGUGGUAUGGGGUAUGGUCAGUGUAACGGUGACCACACGAUGUUCUACAAGCACUCUGAUCGGANNNNNNNNNNNNNNNNNNNNNNNNNNNNNNNNNNNNNNNNNAUCGGAAGAUCACCAUUCUUGCUGUUUAUGUGGAUGACAUUAUCAUCACUGGAGAUGAUGAGGAGGAAAUAGAGAGAUUGAAGGGUUGUUUGAGCAAGGAGUUUGAGGUAAAGGAUCUGGGUAACCUAAAAUACUUUCUUGGCAUUGAAGUGGCUUGGACAGAGAAGGGAAUCUCUUUGUGCCAACGAAAAUACACCUUGAAUCUCUUGAGUGACGUGGGCAUGAUGGGAUGUCGUACUACCCCUACUCCGAUUGAACAAAAUCACCAAGUGACAGCACAAUUAGGAGAGCUAGUGAAUAAGGAAGAGUAUCAGAAACUGGUUGGAAGGUUGUUGUACUUGUGUCAUACCAGGCCUGACAUUACGUAUGCUAGGGGGGUGGUGAGCAGAUACAUGCAUGAACCAAGGAGUGGGCAUCUUGAUAUUGUGCACAGAAUCCUGAGAUAUUUGAAGGGGACUCCGGGUAAAGGGUUGUGGUUUGGAAAGAGUGGACAUCUUGAGGUGGANNNNNGUAAAGGGUUGUGGUUUGAGAAGAGUGGACAUCUUGAGGUGGAUGGCUAUAGUGACUCUGACUAGGCCAGUUGUCAAGAUGAUAGAAGAUCAACUUCUGGCUACUGCGUGUUUGUGGGAGGAAAUUUGGUAUCAUGGAGAAGCAAGAAACAGCCGGUUGUGUCUAGAUCAACAGCAGAAGCUGAGUAUAGAGCAUUAUCUCAAGGGUUGUGUGAGAUGCUCUGGGUGAAGUACCUACUGAGCGAGUUGAAACUUCUGAGGAAGGGGCCCUUGAAGGUGUGGUGUGACAAUCAGUCAGCUAUAGCCAUCGCUAAUUACCCGGUUCAACAUGAUAGGACAAAGCAUGUGGAAAUUGAUCGGUUCUUCAUUAAGAAGAAGCUUGAUGCCGGGGUCAUCAGCCUUACUCAUGUCAGUUCUGGACAGCAGUUUGCAGAUUGUUUGACAAAGGGUUUGGGAACAAAGGAUUGUAAGUUGGCAUGUGACAAGAUGGGAAUGAUAGAUAUCUACCACCCAUCUUGAGGGGGAGUGUUGAACCGGUAUGGCCUAGCCCAUCCAGUUAUCUCUUAGGGCCCAGGCCCAUGUAGUGGGACUGACCUAAAAAGAGGCUCCCAGCCAUCCCGUUCCCAGUCUGAGCUGCCACACACAAACACACGAGCUGGAGGUACUCUCUUCCUCCCGUUUCUACAGUCUAAAAUCUCAUACCAAGGUAGGUGAGCUUGGUGGUUAUUAUAUUGGUGAAUAAGCAAUUUUUUAAUAAACUUGAGAAAUUUUGGAUUUAGGUAGGCGAUUGUGAUCUUGAUCCAAAUUUCAUGAUGGAUUAUGAGAUUUUAGAUGAAUAUAGUGAGUUGAUUUUCAUCUUGAGAAGAUACUCAAAGAUAUUCAAUGGAUAUCUACCACCCAUCUUGAGGGGGAGUGUUGAACCGAUAUGGCCUAGCCCAUCCAAUUAUCUCUUAGGGCCCAGGCCCAUGUAGUGGGACUGACCUAAAAAGAGGCUCCCAGCCAUCCCGUUCCCAGUCUGAGCUGCCACACACAAACACACGAGCUGGAGGUACUCCUCUCUUCCUCCCGUUUCUACAGUCUAAAAUCUCAUACCAAGGUAGGUGAGCUUGGUGGUUAUUAUAUUGGUGAAUAAGCAAUAUUUUAAUAAACUUGAGAAAUUUUGGAUUUAGGUAGGCGAUUGUGAUCUUGAUCCAAAUUUCAUGAUGGAUUAUGAGAUUUUAGAUGAAUAUAGUCAGUUGAUUUUCAUCUUGAGAAGAUACUCAAAGAUAUUCAAUGAAUUAAUUAAUCUUGAACAAUUUGAAUUUAGUUAGGUUUUUCCAAUAUUGAAUAGAAUUUCAUGAUGAUUUAUGUGGAUUUAGAUAACUUAUUAUGAUCUUGAGAAGAUGGUCAAAGAUGUUCGGUGGAUUUUAAGAUUUUAGGCCUAGUACAUGAGCAUGGUGACUAUUAUAUUGCACCCUCGAGAACCAAUUGAUGAUCGGGAUCGCAUGCAAUCGUUGUUCACGUAGUAGUACGAGUACGGACCGACGACGACCAACAGUAUCCAAAUUGACCACCACCAACAACUCUCUACUGAUGCUGAUUAAUCCAGAUACUACGUACUACUUUUUUCGAGAAAACGCAAAGAGCCUUGUGUUUCUUUGUAUUGAAGAGAAGGGGGAUUACAACCUCCUAAGAGGCAAUUACAACAUUGUUACAAGAGGAUUAGUGAACAUCCCAGGAUGGGGGCAUGACUACCCUAAGCCCUAUGGACCCGGCUCUCGCCCAACACCUAGUCUCAUCUUUGAUCCUAUCCAAGAGCUCGUCGAGCGAUGGAGUGAUAUGGUCAAAGACACACGCAUUCCUGUGUUUCCAUAUCAUCCAGGGCACCAGGAGCGCGGCUGACCUUAGCGCCUUGCGUAGCGAUGGUGGUGUGGCAUCCCUCGCCCUCAUCCACCAGUCCUGGAGUGAGGCAUCAUGCUCCGGCGACGGGGCCGUUAGGCGCAGCCAGGAUAGGGUCUCGUGCCAAGCCUGCCUCGCGAAAGGGCAAGUGAGCAGCAGGUGCCUGAUGGUCUCCGGCUCUUGAUCGCAUAGUAGGCAGCGGGUGUGAUGAGGAAGGCCUCGACGAGCGAGCCUUUCUGCGGUCCAGCAUCGGUCCAUGUUGGCAAGCCAGUGGAAGAACUUGACCUUCGGCGGAGCCCAUUCCUUCCAGAUGAGCUGCCAGGAACGGCAUGUCGACGAACCGUGGAAGGUGACCUGGUAGCAGGACCUCGCCGAGUAGACACCAUUGGUCGUCCAUUUCCAAACGAGCUUGUCCGGCUCGGUGGACAGUAUAGUGUGCGCCACAAGCUGCCAUGUCCUCAGGUAUUGGCCGAUCUCUUGCAGACCCACAACUCCGCGAAUGUCCCGGGCCCAGGCAUUGCCGGCGAUGCCCUCCGCCACCGUCCGCGCUCUUCGUUUGUUCUUGGGGUAUGCAUAGGUAUAGCAGAGGCGCGAGCUCACGUAUAGACUGACCGUGCAGCCAGCGAUCUUCCCAGAAUAGGGCAGUCAGGCCAUCUCCAACCAUCAUGGAGGUGGAGGCAUAGAAAAGGCCAAGCUCCUCAUGUGAGAACUGCAGGUCGAGGCCUUGCCAUGCACGGUCAGCGUCCGUCCUCGAUAGCCAAAGCUAUCGGAGUCUGAGUGCAAGCCCCGUGCGCUCGAGGUCUCGGAUGCCCAGCUCGUCAUACGCGAUCGGCCGGCAGACCGUGCGCCAGUUCACGUGGCAAUGCCCUCCAAGCGCAACCUCGUGGCCAGCCCAGAGGAAGCCGCGCUGGAUCUUCUCUAGUUGCUUUAGAGUUUUCUUCGGGGGCGCUAAAGCAAGAUACUACGUACUACUCACUAGCUUGUCCUGAGAAAAGAAAUGCUGCUUAAAUUGAUUGUUUUUUAAAAUCCCAUAAAUUGACAGUUAAAGUCCACUACAAUGCUUUAAGAUAUUCAUUUUAACAUGUUCUGGGUAUCCCACGUAGAUUCCAUGUUGAUUAAAUUUACCCAUUCUCUACGUACAAUUGGCAAUUCCUUGUUCACAUCUUUGUUAUACAAGCUCAUCAUGUUCUUGGAAGGGAAUUUCUUUUCAUUUUGGGUGCUUAACAUUUUGCAUGUUUGAUGGAUGUUUACUCCUUUGGUAUAAUAUGGUUACCUGAAUCUCCCGUACUAGACUACCAGUGGUGUAGAUUUUUGAUAUUGAGGUUCAGAAAAUUAACUUUGGUUAGCUAACUUAUGGAGGGUUGUUUUUGGAGGAAAAGAAGACAAAGAUCGACGGAUCACCGCAUACAGCCUGCUAGAUAGCACAGCUGGGACAAACCUGAUGAUGAACAUCACUAUUUUCCUGAGAAGGUUAUUCGUCAUUCGCUGCUUACUAUAUUGCAUAUGUGAUGUUGACACUUAAUAUUAUUAUUCAUGACAGAUGUGCUUGUCCAGGAUCCAGCGUGUUGAACCGAAAAAAGAUGGUACUAUAAUUGGCCAGUGACUAAGUUGUACCAUUCCUUGAACAAACUUAUAUUCGCUCGCGAUAAGAUGUCUAUGGCUCAUCUACAAGAUGGGAACAAAAGGAACAGCUUCAGCAUAGUAUGCUAUCUUAACUGCCACUGCACCUAUCAAGCAUAUAAACUAAUUUGAAGAAUGCAGGCCACUGAAAAAUUAAGCCUCUGUAACAUAGGGAGUCUCAGUGAUGAACCUUUGUGUGUUCUCGAUUUUUAUUUUGAGAGUGUUGUUUAUUUGAAAUGACAGUGGAGUUCUUGCUCCUCCCCAUUCCCAAACUCCUCAUGUAACUGUAUGCUACUCUCUGUAACUGCUUGAUGCUGUGAUAAUAUAUGUUCAGGCUGGCGUAAGCCUACCGUUGUGAUAACUGCUCUAUAUUAUUCUUAUUCAGUCAGAAACUGUAAUUAGGAGUCAUAAACUGUAGCUACUACACUGCUCACAUCGAUCUUCCUAUUUGGUUUCCUUGUGUAUAUUCAGUUUUGAUGUACAGAAACUACAGCGAACCAUAUUCAAUUUUGAUGUUCAGGUGCCUACUAAUUUCACGAGGCUGAUCUUCAGGUGCCUACUAAUUUCACGAGGCAGUGUAACUACCAUGUGCCUAAAACUGACCCUGCAUAGUUUUUUUAUUGCUCAACUAAUCUAAUUUUAUUUUGUUGUUCCUUGUUUUCUAUUUUUAUUUCAAUCACUCGCUGAUUACAGUCUUAAUUAGUGGGAUGAGGAGAAAGUGGAAGCAAAUGAUUGUUGGUACAUUCUUCUGCAAUCGGCACCGCGCUAUUCCGAAUAAGGAGAUGCGUCAAGUUUAAAGCAACAAAUGCAUGUCUAUAUAUAAAAGCAACCCAGGUUAUGAAUUAAUAAGGUAAUUUUGUUGCUAUCUGUUCCAAUGAAAUCUUGGCAAAGAUUUGCUUUCACAUACACAACCAAUCAUGAAUGUAAGCAUACCCAUCUUUAUAGCCCUACAUAAUUAUUUAUUUUCUGUUGUUGGGCAAAGUUCUCUACAAAAUCAUGCUACUAUAUACCACAUGUUUUAAUUUUCUUGUAGAUGGUAGGUAGGUCCAUGCAUUGAGUGUCUAUCUGGUUUUGGAGUACACUACUACAGGAGAUGAUGAGAUUAGAGCAGCAGGAGAUGAUGGAAUUUUCUUAAAGUUGUAGACUGAGAUAUAGAUUACUAAAUUUAUCUUAAUUGAUUACUUCAGUUUUGCAGAUUUGGAUACCGUAUAUGUUUGAUUGAAUCAGUGCUCAUAUCGUCCAUCUCAUUUUGAAGCAGGUAAAUGUGCAUUAGUUACAGUUUUGUUAUCGUCGAUAUGCAAAUCAAUCAGACUUUAGGUUGAGUCGUUCAUAUGAUUUUCUAUUUCACCUUUCGAUCAUAGAUUCCUUGCUUUUCUGUAUUACAAUCACAUAGUAUCAAUUGGCCCACCAAAGAAGCCAUUAUAGCUGUUACUAGGUUACAAAUAUACCAAGUUAAUAGGGAACAAUUAUUCAUAGUUGUUCAGCUACAACAUAUGCCAUGAGCUGACUUAGUGAAAUCCGUUUAUUUUGGGGUACUUAAUUAAACCAUGAUUAGUAAUGGAAGGAUAGAUAUGGUUGUGUUGCCACACCAGCUUGAGGAAAAAAUUGCGGCUGGAAGAGGGGACAUCAAGGGGACCAGAAGCUACAGCGUAUGAUGCUGGAUAUGCUGGCCUGCGGCAGCGCGACUAUGCCAUGUACCAUCCACACUCGAAGGGAUCUAAAAAUGGUACGAUCCAGUCAAGCCUCUUUUACUUUCAGCCCAAGCUUCAAGUGCAAGCCAGCAGUUUUUCUUAUUUACUAUCCAGCUGAGUGGGAGGUGUUCUGAACUAACGAUUGCAGUUUCAAUCAGACUGGGUGGCCGCUGGCAUCCAUGAGGCUGCGACUAAAGGAACUAUGGCGGGUUGUUGUUGAACCUACUGACAUCUUUGAUAUUCGUUGACAGUCCUUCCUAGGCCCACUCAGCAGGCAAGUAAUUCCACAUCCUUAAAUUUAUAGCCUGACCUACUCAUAUAACUAUCUCUAAUACCCUAUCCUAAACGUUGAUGUUACAUCCAAACUUCGUAAAGCUAGAUAUUUUGUGAGUGAAGAACGUACUGAAAUAAAUUUGGAUGGAUUAACUCGAGUUUUUCAAUCAAGUUAUUUUACUAUAAAUCUUCAGUAUAGAACCGUACAACAGUUCUGAACCGUAUGUAGUUCUAAAUUUUUUGGCGAGAAAUAUGUAGUUUCUAAUUUUCAUAUGCCUGAAAUAUGUACAGUAGACAUCAUGGUUCGAGUCGACUAAUGCCAUUGCACAAGUUUGGUUGUAGCAUGUCGAUAGUCAAGAUGGUGGCAGCAUGCUGGGUCAAGCCAUCGGCAUGAACGACCAAGACUGUGCACAUGCACAAGGACUCUACAUUGAUAUUUUUGAGCUGUUCGUGCGCUGGCAGUUCUGUCGACGCUUCACAUGGUUGCAUCUUACAGGUUAUGACCGUCUCGUCGAAGAUGCAACUAUCCUCCCGUUGCAUUGGUGUGGACAUUGCCUCCUUUCAAUGCUUUGGAUGUCAAAUUGCAGUAGUGAUUUGCUUUCAGGGGAAAAUUAGUAUAUGCUCGACUAAUUCAUCUUUCGCCUCAGGCAAACAAAAAGGUCAAAUCUUUUGAAGACUGUAAGAAAUAGUUUCAGAGUAACACUGGUCAUAAUAUAUAUGUGGCUAUUUGCUGAUUUGACUAAGUAAAGUUCUACUCAACAUAUUCACUUGUGCCUUUGCAGAAUCAUGCAUACCAGGCAUGUUAAUCUACUUCAUAUUAUCUACUGCUUACAAAAUUAGUAUACACUCGGAUGGAGCCCAUAUUAGAGCCCAAAAAUAGUACCAUGCCAACAGCACCUAAUAUAUUGCCUUUCGGAAAAAUCACACACAAGUAUAUGAUUGAUCAGGUUCAAAAUAAGGUCACAUUAAAUACUACUCCCUCCGUCCCAAAAUAAGUGUCUUAAGCUUACAGUUGAGACAGUUAUUUUAGGACGGAGGGAGUAUGUAUUAUCCCUCACAAAAAAAACAUGUAUUUCUCUCCACACCGAUUAUUGCCGACUCAAGGUCAUCCUCCUUAGAUUCGUUAGGCCGUGCUCAAGUAGGACUAAACUCUUCUGGUCAUCUCAGGCUAUUUGUUUCUGCAAGAGAUUGACCAAUACCUGACGACAUGGCAGCGCGUCGCGCACACUACCUUGUCCGCUGAGCCAGACAAGCUUGUCUGGAAAUGGACGGCCAAUGGAGUAUACUCGGCGAGAUCCUGCUAUCAGGCAACCUUCCACGGAUCCUUCACUUGCCAUUCUUGGCAGUUAAUCUCGAAGGGAUGGGCUCCGCCGAAGGUCAAGUUCUUCCACUGGCUUGUGAACCUGGACCGGUGCUGGACCGCGGACAGACUUGCUCGCCGUGGCCUCGCCCAUCACGCCCGCUGCCUGCUUUGCGACCAAGAGCCGGAGACCAUCCGGCACCUGCUACUAGCCUGCCCCUUCGCGCGGCAAACUUGGCACGAGGCUCUUUCCUGGCUGCGCCUACCAGCCCCCACGCCGGAGCAGGAUAUCUUCAUUCAGGAUUGGUGGAUAAGGGCGAGAGAUGCCACACCACCAUCGCUCCGCAAGGCGUUGAGGUCCACCACGCUGCUAGUUCCAUGGAUGAUUUGGAAACAUAGGAAUGCGUGUGUAUUUGAUCAUGUCACUCCGUCGCUCUCCGAGCUCUCGGAUAGGAUCAAAGAUGAGAUGAGGUGUUGGGCUAGAGCCGGGGACAAGGGGCUUAGGGUAGUCUUGCCCCCAUCCUGGGAUGUCCAUUGAACUACUUGUAACCUGCUGGGCUUAGGGUAGUCUUGCCCCCAUCCUGGGAUGUCCAUUGAACUACUUGUAACCUGCUGUAAUCGUCUCCUCGGAGGCUGACUUUCCCUCUUUUCAAUACAAAGAAACGCAUAUCUCUGCGUUUUCUCGAAAAGAGAGAGAGAGAGUCCCACCUGAGAGGAUCCUCCCUCCCUCGAUUGGGGCCGUCGUUGCUGGUCUCCUCCUUGGCGGACAGGGGCAAGUUGGGGCCGAGGCGGACGGGGGCGAGCUAGGGUCGAGGCGCGGCGAGGAGAUGGCGGACGGGGGUGAGCUGGGGUCAAGGCGCGGCGAGAAGGAAGUGGCAGGGGGCGGACGACGGCCGGCGGGCGGGGAGCGGGCAGACCUUCGGGGUGGUAGGGCCCGCUGGUCUUUUUGCCAUCAGCCUGGCACUUCUUUGUCGUCCGCUACACACUGAUGGCAAACAAUAUAUUUGUCAUCAGUACGUUCUAUGCCGUCCGUUUUUCUGGCAGCUGGCAAAGAGUUUUUCUUUGUCAUCUGCCAGCAGACGACAAAGAUGAGGCUGAUAGCAAAUUCUCUAAUUCCAGUAGUGUUUCACUCUUUUGUCAGAUUAACAAUUUUCAUUGACCUUUUGUUGCACCUUUGAUUGUAAUUAACAUCGAAUGGUUGUCUGGCUAUGCUUUGCAUUAUUACAGAUCGUAUAUGCUGCUGCUACUUAAUUAUGCUCCCAUGUAAUCAUGCAAUUGCAUUCAUUUUUUAAUGUUUCCUAGUGAUGGAAAAGCGCCGACUGAUAUGAAGCUAAGAGGAAGAAAAAUAAGAGGCAACUGAACAUGCUUUCCUCGACAGAAAUAAUUUAAAGGCCUAAGUAGGAAACUGGAUUAGGCUGACUAAUCUUACCUGACUAGCUUAGCUCAUGUUGGAGUGGCCUGAUUCACAAGGGGUGCAGUUUCACAGUAAGGCGGAGAACAUGAUGUUUCUGAAUAACUACAAAAUCUGUACAAGCUAUAGUGGUGGCCGUUUUUUUUGUCAUAGAUAGUUGAAUACGCUGCUUAUGUGGUGCAAACUGGAAACUUGCAGGUGACUCAGACAUUCAUUCAGCCAUAAUGAUUCACUCAUAUUCAGUUAGUUUACAAAUCUAGAGAUCAUAAUUUCUCUCUAAAAAUGGUACUUCUAUCUUUUAUUCAGAGGGCCCGGUCAUAGAUGACAAUUUUUCUGGACUGUGGUGAAAUACUUUUGUUUUCUGGAAAACAUGUGCUCUAACUCAAGAGUGUAAAUAAGCAUGCUUCCCAGACAUUUUGGCACUCAGUUCAACUCAACUCACAAUAUGUAACCCCUGUGUUUAACUCUCCUAACUGAACUAACUUAUCUCAAAAUUAGGACCAAUUAAUUUUUUCGUGAAUGCUUGUGAUGCUUGAUGUGAUGUUUGCUUGCUUGCCUAUUGCUUGUGUUUGAAUUCAAUGCUCCUGCUACUCUCCAAACUCAGCUCCUUAACCCAAACCUUUGCCUAAUGAUCAUGUCAUGUGUGUAGGACCAAAAACUAUUUUUACCAAACCUUAUUUUCACCAAAAGGCAUUUUCUUGAUUUAAGCUUUCAAAAACCCCCUGAGUUGGAAUUUGUACUACAAGUCCUCAAAUUAGGAAAGUUAUUUUGCACAAAUUAUUUUACUUGAAACCCAUUAUCAAAAUGUAUUCCCAAAACCAUAAUAUUAUUAUUUUAAUAGUUAUUUUACUAUUUUAUUUAAAUACCUUUCUGAGAGGCCAGAAAUGGUCCCUUAUGAAAGAAAGUUACUUUAUUGUUUUCAAAAUAUUUGAAUUUUUUUAGGGAAACUCAGUGGACAUAUAUAUUCCAUAUAUAUGAGUUUCAACACAUGGUCAUGUUCAAAAUAUUGGGCAAAAUCUUUCAAAACCUUCCUGCCUAUUUCAAGCUUUUGGAAUAUUUCUUAUUCCAGUAAAAUUCUAGAAUGUCACAUAUGAUAUAUGUGAUGAUCUUGCCAAGUUUCAUCUCAAGCCAAGUUGAUUUGAUUCCCCUAAUUAUUCUAAAACCCUAUCUGUCCAGAUCCAAAUUUAAGCAACUCUACAUUGCCAAAUAUUUCCAAUUGUGUUCAAAUUUGGUGGACAUGUUCUGAAACUCCAAUAAUGCAUCCACACCAAGUGGUGCAUUAAUGAGAAUAGAAGAACUUGUCCCAAGCCCCUCAAAAUCCUCUCGUUGAUUUCUGACUUUGGGAAACUUUACAUUAUAAAGUUUCUCCAAUUGAUCCCAAACUUUUUCGACAUGCUUUAAUGCUCAAAUAACCCCCCCCCCCCACACACACACCAAAUAUUGGAUUUGUGGGAAUUGAUUUGAAUAGUGUUGUAAGCAGAAGGUCAUUUUUGUCCAUUUCAAGGGUUUUCCAAGUCUACAUUCGAAACUUUGUCCACCAAAUCCCAAAUUUGGUGUCCAGGCUUAUUUUCAUCUAUUAUGAGAUCCUGUUAAGUUUCAUAUCAAUUGGAAUCCAUCUGUUAGACCUAACAUCCAUCAAACACCUUGUGUGUGCACUCACGAAAAUUGCUACUUUGGCCCCUUCCACUAUUUCCGUUGAGCUUAAACUUUUACCACAACUCUGUAUAGUUACAUUUUACCUCAAGUAACUUUGCCACGACCACUGGUCAAUUAUUGGAGGAUGACUCCAUGUAUCUACCUUUCAAUUUCUACCUUGGCAGCAUCAUAUUUACCCCUCUUCCUAUACUUAUGCUUAACCCAAAGCCCCCACAUUCUUCCAGGGCAUCUCUAGCAUGCUAAUGCACCAUUUCAUAUCAAAAUAUAGCAUGCUCAUGUGGGAAAAAUGAGCAGCACAUCUGAAACUUGAUUUCUGGCAGAACUGUAGCUUUGAACUACAACUGAUAGCUAGACUCAUCCCACUGAGCUGAAAAUUUGUAGGAUAGUAGUUCUUCCAUGCUAAGACUACUAGACAUUGUUUCACCCCAUUAGCUCUCCAGUAAGUGCCCUCAUCAUUAGCCCUAAGUUUCCUGCUGCAAACUAAACUACAGUCAAAACCAAUUCAAAUCAGCUCCAUUCGAGGCCAAACUCCACCAUCAGCUUCCUGCAGGCAUGCCCUGCAUGUUUCACACCUUGGCCUGGCCAACGGACGCCUAUGGACACGUAGUGGGGUGGUGACCACCUCCCUGGCGUGCACANNNNNNNNNNNNNNNNNNNNNNNNNNNNNNNNNNNNNNNNNNNNNNNNNNNNNNNNNNNACGCCUUGUCCCCUUCCCGCAGCCCGUCUUAGGCGGCAACAACACGUCUCAGUGCGCCACUAGACCCCCUUUGACCAGUCCAGCCCCUGCCUGACGUGAGCUCACCUCCAAAACGCCCUAGGGACGCGUGCCCUCCCGUGCCAGAGCGUGCCCGCCAUGCAGCCGAGCUCCUCCUCGUCGGCCCCCUCCUUUUGAACGUGCCCCCGAGUCUCUGCUGCCUCUUGUCUCCUUCCCCCUCUCCUCGGAACCCCCCGAGCUCAUUCCCCCUCUUCUCCCGCACCCCAUUCCCCUCCUACAUCCGCCAUGGCUCCGCUUCGGCCUUGCUCGCAUUCGAGCUCUCUCGGCUCCCUCCUUCCCUUCUGGCACUUCCCAGAGCUCGCCAGGCCCUCCGCAGGAUCCUCCCUGCGCUCCCUUCCUUUCCCCGACAGCCGGAGUGCCCUAGCCGCGUCCAGCCCACCGCAGCCGCUGCCACGGCCUUGGCCGUCUCCCCAUGGUGCUCCCCGGCCAAGCUAGCCUCCCUAGAGGGGUGCGGCAGUCGCCCCGCGGUCGUUGGUGGCCGGGCCGUCGCUGGAAGUUGCUGGAGCAGCCGGAGCCAGCCCCUUCACCGGCUGGCCCUGCCUCCCCUGCCUGCUCUCAGAUCGAGCGGGAGGAAGAGGAAGGACCCGACAGGCGGCCCCCCUGGUCAGCUUCAUAUCGGUCGAGCCCCCUGUUUUAAGUGGUAGUGCCCUGGCUGGUGGGCGUCUCCCUCGCGCAGAGGCGUAUGCGGAGGAAUACGCCUUUGGCGUAGCAAGUUGCUUGCGGCUGGAGCCGUUGGGCCGACCCAUCUGCUUAUCUUGCGCCCUAAGCGCACUAUAAGCCCCUGGUAAAGCCUCUUUUCAUUUUUCAGAAACUUCAUAAAUCCAUCAAAAAUUCAUCUGAGCUCCAAAUCUGAUGAUUCAAAAUCCUGCAGGUUCCUAAAAUCAAGGUCCAUCCAAAGAUGUGCUUUAUACGUUUUUACAAACAAAUUUUAUAUGGUAUUAAUAUUCAAAUGCAUAUUUGAAUAUAUUUAGCCCCACCUUGCAAAAAUCCUAUGGGGUUCAAAUCAACUCCAAAUGGAGUGGUUCCAAUUUCGAGAGUCUCCUAAUAUCUUGCACUAUUUUUGAAGCCUUAGUCAACAUUGCUAUUUGGCAUGAUUCUAUUGCAUUAAAUAAAUAGCUUCCUUUUGCUAUUUAUCUAGUAUUAGAAAAUCCCUAGAAUAUUCAUAUCAACUUCAAAUCCAGUGAAACAACUUCCUAAAUGUUUCUAAAAUUACGCUAUGUUAAAUGAGUGCCUCCAGUCAUUUUUAUCAAAAUGUCUUCUGUAGGCUUCUUUAAGGAUCACCUAUUCCUCCUUUCGUCCAUUCAAAAAUCCCCGAUGGUGCAAAUCUCCUAGGGCAAGCUUCGGGCAUUUUUCUUAUGACUAAAGGGGUCCAAGAAAAAUAGAAGUUCCAUUUAUGUAGCAAUUGUUUUUCUGCUUACUGUGUGGCUUACUAUGAUUGUUUCGACGAUAGAUGAUGGGUAGACGGGAUACUCGGAGUUGAACCAGAGUUUCCGAUAGCUCCUCUGGAGCACUUGCAUUGAGCAUGACCCUAUCAUCUAUGAGGGUCAUGCUGAUAAUAUAUUGGCAAGUAGACAGUAGUGCUACGCACAGAAACAACAUGUGCAUGAUGAUGGUAACACAAAGUUGAUAUCAAAGGUUUUACAAAAACCCCGUCGGGUGCCACUAAUGCCCGAGGGUGAUGAUGUUGAGUUAGGUGACCACUUGUGAAAGAAGUGGUGCAACGGGAAUGUUUUGUGUGAGUGGUUUCAAAAAUGGUAUUAGAUUUAUGAUGUGUCGACCGUCCCAACCUUAUAUGUGCGACCACGAUACCCCUUUAUGGAACAUGGCUUUAUUGAUUACUUUGGUCGGUGCUAGCAAAGGGCCACAUUACUAGCGGCGGGAGUGAUAUGUGGUCACUCUCGUGAUGGGGUCGUACCAGGUAGGUCGACAAUGUCGUUUUUACGUGUUCCAGGCAUACCGUUGGUCCCCGCAUGGAUGAUAUGGUCUAGAAUCGGUGCUCGUAAGACGUACAUCAUGUGGGUUGGGUACCAACCGAGUGAACUCUUUGUAUUUUAUCAUCAGGGGAAAGGCAAUGAUCGGGUACUUACCUCUAGUAUGUUAUAUACCGUGAGUCGUGGAUGACACAGAAGUUUCCCGAAUCUCGUGGGUGCAGCGUACAACCUCUGCAGAGUGUAAAACUAUUCGAAUAUCCGUGUCCACGGUCAAGGACAGUUGGGUAAUCCUGCUUAAACUACGUCCAUUUGUUUUCACAUAAACAAAGUGUGAGUGUGUAUGUUUAAAGGUGUUUUCUCCGGAAGAUGAUAUGACAAGUUCGGUGACUUGGCAUAUAGGGUGAACCUGUGGUGUUCAACCCUCAACAUAUAUGUUGAUAUCUGUGACCUGUUCUCUUGAAUACCAUCUAGCUUAUGAUGCAUGUCCAUUCAAGCAAUUGAUCAUGUUUAUUUACAAACAAAACCUGCUUUCCGCAAAGGCUUCAUAUUACUUUAUUAUCGUACUAACUGCACUAUCCAUAUCAUGAAGAGUACAUUCAAAGUACUCAUUGGCUUGCCACUGGUUAUUUCAUUGACCAGCCAUGAGAGAGCAGGGAAUGGUGAAGAGUAACUUGGUGACGUUCCUGCGAGCUAGGACGCUUCCCAGUCAGAAUGCCUAUAGGUUAAGGCUGAUGGCAUGGGUUGACGCAUAUCUCCGCUAUUGGUCAAGUUUGGUGUGCGGGCCUUCAAGGCCCUAUAUAUGUAAGACUUGACCGAAAUGGUCAUUUAUUGUAUCAAACAAUAUGUAUGGAUGUAAGACUCUUGUUAUUCAAUUUCUGUGUGUUCGGUGAGCAAUGAUCUCUGGGAUCACUGAGCGCGUUCAUUUGGCGAUCUUGACUCGUAAGUCAAGGUCCCCACACUAUAGUUUUCAUUUAGUUUAGUUCAAGUUUAGUUUUGAGUGCCAUUCAGUCAAUUCUGGGCAAUAAUUGUCAUUUAAGUCGGCUCAACUCAACUCUAGGUAAUAGUUGCCAUUUAGUUCAGUUCAAGUUAAGUUUUGUAUGCCAUUUAGUUAAGUGGUAGGAGCAACAAGUGGAAUCCAGUUCAGUUUUAUUCUUAAUUCUGCAUAAGUUGUUCUGUUCGAUUCUGAAAUGCUCAAAGCUUACCAGAACACUCAUUGGACACCCAUCUAGUCAUAACGUUCAAGCAAACACUGGAACAUUUUACCACAUAUACAGGUAGCAACUCGAACUCUUAUUAAAUCAUAACAUUCAACCAGAACUACAAUAUUAUUUAUCUUAAUCUUCCCCUCCAUAUUCAGUUAACAUGAGUGACUCAGUUGAAUGCUGCCUGCACUUUGCAGCAUUUUGGCAUGAUUUUUUAUGCUAACCCACUCAAGUCUGCUCAGAACACAAACCGUAGGAUGCGUCGAGGUAGCCUUGUCUUCCGGCUCCCUGCGAUGCCACUAGUGUACGACGACGGAGCCUUGGCUGGUGAUGACGAGUUGAUGGAUAUACUUCUCACCCCUCGUUGGUUACCCCAAGUGGAAGGUGGAGAUGUAGUUAGCAGCAAAUUUCCCUUACACGGGGACUGUAAGGUUUAUUGAACCAGGAGGACUCCGAGGAUCAACAAGUAGGUCUCCGCUGCUCUAGCGCUAGCAAAAGACGUGGACCUGCACACACAACAAAUAACUUUGCUCCCAACGAGUACAAAGAGGUUGUCAAUCUCUCCGGCCUUGUAGUUUGCAAAGGAUCAAAACAGAAGCGGGAAUAGAGAUAGUGAUUGCAACGGAAAAGUAAAUGAAAACGGGAAAUGGUGGAGGUGUAAACAAUGGUGGUAAUAUGGACCUCGGUCCCAUGAUGUUCACUAGUGAUGUCUCUCUCCCAAAAGACGAUAAACAACUAUGUUGGGUAAACAAAUUACAGUUGGGUAAUUAACAGAAUUAUAAACGCAUCGGAAUGCUAAUCAUGCUACUAGAAAGUUAGAGGCUCAAAAGUAAUGGGCAGUACGCCAAGACAAGUAGACCGUUUAUUCACCAACAUCUACUUACUAAGCAUCCACCUUGAGAUAUCUAUCCAGAACAUCUCGCUGGUAUUAAGUUGCGAGCCCCACCAAAGUGUAAACUCAAAGCAACGGUCAACUACAUUAACGAACUUUGCGUAAGGUAAACAAUCCUUGCAACCGUGGCCAUAAGCACCGUUGUUUUCUCCCUGGUGGCAAUAACACAUCCCCUAGUCUCAUGUUUUUGUAACUCAAGCUAGAAAUCAGGGGGCAUGAACCCACAAUCAUGCAUAACACUCCCUCUUGGAGUUACAAUCUACUACUCGGCCAAAGCAAUAAAAAGCAACGGAGAACAUGCAUGAAUUACCUAAGAACAUAAUAUAAAAGAAUAACCAAAUAUAUAAUUCAUCACAAUCUGAACAUAAUCUCAUAAUCCAUCGGAUCCCAGCAAACCAAGCAUAACAAUAGCAGGAAAAUUACAUAGAUGCCUUGAUCAUGUAGGGCAGCUCACAAGGGCUAAACAUUGAAGCACAUGAUUGGAGAGAAGACAUCACAUAGCUACUGGUCAUGGACUCAUGGUCCAAGGAGGACUACUCACAACAUGUUCGGGAAGCGUCCAUGGCGCUUGAGAAGCUCCCGGAGGUCAAUCCUCCCUCCGGCAAGGUGCCGGGAAGAGGUCUCCUGGUGUUCCCGAUCUCGGGAGCGUUGUAGCAGCGGAACGACGGAGAAACUCGUGAUUCUCGAUCUCCUGGAAGGGUUUCCUAUCGAAGAGGUAAAUAUAGGCCGAAGGAGGGCAUGAGAGGAGGUGCCCCCCCCCCGGCGACCUGGUGGCGCGACCAGGAGGGGGGACGCGCAAGGGGGCCGCCUGGGCUGGCCCUGGCUCCCCUUUGGCCCAUCUUUGUGCUUCGUGAAGCUUCAGUUAUGCUGAUUUUUAUAUAUUUUUCUCGGGAUUUUUGGGGCUAUGUAUAUUUGGGUAAAAGUCCCUGCAAAAAAGACAUCAGCAGAGAGAAACUGACACUGGGUACACUGAUUUAGUAGGUUAGUCCAAAUAUUGGUAAAAAGGUAUGAACGUGUAGCAAAACAUAUAACAAUGUCAUUCAAAAGAUCAUGGAACAAACAUAAAUUAUAUAUUCGUUUGGGACAUAUCAGCUGGUGACUGUUGUCAUGAGACCUUGAAACUGGACAUGAGCAGUGUGUUCCAGGGUGGUGGCGGCAUAGAGGAUGAGUACGAUGGCCCUGAAGUCGGGUGCAGUCUGUGAAUGAAGAUAUGUCAAAAGACACUACAUCUCUUGAAGCUCACCGAUAAGUGGAGACCGUAGGCCGUAGCCAAAACUAAGGUUAGUGACCUAAAUUGUUGUCACAUGAAGAAACCUAGAGCAGGAAAAUGUAAAUGUAAUAAUCAACUCGGGGUGGCAAACACUACCAGCCGGAAACAUUUUAAGGGUUGGUUCGUUGCAGCAAGGUAUGCGACAUUAUAAUGCUAAGCUACUCACUUGGACAAUGAGAUCAUGAAUCCAGCUCUUAUGAACACUAGAUGACCUGUUGCGCCGAUGGCGUAAAGGGCGAGAGCAAACCAAGAAUUCAAAUGAUGCAGAUAAAAAUAUUUAGACACCGAUAGAAGCAUAAGUAAAUAUAUGUUUAGGUAUGAUGUCGAUAUAGAGCGUAAUAACAAAGCCAUGAGAUCAGUUCAUGAUACCUUAUUUACAUUGCUUUUAUCAAGCGAGAUCAGAUUAUGAUAGCUUUUUUACAUUGCUUUUAUCAAGCAGGCUACAUUGGUAGAGAUGCAUCAUAUAGAUAGCUCUAGUCAUUUAGCUUAUGGUGAGUAAGGUGUGCACCAUGAAUAUCGGGUAGGGUCAAGCGAGUUGAGUGGUAGAAAUGAAAACAACCUAUAAUACUACAUAUGAACUUUAAACUGUAACCGAGUCGUAGACAUUAUAGUACAUUGAUGUAGGCAACAAUAUAUCGCUUCUAAUAUGCUAAUCUUUGAAUCAAUAUUUGAAAGAGAGAAAAAAAUUGGGUGUAAGAAUAAAUAAACAUGAAAGUAGACUGUCCAUUGAACGUGCAUGGGAAAGGCAUCGUACCAUAUUUAUCUAUGGCAUGCCAAUAUCUAUAUAUAUUAAGUAGAACAUAUUAUCUCUUUUGUCCGUGGAAAAGAUAAGACCAUUUGAUACUGAUACUGAAGUUAUUAGAUAUUGUGCACCUAAUUCUAUAUUGGCUUACAAUCUCUAUAUCCCCUUAUCCUGGUGUCUAAACUCUAUCUCUACCCAUAUGUUAGAUGGCCUAAGCAAACACACUGCGGUACCAAUGGCCUAUGUAGAUAGCUGGGCAGUGCCAGCGCAUAACUAAUUUGAAAGCUCACGGAAAAUCAGGUAACACCAAAAUAACUAAUAGCUUAGCAGCAUUACAUGAUACUCCAUCAUCAUCUUGUUCCCUUGAUCUGCACCCGAAGUUUCCGACUGGAUUGUACUGUUAGAGUAUAUAUAAUAUAGCCAUGUACCCCUUCGUACUUAUCCCAUUGUAUAAGGGGUUUCCUGCAUAUAGACCACACCUGUACAUGUAUGUAUAUCGACCUAUGGCCUCAUGGGAAUACAAGUUGCAUAUUCCUAACAUGGUAUUAGAGCCCUAGGUUUUUUUGCACGCGCAACUCGUGUUUUUCCUCCUAGCCGACGCUCGAGCUGCAGCUUCUCUCGCCGACGCUCGCGCUUAGCUACCUUGGGCUAGCCCUUUAUUCGUCCCGACCGUGUCGUGCUCGUGCUGCAGCCUCGGCAUCUUCAGGUCAAAGCUUGCCUCGUCUCCAGCUCAUGGCCACGUCGGCUCCUCCUAGUCUCGGCGUCUUUCGAAGCCGGAUCGAGGCUCUGCUCCCGCCCUCGCCCUCCACCUCGGCUGCGUUGGCUCCUCCCAGUCUCGGCGUCUCCCACCGAUGGAUCGAGGCUCUGCUCCCGCCCCCGCCCUCCACCCUGGCCGCGUCGUGCUCUCCAGAUCGAAGCUAGGAUCGCGGCUCCUCCCAGUCUUGGCGCCUUCAGAUUGGAUCAGCACUCCAGCCAGGCCGCUUUCUGCUCUCCAGAUCGAAGAUUCCCGCAUCGCGCGGCCUUCUGCACUACGAAUCGGAUCGGGUGUUCACCUGAUCGUUGACCUAAAAAAAUGUCUGCAGUAUCUGGCUAUGUUGCUGUUCCUCGCCGUUCGGUGAUUUUUUAUGGCACCAACUACACCGAGUUCAUUGGCUUUAUGCGCAUUCAUAUGCGUGGCAUCUGUCUAUGGGGUGUUCUUUCUGGCGAGGUGUGUUGUCCGCCACGUCCGGUUCCUCCUCUGGACCCUACUCCGCCGACUCCACCAGUUCUUCCUGUGGAUGCUAAUCAGGCCGCAAAGGAUGCGACUAAGCUUGCUGAUGAGGCUGUUGUUUGUGCUUAUGAUGAGAAGUUUUUGACUUAUGAGGAGGCUCUUCAGGCGUAUCAUGGUGCACUAUCUAUUUACACCUAGUGGCUUGAUGAUGAUGCUCGUGCUGUAGCUCUUCUCACUGCUAGUGUCCUGCCCUAGUUUGCCUCUGAGUUUCUGGGCCUUCCUACUGUCUUUGAGAUGUGGACCCGUCUUCGUCAGUGCUGUGAGCCCUCUGGUGAUGUCUUAUACCUCUCUGUGGUCCGUCAGGAGCAUGCUCUUCAGCAGGGUGACUCCACUGUUGAUGAUUUCUAUGCACAGAGUUCUGCUAUCUGGCGCCAGCUUGAUUCUCUCCGCAGUGCUGGUUGUCGUACUUUCCCAUGUUGCCAGGCCGUACAGGCCAAUUUGGAGUUUCAUCGUGUCUACGAGUUUUUGUCUCGGCUCCGUAAGGAGUUUGACCGCCGGCGUGCUGAGUUGUUUGCUUGUCGUCGUAUUUCUCUCAUGGAGGCACUUUCUGAGAUCCGUGCUGAGGAGACUCGCUUGCGUGGUGCUGGUUUACUAGAGAUUCCCUCUAUGCUCGCUGCUCGAGCUCGUGCUACGCCACAUGCUGCACCGACUUUGGCUUGCUCGAGUGCUCCGUCACUCUUGCCCACUACUCCUGGCGGCACAGGACGCCCCCGUUCACAUUGCGGCUACUACAACCUGAAUGGUCAUGUCGAGUUUCAGUGCUUCCAGAAGAAUAAACACUUGCGUAAGGCGUGAUCAUCAUCUUCAGGGACUUCGUCUAUUACCUUGACAUCUUUAGCCACCGCUUUGACUGAGCAGGAUAUUCUCAGACUUAAGCGUCUACUUGCUGCUUCAGGUUCUUCCUCGAUGGGUACUACUGGUUCUGUGACUCAUGCUUCCCGCACUGAGCAACCACCUUCUACACAGUCAGGUACAUCCCCAUGGGUUUUGGACUCCGGAACUUCUUUUCAUAUGUCUUCUCAUUCUUCCACUUUGUCCUCUCUUCGAUCGCUUGAUUUUCCUGUUCAUAUCCUCACUACUUAUGGUACUCCUCUUUAUGUUGCUAGUAGAGGCAAUCUUACCACUCCUUCUUAUUCUGUCCCUGAUGUUCCUCAUGUUCCUCGACUUACCAUGAAUCUGUUUUCUGCUGGUCAACUUACUGAUUCUGGUUGUCGCGUCAUCCUUGACAUUGACUCUUGUUCUAUCCAGGACCGUCGCACGCACAAUCUGGUUGGGGUUGGCCCUUGCCGCCGUGAUUCUCAGGGUCUUUGGGAGUUAGGCUGGCUUCAUGUUCCUUCCACUGCCACCACUAUCGCCAGUUCCUCCGCUUCGGUCGCCUCCGCUAUCGGUUCCUUCCAGAAGUGGCAUCAUUGACUUGGUCAUCUUUGUGGUUCUCGUUUGUCGUAUUUAGUUCGUCGAAGUCUUCUGGGGUCUGUCUCAGGAGAUGUCUCUUUAGAAUGUCAGGGUUGUUGUCUUGGCAAACAGAUUCAGUUACCAUAUUCACAUAGUGAGUUAGUGUCUAAGCGUCCUUUUGAUUUAGUCCAUUCUGAUGUAUGGGGUCCGGCUCCCUUCACUUCGAAAGGGGGUCAUCGAUACUAUAUUAUUUUCAAAGAUGAUUUCUCUCGUUAUACAUGGCUUUAUUUUAUGACUUCUCGUAGUGAGGUGUUGUCUAUUUAUAUGCAUUUUUCUGCCAUGGUUCACACUCAUUUCUCUUUGCCCAUUCGUGUGUUUCGUGCUGACUCCGUUGGCGAGUAUAUUCCUAAAAUGUUGCGUGGUGUUCUUGCUGAGAAAGGGACUCUUUCUCAGUUCUCUUGUCCUCGUGCUCAUGCUCAGAUUGGUGUGGCUGAGCGCAAGCAUCGUCACCUUCUUGAUACGGCUCGUGCGUUGAUGAUUGUUGCCUCUCUCCCACCUCAUUUUUGGGUUGAGGCUGUCUCCACCUCCACCUAUCUCAUCAAUCUAUAACCUUCUGCUGCUCUACAGGGUGGUGUUCCUUUCGAGCAUCUUUUUGAUUGUUCUCCCGAUUAUUCGAAGCUUUGCUUGUUUUGUUGUGUUUUCUAUGUUCUUCUUGCCCCUCGAGAACGCACCAAACUGACCGCUCAUUCUGUUGAGUGUGUCUUCUUAGGCUAUAGUGAUGAUCAUAGGGGCUAUCAUUGUUGGGAUCCUAUCGGUCGUCGGAUGUGUAUCUCUCGGGAUGUGACUUUUGAUGAGUCUCGUCCCUUCUACCCGCGCCCAUCUUCCUCGACCUUUUUAGUGGAGGAUAUAUCUUUUCUCACUUUUCCUGACACACCUCUCACCCCCAUCGAGCCUUUCUCUAUUAGUUCUGCCACCUCUGCUUCUCCACCUCUUGCCGAUUUGCCACCACCAUCUCCCACAGUUUCCUCCCCUAGCAUGUCAGCAGAUUCUGCACCUUCAUCUCCGGUGACUUCUUCGUCUUCACCCCCCGAUUCUACCUUCGUGAUCCCUCCUUGCAUUGUUCAAUCUUUUCCUCAGUGUUACACUCGUCGUUCAUGUUAUGUGGAUGCCUCUACAGAUGUGUCAUCAUCCUCGUCUUAGCCUACCUAUGGCUUGCAUUCUCGUCCUCAUCCACCUGUUGAUCGCCUUGGAUUUCCCAUCGCUGGUGCUGCUAUUCUUGAGCCGACUUCCUAUCGUCAGGCUAUUGUUCAUCCUGAAUGGCAGUUUGCGAUGGCAGCGAAAAUUGCUGCUCUUGAACGCAGUGGUACAUGGGAUCUUGUUUCCCUCCCCCCCGGUGUCUGUACCAUCACUUGUAAGUGGGUCUACAAGGUUAAGACUCCCUCUGAUGGUUCUCUUGAGCGUUAUAAAGCUCGUCUUGUGACUAGUGGCUUUCAGCANNNNNNNNNNNNNNNNNNNNNNNNNNNNNNNNNNNNNNNNAGCAGGAGCAUGGUCGUGAUUACGACGAUACUUUUGCUACUGUGUCCCAUAUGACCACUAUUCGUACACUUCUUGUCGUGGCCUCUCCACGCCAUUGGUCUGUAUCUCACCUUGAUGUUAAGAAUGCCUUUCUUAAUGGUGAGCUACGUGAGGAGGUGUACAUGCAGCCACCACCUGGGUAUUCUGUUCCUGAUGGCAUGGUAUGUCGUCUUCGUCGCUCUCUCUAUGGCCUUAAGCAAGCCGCCCGCGCCUGGUUUGAGCGUUUUGCCUCUGUGGUAACUGCCGUUGGUUUUUCAGCCAGUGCUCACGAUCCAGCAUUGUUUGUCCACCUUUCUCAUCGUGGCCGGACUCUUCUUCUUCUCUAUGUUGAUGACAUGAUCAUCACUGGUGAUGACCCCAAGUUUAUUUCCUUUGUAAAGGCCCGUCUUAAUGAGCAGUUUCUUAUCUCUGAUCUUGGACCUCUUCGCUACUUUCUUGGGGUUGAAGUCUCUUCUACCUCUGAUACCUUUUUUAUAUCCCAGGAAAAGUAUAUCCAGGAUCUUCUUUGCUCGUGCUGCUCUUACUGACGAGCGCAUUGUUGAGACUCCCAUGGAGCUCAAUGUUCACCUCCGUGAUACUGAUGGUGACCCCCUGUCUGACCCGGCGCGUUAUCGUCAUCUUGUUGGCAGUCUUGUCUAUCUAGCUGUCACUCGUCCGGAUAUCUCUUAUCCGGUUCAUAUACUAAGUCAGUUUGUCUCUGCUCCCACCUCGGUUCACUAUAGACACAUCCUUCGUGUUCUCCGAUAUCUUCGGGGCAUGAUCUCUCACCGUCUAUCCUUUCCUUGCUCCAUUUCUUUACACCUUCAGGCCUAUUCGGAUGCUACGUGGGCUAGUGAUCCUUCAGAUCGCCGUUCACUUUCUGCUUACUGUGUUUUUCAUGGUGGUUCUCCCAUUGCCUGGAAGACGAAGAAAUAGACCACAGUUUCACGUCCGAGUGCAAAGGCUGAGUUGCGAGUGAUGGCUCUUUUGACGGCAGAGGUGACUUGGUUAUGGUGGUUACUUCAGGAUUUUGGUGUUUCUGUCACUACACCGACUCUGCUCUUAUCUGACAGUAUAGGUGCUAUCAGCAUUGCGCAUGAUCUUAUGAAGCAUGAGCUCACCAAGCACAUUGGUGUUUAUGCUUUCUAUGUGUGUGCUAGUGUGCAGGAUCAGGUUAUUGCUCUUCAGUAUGUGCCUUCCGAGUUACAGUUGGAGGAUUUCCUGACGAAGGUCGAGACUAGAGCACAACAUGGCUUCUAUCUCUCCAAACCCAGUGUUGUUCAUCCACCAUGAGUUUGAGGGGGGUGUUAGAGUAUAUAUAGUAUAGCCAUGUACCACUUCGUACUUAUCCCAUUGUAUAAGGGGUUUCCUGCAUAUAGUCCACACAUGUACAUGUAUAUAUAUCGGCCUAUGGCCUCAUGGGAAUACAAGUUGCAUAUUCCUAACAUGUAGCACGUCCGUUAGUUGUGCUGGUUAAAGUACGUGUAUGUGGUAAAUAGCAUGUUUGGGAAGAAUUUAGCUCAAAUAGAAGAUGAAAUGUAAUGUAUAUCAAAAUAGCCAAGCAAAUGUAUAGAAAGACCUUAGUAUAAAAGCACCAAUUAAUUAAGGUUGUGACUCCUCAAAAUGAAGGUUUCUGUAACAGUUCUAUCAAUGGAUCAUCAUCAUAUAUCACAACUACUAAUAAAGGGUUAGUGUUGAGUUCUCUACGAAAUAUUUUCCAACAAAAGGUUAAAAGAAAGAGUGCUCUCCAAACAUAGAAUGAAUCUGAAUAAUAGACUCCUAUCAAGUCCACUCUAUGGUAGUGUCCAAAGUGGGAAAUGUUGCGAGAAGGAUGACGCUUUUUUAGUCGAUCAUGUUUACGGUUCUAGUAGUAGGUAAUCAUAUAUUAAUUUUCUAAACUGGGAUGUUAGAAAAAGUACUUCCAUCCAGUAGAGUUGAAUACUGUCGAGUAGUAGUACCAGAGGAAACAAAAAUCAUCAUGAAAAGUACUUUGCUAUUUUGAUCUCUUAACAAAUACUCCCUCUAUCCCAAAAUAAGUAGCGUUGGUCUAGUACAAAAUUUGUACUAAUUUAGUAUUAAAUCCGUGACACUUAUUUUGGGAUAGAGGGGGUAUUAUAUAGAGACUUCCAAUAAGCACAUGCUAUUAUAAAUUAAUAUUCACAACAUGUACAUCAUAUCCACCUGAUGGUAUAGUAAUAGAUCAGGAACCUGUCAUGGCGAUGGUGCAUAUUUUCUUAUCAAAACUAUGCAUAUAACCUAGAACCUUGAUGCAUAUGUCCCUAACCUGCAUAUGAAGCUUUUCUGAUUAGGAACUAUAUGGAAAAGAAACAUACUUUACCUGAUUGAAGCUCAAAUGUGACCAAACUGGACCAUAUUCUAAAUCGAUCAAAAGUGACCAAAUUGGAGCAUAUCCAAAAUCUAUAACUUAUGUGCCGGUACAGGUGUGCACACGAUCACCUAUGGGACCUUUGGUCACCUUUGUGGUUCGAUGGGGAUGUUGUAUCGCACAAAGAGUAGAGACUAUGAAGCAACGCGAUGAUGAGACUCGAGGAUUUUACCCAGGUCCGGCCCGCUGUGAAGCGUAAAACCCUACCCCUGCUUUUGUGAAUUGAUUGGGGAAGACAAAGUUUGCAUGAAGCUAUACCCCGGCAAGGAUUGCCGGCGAGAGCUAGCACAUGCGUGCACUUACACUUGGCCUUAAUCCCCUAGGGACCUAAACUACCAAGUGUCGAAUCUCCAAGUGUUAGAAUACCCAAAGAUCUGAAUUGCUUGCUAGGUUGCCUCGGGCCUCCUUUUAUAGCUCAAGGGGCAUCCACAGUGGCAACUGACAUGAUCAGAUAGACAAUAGUGCUAUCAUACCUAACUCUGGCACUUAAGACAGAGCGCCAUAAAUGUGGCCUUAGGUGGCGAGCGGGGGUGCGUCCCCGGCAGGCUUCUGCCAUGUAUGAGCUGGCCAUGGCUUGGGGUCUUGAUACGCCUUUGGAUGGGUGUCAACAGGUUGUAACCUGUCUUCCGUCACGCCGCCAUGUAGCCAGCAAGAGACACCUAGCCAUCUGCGAGCUCGGCACCUCAUCGAUAAGUGACUGGUGUAGUGAUGUGGUGGAGCUGUGGCAGGUUGGCCAACGCUUGCCGGGGAGGCGCCUUGCCGGGUCUUGGUGAGGAUGGUUGCACCUUCGCCCCCGGCAAGUGCCAGGGGUUCUUGGCAUGUCUUGGGCUUUUGGCACUGGUCUUGCCGGCGUCUGGUUCCGGCUCUUCGCUUGGGUUGGAGGUUGCUCUUGAGGGGCUACGCCCUCAACGCAUGUGCACAAGUGAGGGGCACUAAGUCCCCAAUUACUAGUGCACCGACACAAGCCCCCGGGCCUGGCACAUACAUGCUUGCCUAGCGAUGUUGGGUUAGGGCCAAAGUUCAUGCACGGACAUGAAAUUCGCAACGAGGUAACCGCCAUCCCACUGCUCCGCGCCGUCCACCACUUCAGGCCAUUUCCGCCACAUGCACCGCAUGCAUUGCGCGAAUCUCGCGGAGGGUGCGCGUGGCUUAAAGUCCUCGUCAUGAUAGAAUCCGCAGCGUCGUGGAUUGGAUUGAUGGGGCGGUUACCUGUUCGCCCGUGAUGGUGGGCAACGACAUAAGUGGAGAUGGGCGGCGACCCUUGGAGCGUAGGAGAGCCAGCCCCUAGCGCCCUCCCUAUAAAAGCAGGAGGGGUGCGGUAGACGAUGCUCAUCCAUCGUUAUCAUCUUCUCCAACCUAGGGUUACCCGGUUUGCUCUUCUCUUUUGGUCCUUUGAGGUGGCUUCCGUUCUUGGCCAUGGUGGAGAAGCGUGGGGACAACAAGAGCUUCCCGUUCGGAUCAUGCAACCGCUUCAGUCGUGGUGCCGGAGGUUGGCACCAGUGCUCGAGGCGGGGGCGCUGGAAGGGCCCGGGGCCGUCGAGGAGCUCAUUAUGUGAUCCGGUCAUAGGUGGAGGAGUGAUUCAUAUUUCAGGAGCCAUGACCCGUCACAUCACUCACACCCCCUUACUUGUACGAUGCUGCAGAGCUACUAUCGAGUACCGAGGGUGACACCUCGUUACGUACUCCUAUGUUAGCGUUGUAGUCUAGUUGACUGACGGUGGUUCUCGGAGGCUGAUUCCUCCUUGACCACCUCCGAUAACGACUCUAUCAUACAACCCAUCAAGUGUGGUCCAGAAAGGGUGAUUCCUCACUGACCACCUUGACGGUUACAUCAUUCAGAAUCCAUCGAGGGUGAUACCUCGGAUCCCUCUGAUGUACAACCACAAAGCUACUUGACCUGGUUACUGGGAACUUGAUGAAUGUUGUGUUGCGGGUGGAUUCUCGUGUGGAUGAGAUGAUGAGUUAAUUAAAAUGGUAAUGGAUUUGGGUAUUCGUUCUGAGUUGGUCAGGAGACCUUUAUGCACUAACCUUCACGUGGGAGAAGUUAUGGGUACUUGACGUCGUAGUAUCAGCUGAAGCUCUUCAGACGUCGGAAAUGGAGCGGCGCGCGCCCGAGUGGCCCGGAUAAGCAUCAUUCUUGUAUAAGAGGUGCCAUGACUGACAUCGGCCGCCCACGCAUCAUGCAAGAGCGCAAAGGGUUAUGGGCCCAUGACCCCUGCGCGCUUAGGAUUUAGACCGGCGGGCUGGUGAUACGUCCAUUUUGCAUCAUGCUUUUAUGUUGAUAUUUAUCGCUUUAUGGACUGUUAUUACACUUCACGGUACAAUACUUAUGCCUUUUCUCUCUUAUUUUAUAAGGUUUACAUGAAGAGGGAGAAUGCCAGCAGCUGGAAUUCUGGUCUGAAAAGGGAGCAAGUUUGAGUUACCUAUUCUGCGCAACUCCAGAAGCCGUGAAAAUCAAUGGGGAAUUAUUUUGGAUUUUAUGAAAAAUACUGGGCGGAAGAAGUACCAGAGGGGCGCCACCAGGAGGCCACAAGCCUGCCAGGCCGGGCUACCCCCCUGGCCGGGCCUGGGUGGCUUGUGGGCCCCCUGUUGCCCCUUCGGCGCUCAUCUUUUGCUAUAUGAAGGGUUUCGUUCCAUAAAAAAUCAUAAGGAAGCUUUCGGGAGGAGCCACCGCCGCCACGAGGCGGAACUUGAGCAGAACCAAUCUAGAGCUUCGGCAGGGUUGUCUUGCCGGGGAAAUUUCCCUCUCGGAGGGGGAAAUCACCGCCAUCGUCAUCACCAACACUCCUCUCAUCGGAGGGGACUCGUCACCAUCAACAUCUUCAUCAACACCAUCUCCUCUCUAAACCCUAGUUCAUCUCUUGUAACCAAUCUCUGUCUCGCAACUCCGAUUGGUACUUGUAAGGUUGCUAGUAGUGUUAAUUACUCUUUGUAGCUGAUGCUAGUUGGAUUGCUUGGUGGAAGAUUAUAUGUUCAUAUCUUUGUUGCUACUCAUUACCUAUCUGGUCAUGAAUAUAAUUAUGGUUUGUGAGUAGUCACUUUUGUUCCUGAGGACAUGGGAUAAGUCUUGCUAUAAGUAGUCAUGUGAAUUUGGUAUUCGUUCGAUAUUUUGAUGCGUUGUAUGUUGUUUUUCCUCUAGUGGUGUUAUGUGAACGUAGACUACAUAACACUUCACCAUUAUUUGGGCCUAGAGGAAGGCAUUGGGAAGUAAUAAGUAGAUGAUGGGUUGCUAGAGUGACAGAAGCUUAAACCCUAGUUUAUGCGUUGCUUCGUAAGGGGCUGAUUUGGAUCCACUAUUUUAAUGCUAUGGUUAGACUUUGUCUUAAUUCUUCUUUCGUAGUUGCGGAUGGUUGCGAGAGGGGUUAAUCAUAAGUGGGAGGUUUGUCGAAGUAAGGGAAGCACCCAAGCACCGGUCCACCCACAUAUAAAACUAUCAAAGUAGCGAACGCGAAUCACAUGAACAUGAUGAAAACUAGCUUGACAGAAAUCCCCAUGUGUCCUCGGGAGCGCUUUACCUCCUAUAAGAGUUUUUCCAGGCUUGUCCCUUGCUACAAAAGGGAUUGGGGCACUUUGCUGCACCGUUGUUACUAUUGUUACUUGCUACCCGCUACGAAUCAUCUUAUCACACAACUAUCUGUUACCGAUAAUUUCAGUGCUUGCAGAGAAUACCUUGCUGAAAACCACUUGUGAGAUCCUUCUGCUCCUCGUUGGGUUCGACACUCUUACUUAUCGAAAGGACUAUGAUAGAUCCCUUACACUUGUGGGUCAUUAGCUGAUCUCUUUGUUGAGCCUUGGUAGGGUUGCGAUGUGUUGAUGUUCCGAGGCCGAGCAUGACCCAGGAAAGUGUGUCCGCCAGAGUUUAUCAAGCGUGUUGGGUACUGUGGUGCACCCCUGCGGGGAUGAAAGUUAACUAUUCGAAUAGUUGUGCCCACAGUUACACGAUGAUUUGGAGUUGUCGCCUGAUCUUAUACAACUUGAACUAUUACUUAACUGGAAUGUUUGCUCCGGGAUUGCUUCCUCACACGGAGUCGAGGAAGAAUCUCUCGAUGUGAAUUUAAUUAAUAUUGCUGCAACAAUAUGACUAUUAAUUGUGUUACUUCCUCUACUCUCGUCUAUUGCUGCAAGACCCCUCAAUAUGCUAGUCUUCGAUAGGACUAGUCCCCUCUCUCUAUUCUCGCAUUGUUGUAGACCGUCCACGUAUAACCCCUUCCUUUGAUACUGAUGCAUACUUAUCAUAGUUCUGAUGUCAGUCUUACGAGUACUUUGGAUGAGUACUCACGAUUUCUUUGCUCCCCCUUUUCCCCUUGAUCCGUUGCUGUGACCACAUGAUGGAUCCUAGAAGAUGGCGUAUCCCGCCGAUGAUGUCUACUACCCCGACGGUGCCUACUACUAUGUGGAGGCCGUUGAAGACCAGGAGUAGUUUAGGAGGUUCCCACGCAGGAGGCCUCGCCUCGUUCGAUCGUUGUAUCUUUUGUGUUAGCCUUCUCUAAGGCAUUAUCAUGUUUCAUGUCUCUACUCAGAUAUUUCUUGGUUCCGCUGACUCGUGUUUUUUUUGAGCUUCUGUAUUCUAGCCUUCGAGCCCCCUGGCUUGUAAUACGAAGCUUGUAUGUUUUAUAUGUGUCUAGAAUUGUGUUGUGACAUCUUCUCUUGAGUCCUUGAGCUUGGUCGUACACAUUUGCGUGUAUGAUUAGCGUAUGAUCAAACUAAGGGCGUCACAAGUUGGUAUCAGAGCCGACUGCCUAUAGGUAGCCCCCUUUCCAACUCCUUGGCCGAAGUUGAGUCUAGUAUUUGGAAAACUUACUAACAUUGUUGUGUGGCUUACGGGCCCACAUCUCAAUCGGGUGGUAUUAGUAUCUUCUACUCCUUUUCUAUACUCUUGGUUCUACUCUCUCUUCUCUUUCGGGUUAAAGAUUUUGCUAACUCUAACAUUAGGUUCUCAUAAUCACAUCGACCCGGAGACCUGGAUUAUAUAUUGUUGUUCUUCUCAGAAUAUGUUACACGCACUGUCACUUGACGUGCUUGAUGUUUCCUUUUCAGAUGCGUCCCGCAAGGCAGAUUGUAUGCCUGACUAUGGCUGUCGAUGCGACUGGGUUCCCAGCCAUUCUAGUCGACCUCUUCACCAGGCUGUGAUAUCGCUAGUACCCCGAGUAUACUGUGUAUGAGGACUUCCGCAAGUUCAACCAGUACCAGUACCAGGCUGAAGUUCGCAUCUUUGAUCGGACGGUCACCUCCACCCACGACCUCCACACCUUCUACGGUGUUGGGUUGUCGAUCGAUAUGGUUGGCCAUGAUGCGGACUAUAUCACUAUGACCCACCUCCAUGGAUCGUACCCUUACUUGGAGGAGACUGAUACGUCCAUUUUGCAUCAUGCUUUUAUGUUGAUAUUUAUCGCAUUAUGGGCUGUUAUUACACUUCACGGUACAAUACUUAUGCCUUUUCUCUCUUAUUUUGCAAGGUUUACGUGAAGAGGGAGAAUGCCGACAGCUGGAAUUCUGGCCUGAAAAGGGAGCAAGUUUGAGAUACCUAUUCUGCGCAACUCCAAAAGCCGUGAUAAUCAACGAGGAAUUAUUUUGGAAUUUAUAAAAAAUACUGGGCGGAAGAAAUACCACAGGGGAGCCACCAGGAUGCCACAAGCCUGCUAGGCGCGGCCUACCCCCUGAUCGCGCCUAGGGGGCUUGUGGGCUCCCUGUUGGCCCUUUGGCUCCCCUCUUUUGCUAUAAGGAGGGUUUCGUUCGAGAAAAAAAAUCAAGAGGAGGCUUUCGGGAGGAAUCGCUGCCACCACGAGGCGGAACUUGAGCAGAACCAAUCUAGAGCUCCGGCACGGUCGUCUUGUCGGGGAAACUUCCCUCCCAGAGGGGGAAAUCGUCGCCAUCGUCAUCACCAACACUCCUCUCAUUGGAGAGGACUCAUCACCAUCAACAUCUUCAUAAGCACCAUCUCAUCUCCAAACCCUAGUUCAUCUCUUGUAACCAAUCUCCGUCUCGCGACUCUGAUUGGUACUUGUAAGGUUGCUAGUAGUGUUAAUUACUCUUUGUAGUUGAUGCUAGUUGGAUUACUUGGUGGAAGAUUAUAUGUUCAGAUCCUUGAUGCUAUUCAAUACCUCUCUGGUCAUGAACAUAAUUAUGCUUUGUGAGUAGUUACUUUUGUCCCUGAGGACAUGGGAUAAGUCAUGCUAUAAGUAGUCAUGUUAAUUUGGUAUUCGUUCGAUAUUUUGAUGCUUUGUCUGUUGUUUUUCCUCUAGUGGUGUUAUGUGAACAUCGACUACAUACCACUUCACCGUUAUUUGGGCCUAGAGGAAGGCAUUGGGAAGUAGUAAGUAGAUGAUGGGUUGCUAGAGUGACAGAAGCUUAAACCCUAGUUUAUGCGUUGCUUCGUAAGGGGCUGAUUUGGAUCCACUAGUUUAAUUCUAUGGUUAAACUUUGUCUUAAUUUUUUUUUCGUAGUUGCGGAUGCUUGCGAGAGGGGUUAAUCAUAAGUGGGAUGCUUGUCCAAGUAAGGGCAGCACCCAAGCACCGGUCCACCCACAUAUCAAACUAUCAAAGUAGCGAACGCGAAUCAUAUGAACAUGAUGAAAACUAGCUUGACAGAAAUUCUCAUGUGUCCUUGGGACCGCUUUACCUCCUAUAAGAGUUUGCCCAGGCUUGUCCCUUGCUACAAAAGGGAUUGGGCCAUCUUGCUGCACCUUUGUUACUAUUGUUACUUGCUACGAAUCACCUUAUCACACAACUAUCUGUUACCGACAAUUUCAGUGCUUGCAGAGAUUACCUUGCUGAAAACCACUUGUCACAUCCUUCUGCUCCUCGUUGGGUUCGACACUCUUACUUAUCGAAAGGACUACGAUAGAUCCCCUACACUUGUGGGUCAUCAAGACUCUUUUCUGCCGCUGUUGCCGGGGAGUGAAGAGCCUUUGGUAAGUGGAAUUUGGUAAGGAAACAUUUAUAUAGUGUGCUGAAAUUUAUUGUCACUUGUUACUAUGGAAACUAAUCCUUUGAGGAGCUUGUUCGGGGUAUCUUCACCUCGAACAGAAGCACAAGGAGUUGCUCCUCAACCUGUUGCACCUACUGAAAAUAUUUGCUAUGAAUUUCCUUCGGGUAUGCUUGAGAAACUGCUGGCUAGUCCUUUUACAGGAGAUGGAACAUCACAUCCCGACUUGCAUCUAAUCUAUGUAGAUGAAGUUUGUGGUUUAUUUAAUCUUGCAGGUUUGCCUGAGGAUGAGGUCAAGAAGAAGGUCUUUCCCUUAUCUUUGAGGUAUAAAGCAUUGACAUGGUAUAGCCUAUGUGAUGAUACUGGAUCAUGGAACUACAACCGAUAGAAAUUGGAAUUUCAUCAAAGGUUUUAUCCUAUGUAUUUGGUACAUCGUGAUCAGAAUUAUAUUUAUCUUUUUUUGCCUCAUGACAGAGAAAGUAUAGCUCAAGCUUGGGGGAGGCUUAAAUCAAUGUUAUAUUCAUGCCCCAACCAUGAGCUCUCGAGAGAAAUUAUCAUUCAGAACUUCUAUGCUCGGCUUUCUCAUGAUAAUCGCACCAUGCUUGACACUUCUUGUACCGGUUCUUUUAUGAAGAGAGAUAUUGACUUCAAAUGGAAUUUAUUGGAAAGAAUUAAACGCAACUCUGAAGAUUGGGAGUUUGAUGAAGGUAAGGAGUCAGGUAUGAAUUUCAAGUUUGAUUGCGUUAAAUCCUUUGUCGAAACAAAUACUUUUUGUGAUUUUAGCGCUAAAUAUGGACUUGACUCUGAGAUAGUAGCUUCAUUGUGUGAAUCAUUUUCUGCUCAUAUUGAUCUCCCUAAAGAGAAGUGGUUUAAAUAUCAUCCUCCCUUAGAAGUCAAUGUAGUUAAACCCAAUCCAGUUGAAGAGAAAGUCAUCGCUUAUAAUGAUCAUGUUGUUCCCAGUGCUUACAUUGAGAAACCACCUUUACCUGUUAGGAUAAAGGAUCAUUCUAAAGUUUCAACUGUGAUACGUAGGGGAUACAUUAGAACACCUACACCCCCUGAGCAAAUUAGAGUUGAACCUAGCAUUGCUAUUAUCAAAGAUCUCCUGUCCGACAAUGUUGAUGGCCAUGAUAUUCACUUCUGUGAAGAUGCUGCUAGAAUUGCUAAACCACAUGUUAGAGACAAACAUAGGCCUGUUGUUGGCACGCCUGUUGUUUCUGUUAAGAUAGGAGAUCAUUGUUAUCAUGCUUUAUGUGACGUGGGUGCUAGUGUUAGUGCAAUACCUCACUCCUUAUAUGAUGAAAUUAAAGACGAGAUUGCACCUGUUGAGAUGGAACCUAUUGAUGUCACUAUUGAGCUUGCCAAUAGAGAUACUAUCUGCCCUUUGGGAAUUGUUAGAGAUGUUGAAGUCUUGUGUGGUAAAACAAAGUAUCCUGCUGAUUUUCUCGUUCUUGCUACCACACAAGAUAGCUUUUGUCCCAUCAUAUUUGGUAGACCUUUCCUCAAUACUGUCAAUGCUCAUAUUUACUGUGAGAAGCAAACUGUCACUGUUGGCUUUGAAGGUGUGUCACAUGAGUUUAAUUUUUCCAAGUUUGGUAGACAACCUCAUGAAAAAGAGUUGCCUAGUAAGGAUGAAAUUAUUGCCCUAGCUUCUAUUGCUGUGCCUCCUACUGAUCCUUUAGAGCAAUACUUGCUUGAGCAUGAAAAUGAUAUGCAUAUGGAUGAAAGGAAUGAGAUAGAUAGAGUUAUCUUUGAACAACAUCCUAUCCUUCAGAAUAAUUUGCAUGUUGAACUGCUUGGAGAUCCACCCCCACCAAAGGGUGAUCCUGUGUUCGAGCUUAAACAGUUGCCUAAUACUCUUAAGUAUGCUCAUCUUGAUGAAAAAGAGAUAUAUCAUGUUAUUAUUAGUGCUAGCCUCUCAGAGCAUGAAGAGAAGAAGUUACUAAAAACUCUGAGGAAGCACCGUGCUGCUAUUGGAUAUACUCUUGAUGAUCUUAAGGGCAUUAGUCCCACUCUAUGCCAGCACAAGAUUAACACCGAUCCUGAUUCCAAACCAGUUGUCGAUCAUCAACAGAUAUUAAAUCCUAAGAUGAAAGUGGUAGUAAGAAAAUAAAUACUAAAGCUCCUGGAAGCAGGUAUUAUCUAUCCUGUUGGUCAUAGUGAUUGGGUAAGUCCGGUGCAUUGCGUCCCUAAGAAGGGAGGUAUUACCGUUGUCCCAAAUGAUAUGGAUGAAUUGAUCCCUCACAGGAUUAUUACUGGCUAUAGGAUGGUGAUUGAUUUUAGGAAAUUGAAUAAGGCCACUAGGAAGGAUCAUUACCCUUUGCCUUUUAUCGACCAAAUGCUAGAAAGACUAUCUAAACACACACACUUCUGCUUUCUAGAUGGUUAUUCUUGCUUCUCCCAAAUACUUGUUGCACAAUUUGAUCAGGAGAAAACCACUUUCACCUGCCCUUUCGGUACCUUUGCUUACAGACGUAUGCCUUUUGGCUUAUGUAAUGUACCUGCUACCUUCCAAAGAUGUAUGAUGGCUAUAUUCUAUGAUUUUUGUGAAAAGAUUGUUGAGGUUUUCAUGGAUGACUUCUCCGUUUACGUGUCUUCUUUUGAUGAUUGCCUCAGCAACCUUGAUCGAGUCUAGCAGAGAUGUAAAGAUACCAAUCUUGUCUUGAAUUGGGAGAAGUGCCACUUUAGGGUUAAUGAAGGCAUCGUCUUAGGACAUAAAAUUUCUGAAAGAGGUAUUGAAGUCGAUAAGGCUAAUGUUGAUGCGAUCGAUAAAAUGCCAUGCCCUACAGAUAUCAAAGGUAUAAGAAGUUUCCUUGGUCAUGUUGGUUUCUAUAGAAGGUUCAUUAAGGACUUCUCUAAGAUUUCAAGGCCUCUUACCAAUCUCUUGCAAAAGGAUAUUCCUUUUGUUUUUGACGAUGAUUGUGAGGAAGCCUUCGAAAUACUUAAAAAGGCCUUGAUAAUUGCGCCUAUUGUUCAACCACCUGAUUGGAACUUACCUUUUGAAAUCAUGUGUGAUGCUAGUGAUUAUGUUGUUGGCGCUGUUCUAGGACAAAGAGUUGAUAAGAAGUUCAAUGUUAUUCACUAUGCUAGUAAAACUCUAGACAGUGCCCAAAGAAACUAUGCUACUACUGAAAAGGAAUUUUUAGUAGUCGUGUUUGCAUGUGAAAAGUUCAGAUCUUACAUAGUUGGUUCCAAAGUCACUAUUCACACUGAUCACGCUGCUAUUAAGUACCUUAUGGAAAAGAAAUACGCUAAACCUAGACUUGUCAGAUGGGUUCUCUUGCUACAAGAAUUUGAUUUGCAUGUUGUCGAUAGGAAGGGUGCUGAGAACCCCGUAGCAGAUAACUUGUCUAGGUUGGAGAAUGUCCUUGAUGACCCACAACCUAUUGAUGAUAGCUUUCCUGAUGAGCAAUUGAAUGUCAUCGAUACUUCACGUAGUACACCGUGCUAUGCUGAUUAUGCAAAUUAUAUCAUUGCCAAAUAUAUACCACCUAGUUUCACAUACCAGCAAAAGAAGAAAUUCUUCUUUGAUUUGAGACAUUACUUUUGGGAUGAUCCUCACCUUUAUAAGUAAGGAGUAGAUGGUGUUAUUAGACGUUGUGUACCUGAACAUGAACAUGGACAGAUCCUACAGAAGUGUCACUCCGAGGCUUACGGAGGACACCAUGCGGGAGAUAGAACUUCACACAAGGUAUUGCAAUCAUGUUUCUAUUGGCCCACUCUCUUCAAGGAUGCCUGUAAGUUUGUCUUAUCUUGUGAGGAAUGUCAAAGAAUAAGUAAUAUCAAUAAACGUCAGGAAAUGUCUAUGAAUUAUUCACUUGUCAUUGGACCAUUUGAUGUUUGGGGUUUUGAUUAUAUGGGACCUUUUCCAAAAUCCAAUGGGUAUACUCAUAUCCUAGUUGCUGUUGAUUACGUUACUAAGUGGGUAGAAGCUAUCCCAACUAGUACUGCUGAUCACAACACCUCUAUCAGGAUGCUUAAAGAAGUUAUUUUCCCUAGAUUUGGAGUCGCUAGAUACCUAAUGUCUGAUGGUGGUUCACAUUUUAUUCAUGGUGCUUUCCGUAAAACGCUUGCUAAGUAUAAUGUCAACCAUAGAGUUGCAUCUCCCUAUCAUCCUCAGUCCAGUGGUCAAGUAGAGCUAAGUAAUAGAGAGAUUAAACUAAUUCUGCAAAAGAUGUCAAUAGAUCUAGAAAGAAUUGGUCUAAGAAGCUCGAUGAUGCACUGUGGGCUUAUAGAACUACUUAUAAGAAUCCCAUGUGCAUGUCUCCGUACAAAAUGGUUUACGGUAAAGCAUGUCAUUUACCUCUUGAGCUAGAGCAUAAGGCUUAUUGGGCAAUCAAAGAGCUCAACUUUGAUUUCAAACUUGCUGGUGAGAAGAGGUUAUUUGAUAUUCGCUCGCUUGAUGAAUGGAGAGCUCAGGCAUAUGAAAAUGCCAAGUUGUUUAAAGAAAAUGUUAAGAGGUGGCAUGAUAAAAGGAUACAAAAACGUGAGUUCAAUGUAGGUGAUUAUGUCUUGCUAUAUAAUUCUCGUUUAAGAUUUUUUGCACGCAAGCUUCUCUAUAAAUGGGAAGGUCCUUACAUUGUUGAGGAAGUAUAUCGUUCCAGUGCCAUCAAGAUCAACAACACGGAAGGUAAUUUUGUAAGAGUGGUAAAUGGGCAAAGAAUCAAGCAUUAUAUCUUAGGUACUCCCAUAAAUGUUGAAAGAAAUAUUAUCAAUACCAUAACUCCGGAAGAGUACAUAAGGGAUAUUUAUCAGCCUAUUUCAGACUCCGAAAACGAAGAGGUAUGUGAUUCGGUAAGUAAACCGACUCCAAAACUUUUCGAGUAGGAAUUUUUCUCCGUUUUGGAAUUUUUAGAAAAUUAGAAAAAUUUAAAGCAGUCCGGAAAGCACACGAGGAGGCGACAAGCCUGCCAGGCGCGGGCCACCCCCUGGCCGCGCCUGGGGGGCUUGUGACCACCUCGUGUGCCUCCCGGACUCUGUUUUCUUGCGGAGUACUCCUUCUGAUCGAAAAAAAUCAUUAUAUAUUCUCUCGAAAGGUCUGACCCUCGUAUCACGCAAAUUUCCUGUGUUUUCGUUUCGAGCUGUUGUGCAGACAAAUCUAGAUCGCUAUGGCGUCCCCAAAAGCUCCAAAGGACAAGUUCUUUGAGAAGGUCAUCAAUCCCUACCUCGUGGGAGUGCUGCAACACCCUCAAUCUAUCGAGAUGUGUGAGGGGGUGCUGCACAUCCGUGAUGUUGAGGGCCCCAAGAAGACCGGAAGCAUGGAGGGGAGUCUCGAAGAAAUGGAGCAACAAGUCUUCAAGUGCCAAGGGAUGGUGGAACACGGACUCAACGCCAACCACAUGAUGAUCACAGAGUUCACCAACAAGCACAAGAUCGAUGCCAAUGACAUCUGGAAACACCUCUCCAGGCUCUAUGAUAGAAUUGAUCACCUCCAAGCCCAGAUCUAUGACCCGCAGAACCAAAACUGUGAGUAUGAGUAUAGAUUUAAAUCAAUACGGUUGGCUGCAGAUUUGAGGAUUCCGGAGACUCGAACAUCUUUCCAUGAUGGAGCACCUAUGCCUUGGAAGACGGAGGAUCAAACCCAGGAUGCAAAAACUCCACCACCAUCACCUCCAAAGGAAGACAACUAAGCACGGGUAUGGGCAAUCCCCUUGGCUUGUGCCAAGAUUGGGGGAGUUGCCCCGGUAUCGUAUCACCAUCACAUCUUUUGCCUUUACCUUUUCUUAGUUCAAUCCUUUUUGGUUUUAUCUUUCUCUAGUAGAAUAAAGUUCUUAGUAUUUUAGGCUUGAGUUUUGCUUUGUGACACCCCCGAUGUAUUCGAGUUCGUGAGUCAUAUAAUAAAGAGUGUUUUAGUUAAGGGCCUUGCUUCAUGCCAUGAUCUAAUGAAAAGAAUGACAAAAGAACAAAAGCAUAAAAGAUCAUGUAAUGAUCUUAUGGGAAGUGAUGGCUCCACAUAUAAAAAGAAUGAUGAUUGAAACUUGUUGUGGGUGAAAAAAUGUAGACCUUGGUCAUUGCUGAAAUUAAUAGGAAGUAAUAAAGUAAGAGAGGUUCACAUAUAAAUAUAUCAUCUUGGGCACCAUCUAUGACUGUGAACACUCACUAAACUAUUGCAUGCUUAGAAGUAGAUGUUGGACAAGGAAGACAACAUAAUGAAUUGUGUUUGCUUGGUUCCGAACAAUGAUUAUAUGACUAGAGAUCCCUUAGCAUGUGACGAUUGCUUCCACCCCAUAUCAGCCAAAACUCCCGCACCAAGUAGAGAUACUACUUGUGCAUCCAUAAACCUUCAACCCAGUUUUGCCAUGAGAGUCCACCAUACCUACCUAUGGAUUGAAUAAGAUCCCUCAAGUAAGUUGUCAUCGGUGCAAGCAAUAAAAAUUGCUCCCUAAAUAUGCAUGUUCUAUUAGUGUGUGGAAAAUAAGCUUUGUACGAACCUACGAUGAGGAAGACAUAAAAGCGACAGACUGCAUAAUAAAGUUCUUUAUCACAGAAGGCAAUAUAAAGUGACGUUCCUUCACCCUAAGAGGACACACAUCCAAACCUCAAAAGCGCAUGAUAACCUCUGCUUCCCUCUGCGAAGGCCCUAUCUUCUACCUUUACUUGUUUCCCUUGAAAGAGUCAUGGUGAUCUACAUCAAUUCCUUAUUUUGCCUUUAUCUUGGUUAACGUCAUAUGCUAGGNNNNNNNNNNNNNNNNNNNNNNNNNNNNNNNNNNNNNNNNNNNNNNNNNNNGGAAAGAUCUAUAUUCACAUGUUAACUUGGAAGUAAGUAUUCAUGAAUUAUUAUUGUUGACAUUAUCCUUGAGGUAAAUAGUUGGAAGGCGAAACUAUAAGCCCCUAUCUUUCUCUGUGUCCGACUGAAACUUUGAUCUCAUGAGUACCACGUGAGUUGUAGCAAUUGUAGAAGACGAAAGGAUGAUUGAGUAUGUGGAUUUUCUUUACAAGCUCUUAUUUGACUCUUUCUGAUGUUAUGAUAAAUUGCAAUUGCUUCAAUGACUAAAGCCUAUUGGUUGUUAAUUCUCAAUAAGGUUCUUGAUCCAUACUUUACUUUGUGAAGGAAUUAUCACUUUAGCAUAAGAGAUUAUAUGAUGAUAUUGUUGUUCUAAUUAUGAUCAUGAUGCGUGCAUGUUCGUAUCUUGUUUUGUCGACACCUCUCUCUCUAAACAUGUGGGCAUAUUUAUUGAUCUCGGUUUCCGCUUGAGGACAAGCGAAGUCUAAGCUUGGGGGAGUUUAUACGUCCAUUUUGCAUCAUGCUUUUAUGUUGGUAUUUAUCGCUUUAUGGGGUGUUAUUACACUUCACGGUACAAUACUUAUGCCUUUUAUCUCUUAUUUUGCAAGGUUUACAUGAAGAGGGAGAAUGCCGGCAGCUGGAAUUCUGGCCUGAAAAGGGAGCAAGUUUGAGAUACCUAUUCUGCGCAACUCCAAAAGCCGUGAAAAUCAAUGAGGAAUUAUUUUAGAAUUUAUAAAAAAUACUGGGCGGAAGAAGUACCAGAGGGGAGCCACCAGGAGGCCACAAGCCUGCUAGGCGCGGCCUACCCCCUGGACGCACCUAGGGGGCUUGUGGGCUCCCUGUUGGCCCUCUAGCUCCCCUCUUUUGCUAUAAGGAGGGUUUCGUUCAAGGAAAAAUCAAGAGGAGGCUUUCGGGAGGAAUCGCCGCCGCCACGAGGCGGAACUUGAGCAGAACCAAUCUAGAGCUCCGGCAGGGUCGUCCUGCCGGGGAAACUUCCCUCCCGGAGGGGGAAAUCGUCGCCAUCGUCAUCACCAACACUCCUCUCAUCGGAGGGGACUCAUCACCAUCAACAUCUUCAUCAGCACCAUCUCAUCUCCAAACCCUAGUUCAUCUCUUGUAACCAAUCUCCAUCUCGCGACUCCGAUUGGUACUUGUAAGGUUGCUAGUAGUGUUAAUUACUCUUUGUAGUUGAUGCUAGUUGGAUUACUCGGUGGAAGAUUAUAUGUUCAGAUCCUUGAUGCUAUUCAAUACAUCUCUGGUCAUGAACAUAAUUAUGCUUUGUGAGUAGUUACUUUUGUUCCCGAGGACAUGGGAUAAGUCAUGCUAUAAGUAGUCAUGUGAAUUUGGUAUUCGUUCGAUAUUUUGAUGCGUUGUAUGUUGUUUUUCCUCUAGUGGUGUUAUGUGAACGUUGACUACAUAACACUUCACCAUUAUUGGGCCUAGAGAAAGGCAUUGGGAAGUAGUAAGUAGAUGAUGGGUUGCUAGAGUGACAGAAGCUUAAACCCUAGUUUAUGCGUUGCUUCGUAAGGGGCUGAUUUGGAUCCACUAGUUUAAUGCUAUGGUUAGACUUUGUCUUAAUUCUUCUUUCGUAGUUGCGGAUGCUUGCGAUAGGGGUUAAUUAUAAGUGGGGUGCUUGUCCAAGUAAGUACAGCACCCAAGCACCGGUCCACCCACAUAUCAAACUAUCAAAGUAGCAAACGCGAAUCAUAUGAACAUGAUGAAAACUAGCUUGACAGAAAUUCCCAUGUGUCCUCGGGAGUGCUUUACCUCCUAUAAGAGUUUGUCCAGGCUUGUCCCUUGCUACAAAAGUUAUUGGGCCAUCUUGCUGCACCUUUGUUACUAUUGUUACUUGCUACUUGCUACAAAUCACCUUAUCACACAACUAUCUGUUACCAACAAUUUCAGUGCUUACAGAUAUUACCUUGCUGAAAACCACUUGUCAGAUCCUUGUGCUCCUCGUUGGGUUCGACACUCUUACUUAUCAAAAGGACUACGAUAGAUCCCCUAUACUUGUGGGUCAUCAGAGACCGCCUUCAGAUACAUCCCGUAUGUUCCUGCUGGGGAUGGGACUCGAUCUGAUCUGACUGCCUACGCUGCUCGCGUUCGGGAGCGCAACGAUCGGUCCUACGUUGCUGUCUGUACCCCUACGUGAGGCAUCCCUACGACCCACAGGUUUUGGUGUAGUACAUGGAGGCGCUGGAUCGUGCCUUCCGAGCUCAAACUAUGGAGAUGUACGCCACGUGUACCCGUCUUUACGACGCGUCGACACAAUUGCAGCCAUCAGUCGGUGCGAGGAUCCACCCUUCGUUCAUCCUUCACCCGUGCAGGACAGAGCUACCACCAGGUCUUGAGUGGCCUGCUGUUGGAGGCCAUACCCCUGCACUUGGACCUCUGCUCAUUUAUUCAAGGCGGUACGAGCACAUCAGUUGCCACGGGAUGCAGAAUCCCGCCCCUAGGUUCACUGUGGUAUGCUGAUUAUGCAAAUUACAUUGUUGCCAAAUAUAUACCACCUAGUUUCACAUACCAGCAAAAUCAGAAAUUCUUCUUUGAUUUGAGACAUUACUUUUGGGAUGAUCCUCACCUUUAUAAAGAAGGAUUAGAUGGUGUUAUUAGACGUUGUGUGCCUGAGCAUGAACGGGGACAGAUCCUACAAAAGUGUCACUCCGAGGCUUACGAAGGACACCAUGCGGGAGAUAGAACUGCACACAAGGUAUUGCAAUCCGGUUUCUAUUGGCCUACCCUCUUCAAGGAUGCCCGUAAGUUUAUCUUUUCUUGUGAUGAAUGUCAAAGAAUAGGUAACAUCAGUAAACGUCAGGAAAUGCCUAUGAAUUAUUCACUUGUCAUUGAACCAUUUGAUGUUUGGGGUUUUGAUUAUAUGGGACCUUUUCCAAAAUCCAACGGGUAUACUCAUAUCCUAGUUGCUGUUGAUUAUGUUACUAAGUGGGUAGAAGCUAUCCCAACUAGUAGUGCUGAUCACAACACCUUUAUUAGGAUGCUUAAAGAAGUUAUUUUCCCUAGAUUUGGAGUCCCUAGAUAUCUAAUGACUGAUGGUGGUUCACAUUUCAUUCAUGGUGCUUUCCGUAAAAUGCUUGCUAAGUAUGAUGUCAACCAUAGAAUUGCAUCGCCCUAUCAUCCUCAGUCGAGUGGUCAAGUAGAGCUAAGUAAUAGAGAGAUUGAACUAAUUUAGCAAAAGACUGUUAAUAGGUCUAGGAAGAAUUGGUCUAAGAAGCUUGAUGAUGCAUUGCGGGCUUAUAGAACUGCUUAUAAGAAUCCCAUGUGUUGGGGAUAUUAUCUACUGUGUGACCCGCCCUAGCUGGGCUGGGUCACCAAGCGGGCGACUCAUCUUUUGGCGAUUCAAGAUUUGGCCCUGUAGGCCCAGGAGUUGGAUGGCGGUUCAAGAUCCUCGUGGAGGAUCAAUCAUCAGGGAGUUAUCUAGUCUUGGAAAGCAUGAUGACUUAAAGAUAGAAAGAAUCAUGACUUGUAUGAUGGCGAGGACUCUUGUAAACCCUAAGGGCUCGACCUGUAUAUAAAGGCGAGUCCCAGGGAAGGAGAGGGCAGCUUAGAAAUCAUCGAAAGCUAGGUCAGGCGAGUUACGCCCUCCUUGUAACCGAAACAUCAUCAAUACAACACAAAGCAGGAUGUAGGCUUUUACCUCCUCACGAGGGGCCGAACCUGGGUAAAUCUGCGUCUUGCUCCCGUUCAACCCCUUUGAGUCACCACCAAGGUGCGAUGGCUCCAACACUAAGUCCUUUCACGAGGACAUCAGCCGUGACAAAACCACGACAGUUGGCGCCCACCAUGGGGCCUACGCACGGUGGAGUUGAGUUCUCAAAGGGAGCCCUACCAGGGUCAGGGAGCUACGCGGCUGGGCUCAUGACCCGGAGCCACCGCAGAAAGUACAACAUCAACAACUCGCUGUGGGGGCCCGAGGCCGAUUCAAUCGAAUCCGGCUAAAGAGUCCCCUUCGGCAAGAUCAACAUCUUUGUCGGCAUGGUUGGAUCGCCCGUGCCUGAGCUGGACAUCUCCACCGACAUCGUCGAGCUGGCCAGGUAUGUCCGCCCUAUCGCGAUGCCAAACCUGACACACCCGGUCUUCGUUGGCUUCACACAGGGAUCUGAUGAACCAGAGCAAUCGGCAACUCAGGAGACUAUGCCGGUCAACACUGAUGAUGAGUCAUCCAUGGGCGACACAGAUUCAAUUCAGUCUCUGCACGGGGGCUGCCUCGGAGACCUGUCACUGACAAUGGAUCCCGAGGUCCUCGACUGGACCCGCCAUCAAAUCGCCGUGUACAUGGCAGGGGCGACUCAGUCCUAGCAAAACCCUGCAGGUGACAAUGGGGCUGGCGAAACAUCCAAGAGCCCAGCUGCGAUCUUGGUGGACUUGGCGGCGGAGAUAACAAGGAUCAUGGCGACCCCUGUAAUGGCAGAAAACCAGGGCAUGAUAAAUGCCGAGUUGGCAAAGCUACGAGAUGAGAUGGCGAAGGUUCAGCGAGAUGCUGAAGCAGAAGCCGCCAGGAUUGAGACACGACAAGCUUAGAUCACCGCUGAGACAACCCGUUUGAACACCGAAAACUGGCGACUCGAGAGGCAUCAGCGCGCAUCCGACGCCGUUCAUCAGAGGAGGCACCAUGGACGUUUAUGUUGGAAAUAUGCCCUAGAGGCAAUAAUAAAUUAGUUAUUAUUAUAUUUCUUUGUUCAAGAUAAUCGUUUAUUAUCCAUGCUAUAAUUGUAUUGAUUGGAAACAUAGUGCAUGUGUGGAUACAUAGACAAAACACUGUCCCUAGUAAGCCUCUAGUUGACUAGCUCGUUGAUCAAAGAUGGUCAAGGUUUCCUAACCAUAGGCAAGUGUUGUCACUUGAUAACGGGAUCACAUCAUUAGGAGAAUCAUGUGAUGGACUAGACCCAAACUAAUAGACGUAGCAUGUUGAUCGUGUCAUUUUGUUGCUACUGUUUUCUGCAUGUCAAGUAUUUGUUCCUAUAACCAUGAGAUCAUAUAACUCACUGACACCGGAGGAAUGCUUUGUGUGUAUCAAACGUCGCAACGUAAAUGGGUGACUAUAAAGAUGCUCUACAGGUAUCUCCGAAGGUGUUCGUUGAGUUAGUAUGGAUAAAGACUGGGAUUUGUCACUCCGUAUGACGGAGAGGUAUCUCGGGGCCCACUCGGUAAUACAACAUCACACACAAGCCUUGCAANNNNNNNNNNNNNNNNNNNNNNNNNNNNNNNNNNNNNNNNNNNNNNNNNNNNNNNNNNNNNNNNNNNNNNNNNNNNNNNNNNNNNNNNNNNNNNNNNNNNNNNNNNNNNNNNNNNNNNNNNNNNNNNNNNNNNNNNNNNNNNNNNNNNNNNNNNNNNNNNNNNNNNNNNNNNNNNNNNNNNNNNNNNNNNNNNNNNNNNNNNNNNNNNNNNNNNNNNNNNNNNNNNNNNNNNNNNNNNNNNNNNNNNNNNNNNNNNNNNNNNNNNNNNNNNNNNNNNNNNNNNNNNNNNNNNNNNNNNNNNNNNNNNNNNNNNNNNNNNNNNNNNNNNNNNNNNNNNNNNNNNNNNNNNNNNNNNNNNNNNNNNNNNNNNNNNNNNNNNNNNNNNNNNNNNNNNNNNNNNNNNNNNNNNNNNNNNNNNNNNNNNNNNNNNNNNNNNNNNNNNNNNNNNNNNNNNNNNNNNNNNNNNNNNNNNNNNNNNNNNNNNNNNNNNNNNNNNNNNNNNNNNNNNNNNNNNNNNNNNNNNNNNNNNNNNNNNNNNNNNNNNNNNNNNNNNNNNNNNNNNNNNNNNNNNNNNNNNNNNNNNNNNNNNNNNNNNNNNNNNNNNNNNNNNNNNNNNNNNNNNNNNNNNNNNNNNNNNNNNNNNNNNNNNNNNNNNNNNNNNNNNNNNNNNNNNNNNNNNNNNNNNNNNNNNNNNNNNNNNNNNNNNNNNNNNNNNNNNNNNNNNNNNNNNNNNNNNNNNNNNNNNNNNNNNNNNNNNNNNNNNNNNNNNNNNNNNNNNNNNNNNNNNNNNNNNNNNNNNNNNNNNNNNNNNNNNNNNNNNNNNNNNNNNNNNNNNNNNNNNNNNNNNNNNNNNNNNNNNNNNNNNNNNNNNNNNNNNNNNNNNNNNNNNNNNNNNNNNNNNNNNNNNNNNNNNNNNNNNNNNNNNNNNNNNNNNNNNNNNNNNNNNNNNNNNNNNNNNNNNNNNNNNNNNNNNNNNNNNNNNNNNNNNNNNNNNNNNNNNNNNNNNNNNNNNNNNNNNNNNNNNNNNNNNNNNNNNNNNNNNNNNNNNNNNNNNNNGUAUUUUCUUGAUUCCGUGGUAUUGUUGGAUCGAAGCGGCUCGGACCGACAUUACUCGUACGCUUACGAGAGACUGGUUUCAUCGCUACGAGUAACUCCGUUGCUCAAAGAUGACCGGCGAGUGUCGGUUUCUCCAACUUGAGUUGAAUCGGAUUUGACCGAGGAGGUCCUUGGAUGAGGUUAAAUAGCAAUUCAUAUAUCUCCGUUGUGGUGUUUGCGUAAGUAAGAUGCGAUCCUACUAGAUACCCUUGGUCACCACGUAAAACAUGCAACAACAAAAUUAGAGGACGUCUAACUUGUUUUUGCAGGGUAUGAUUGUGAUGUGAUAUGGCCAAUGAUGUGAUGUGAUAUAUUGGAUGUAUGAGAUGAUCAUGUUGUAAUAGAAAUAUCGACUUGCACGUCGAUGGUACGGCAACCGGCAUAUGGCCAACGAUGUGAUGUGAUAUAUUGGAUGUAUGAUAUGAUCAUGUUGUAAUAGGAAAUAUCGACUUGCACGUCGAUGGUACGGCAACCGGCAGGAGCCAUAGGGUUGUCUUUAAACUAACGUUUGUGCUUGCAGAUGCGUUUACUAUAUUGCUAGGACGUAGCUUUAGUAGUAAUAGCAUGAGUAGCACGACAACCCCGAUGGCGACAUGUUGAUGGAGAUCAUGAUGAUGGAUAUCAUGGUGUGACGCCGGUGACAAGAAGAUCGUGCCGGUGCUUUGGUGAUGGAGAUCAAGAAGCACAUGAUGAUGGCCAUAUCAUGUCACUUAUGAAUUGCAUGUGAUGUUAAUCCUUUUAUGCACCUUAUUUUGCUUAGAACGACGGUAGCAUUAUGAGGUGAUCUCUCGCUAAAAUUUCAAGACAAAAUUGUGUUCUCCCCGACUGUGCACCGUUGCUACAGUUCGUCGUUUCGAGACACCACGUGAUGAUCGGGUGUGAUAGACUCAACGUUCACAUACAACGGGUGCAAAACAGUUGCACACGCGGAACACUCGGGUUAAGCUUGACGAGCCUAGCAUGUGCAGACAUGGCCUCGGAACACAUGAAUGCACCUUAUCUUGCUUAGAACGACAGUAGAAUUAUGAGGUGAUCUCUCACUAAAAUUUCAAGACGAAAUUGUGUUCUCCCGGACUGUGCACCAUUGCGACAGUUCUUCGUUUCGAGACACCACGUGAUGAUCGGGUGUGAUAGACUCAACGUUCACAUACAACGGGUGCAAAACAGUUGCACACGCGGAACACUCGGGUUAAGCUUGACGAGCCUAGCAUGUGCACACAUGGCCUCGGAACACAUGAGACCGAAAGAUCGAGCAUGAAUCGUAUAGUUGAUAUGAUUAGCAUAGAGAUGCUUACCACUGAAACUAUUCUCGACUCACGUGAUGAUCGGACUUGAGAUAGUGGAUUUGGAUCAUGUACCACUCAAAUGACUAGAGAGAUGUAAUUUUUGAGUGAGAGUUCUUAAGUAAUAUGAUUAAUUGAACUAAUUGUCAUGAACAUAGUCUAAUGGUCUUUGCGAAUUACGAUGUAGCUUGCGCUAUAGCUCUACUAUUUUUUAUAUGUUCCUAGAGAAAAUUUAGUUGAAAGUUGAUAGUAGCAAACUUUGCCGAGGAUUGUCCUCGUUGCUUUUUGAGUGGGAGUUCUUAAGUAAUAUGAUUAAUUGAACUAAUUGUCAUGAACAUAGUCUAAUGGUCUUUGCGAAUUACGAUGUAGCUUGCGCUAUAGCUCUACUAUUUUUUAUAUGUUCCUAGAGAAAAUUUAGUUGAAAGUUGAUAGUAGCAAACUUUGCCGAGGAUUGUCCUCGUUGCUGCGCAGAAGGCUUAUGUACUUAAUGCGCCACUCGGUGUGCUGCACCUCAAGCGUCNNNNNNNNNNNNNNNNNNNNNNNNNNNNNNNNNNNNNNNNNNNNGUCGUGUGUAGAUGUUGUGAACAUCUAACAUACACGUUUCUGAUGACUAGACGAUAGUUCAGUACAAAAUACUUAAUGACUUAGAAGCAAGGCGCCGAAGACGUUUUGAAACGUCACGGAACAUAAGAGAUGUUCUAAAGAGAUGAAAUUGUGAUUUCUUGCUUGUGCCCUUGUUAAGAGGUAUGAGACCUCCGACAAGAUUCUUUGUCCACGAGGUAAAGGAGAAAAGCUCAAUCGUUGAGCGUGUGCUCAGAUUAUGUGAGUACGACAAUCGCUUGAAUCAAGUGGGAGUUGAUCUUCCAGAUAAGAUAGUGAUGGUUCUCCAAAGUCACUGCCACCAAGCUGUGAGAGCUUCGUGAUGAACUAUAACAUAUCAAGGAUAGAUACAAUGAUCCUUGAGCGAUUCACGAUGUUUGACACUGCGAAAGUAGAAAUCAAGAAGGAGCAUCAAUAGUUGAUGGUUAGUAAAACCACUAAGUUUCGAGAAAGGCAAGGGCUAGAAGGAAUACUUCGUGAAACGGCAAAGCAGUUGCUGCACUAAUGAAGAGACCCCAGAUUAAACCCAAGCCCGAAACUAAGUGCUUCUGUUAUGAGGGGAACGGUCACUGAGGCGGAGCAACUCUAGAUACUUGGUAGAUAAGAAGGUUGGCAAAAGUCGAAAGAAGUAUAUUUGAUAUACAUGAUGUUGAUGUGUACUUUACUAGUACUCCUAGUAGCACGAGGGUAUUGGAUACCGGUUCGAUUGCUAAGUGAUUAGUAACACGAAAUGAAAGCUACGGCAUAAACGGAGACUAGCUAAAGGCGAGGUGACGAUACGUGUUGGAAGUGUUUCCAAGGUUGAUAUGAUCAAACGUCGCACGCUCCCUCUACCAUCGGGAUUGGUGUUAAACCGAAAUAAUUGUUAUUUGGUGCUUGCGUUAAGCAUGGACAUGAUUGGAUCGUGUUUAUUGCAAUACGAUUAUUCAUUUAAAGAGAAUAAUGGUUACUCUAUUUGCUUGAAUAAUCACCUUCAAUGGUUUACUGAAUCUCGAUCGUAGUGUUACACAUGUUCAUGAUAUUGGUGCCAAAAGAUACAAGGUAAUGAUGAUAGUACCACUUACUUGUGGCACUGCCGCUUGAGUCAUGUUGGUAUAAAUUGCAUGAAGAGGUUCCAUGUUGAUGGAUCUUUAUACUCACUUGAUUUUGAAUCACUAGUGACAUGCAAAUCAUACCACAUGAGCAAGGCCUUGUUUUCAUUGAGAUGAAACAAGAUAGUAACUUGUUGGAAGCGAUACAUUUUGAUGUAUGCAGUCCAAUGGGUGCUGAGGCACGCAGUGGAUAUCAUUAUGUUCUUACUUCAAUGACGAUUUGAGUAGAUACAAGAGUAUUUACUUAAUGAAUCACAAGUCUGAAAUAUUGAAAAGUUCAAUUCUGUUUCGGAGUGAAGUUCGUCGUAACAAGAGGAUAAACUGUCUACGAUAUGAUCAUAGAAAUGAAUAUCUGAGUUACGAGUUUUGGUACGCAGUUAAGACAAUGUGGAAAUUGUUUCGCAGUUCAUGCCACCUGGAACAUCAUGGUGUGAUGAUGUGUCUGAACGUCAUAGCCACGCACUAUUUGGUAUGGUGCAUGCUAUGAUGUCUCUUAUCGAAUUACCACUAUCGUUUAUGGGUUAUGCAUUAGAGACAACCGCAUUCACUUUAAAUAGGGCACCGCGUAUUUCCGUUGAGAUGACACAGUAUGGACCGAGGUUUAGAGAAAUCUAAACUGUCAUUUCUUGAAAGUCUGGGGCUUCGACACUUAUGUGAAAAAGUUUCAGUCUGAUAAGCUCGAACCCAAAGCGGAUAAAUGCAUCUUCAUAGGAUAUCCAAAACAGUUGGGUACAUCUCCUAUCUCAGAUCCAAAAGCAAAGUGUUUGUUUCUAGAAACGGAUCCUUUCUCGAGGAAAGGUUUCUCUCGAAAGAAUUGAGUGGGAGGGUGGUAGAACUUGAUGAGGUUAUUGAACCAUCACUUCAACCAGUGUGUGGCAGGGCGCGGGAAGUUGUUCCUGUGGCGCCUACACCAAUUGAAGUGAAAGCUGAUGAUGGUGAUCAUCGAGCAUCGGAUCAAGUUCCUACAAGCCUCGUAGGUUGACAAGGUCGCGUACAACUGCAGAGUGGUACGGUAACCCUGUCUUGGAGGUCAUGUUGUUGAGCAACAGUGAACCUACGAGUUAUGGAGAAAGCAAUGGUGGGCCCGGAUUCUGACAAAUGGCUGGAGGCCAUGAAAUCCGAGAGAGGAUCCAUGUAUGAAAACAAAGUGUAGACUUUGGAAGAACUACUUGAUGGUCAUAGGACUAUUGAGUAAAGAUGGAUCUUUAAAAGGAAGACAGACGAUGAUGGUGAUAAGUCACUAUUAAGAAAAGAUCGACUUGUCGCAAAGAUGUUUCCGACAAGAUCAAACAGUUGACUAUGAUGAGACUUUCUCACUCGUAGCGAUGCUAAAAGUCUGUUAGAAUUAUGUUAGUAGUUGCUGCAUUAUUUAUGAAAUAUUGCACAUAGGAUGUCAAAACAUUGUUUCCUUGACGGUUUCCUUGAGCAAACAUUGUAUGUGAUACAACCAGGAGGUUUUGUCGAUCCUAAGGAUACUAGCAAGUAUGCAAGCUCGAGCGAUCCUUCAAUGGACUGGUGCAAGCAUCUCGAAGUUGGAAUAUACACUUUGAUGAGAUGAUCAAAGAUUUUGGGUUUGUACAAGGUUUAUGAGAAACUUGCAUUUCCAAAGAAGUGAGUGGGAGCACUAUAGAACUUCUGAUAAGUAUAUGUGGUUGACAUAUUGUUGAUCAGAAAUAAUGUAGAAUUUCUGUGAAGCAUAAAAGGUUGUUUGAAAGGAGUUUUUUUCCAAAGGAAUACCUGGAUUGCUCUACUUGAACGUUGAGCAUCAAAGAUCUAUGGAGAUAGAUCGAAAGCGCUUAAUAGAAGUUUCAACAAGAUGCAUGCCUUGACAAGUUUUUGAAGGAAUUCGAAAUAGAUCAGCAAAGAAGGAGUUCUUGACUGUGUUGUAAGGUGUGAAUUUGAGUAAGACUCAAAACCCGACCACGACAGAAUAAAGAGAAUAGACGAAGGUCAUCUUCUAUGCCUUAGCCGUAGACUCUAAAGUAUGCCAUGCUGAGUACCGCACCUGAUGUGUGCCUUGACUCAAAGUCUGUUGAGAGGUGCAGAGAGUGAUCCAUGAUUGAAUCACUAGCAACGGUCAAAAUUUAUCCUUAGUAACUGACGGACUAAGGAAUUUUUUCUCGAUUAUGGAGGUGGUUAAAGGGUUACGUCGAUGCAAGCUUUGACACUAAUCCGAAUAACUAUGAGUAGUGAAACGGAUUCGUAUAGUAGAGUAGAUAUUUGGAGUAUUUCCGAAUAGCACAUAGUAGCAGCAUCUAUAAGAUGACAUAAAGAUUUGUAAAGAACACACGAAUCUGGAAGUUUCAGAACCGUUGACUAAAACCUCUCUCACGAGCAAGACGUGAUCAGACCCCAUAACUAUAUGGGUGUUGGAUUCGUUGGAAUCACAUGGUGAUGUGAACUAGAUUAUUGACUCUAGUGCAAGUGGGAGACUAUUGGACAUAUGCCCUAGAGGCAAUAAUAAAUUAAUUAUUAUUAUAUUUCUUUGUUCAUGAUAAUCGUUUAUUAUCCAUGCUAUAAUUGUAUUGAUUGGAAACACAGUGAAUGUGUGGAUACAUAGACAAAACACUGUCCCUAGUAAGCCUCUAGUUGACUAGUUUGUUGAUAAAAGAUGGUCAAGGUUUCCUGACCAUAGGCAAGUGUUGUCACUUGAUAACGGGAUCACAUCAUUAGGAGAAUCAUGUGAUGGACUAGACCCAAACUAAUAGACAUAGCAUGUUGAUCGUGUCAUUUUGUUGCUACUGUUUUCUGCGUGUCAAGUAUUUGUUCCUAUAACCAUGAGAUCAUAUAACUCACUGACACCGAAGGAAUGCUUUGUGUGUAUCAAACGUUGCAACGUAACUGGGUGACUAUAAAGAUGCUCUAUAGGUAUCUCCGAAGGUGUUCGUUGAGUUAGUAUGGAUCAAGACUGGGAUUUGUCACUCCGUAUGACGGAGAGGUAUCUCGGGGCCCACUCGGUAAUACAACAUCACACACAAGCCUUGCAAUCAAUGUGACUUAGUGUAAGUUGCGGGAUCUUGUAUUACGUAACGAGUAAAGAGACUUGCCGGUAAACGAGAUUGAAAUAGGUAUGCGGAUAAUGACGAUCGAAUCUCGGGCAAGUAACAUACCGAAGGACAAAGGGAAUGACAUACGGGAUUAUAUGAAUCCUUGGCACUGAGGUUCAAACGAUAAGAUCUUCGUAGAAUAUGUAGGAUCCAAUAUGGGCAUCCAGGUCCCGCUAUUGGAUAUUGACCGAGGAGUCACUCAGGUCAUGUCUACAUAGUUCUCGAACCCGCAGGGUCUGCACACUUAAGGUUCGACGUUGUUUUUAUGCAUAUUUGAGUUAUAUGGUUGGUUACCGAAUGUUGUUCGGAGUCCCGGAUGAGAUCACGGACGUCACGAGGGUUUCCGGAAUGGUCCGGAAACGAAGAUUGAUAUAUAGGAUGACCUCAUUUGAUUACCGGAAGGUUUUCGGAGUUACCGGGAAUGUACCGGGAAUGACGAAUGGGUUCCGGGGGUUCACCGGAGGGGGGCAACCCACUCCGGGAAAGCCCAUAGGUAUUUGGGGGGGUCACACCAGCCCUUAGUGGGCUGGUGGGACAGCCCACCAAAUCCUAUGCGCCAAGGAAGAAAAAUCAAAGAAAGAAAGAAAAAAGGAGGGGAAGUGGGAAGGGGGAAGGACUCCCUCCCACCAAACCAAGUAGGACUCGGUUUGGGGGGGGGAGAGUCCUCCCCCCUGGCUCGGCCGACCACUUGGGGUUCCCUUGGACCCCAAGGCAAGGUCCCCCUCCCUCCUCCUAUAUAUAUGGGGCUUUUAGGGCAGAUUUGAGACGACUUUCUCACGGCUGCCCGACCACAUACCUCCAUAGUUUUUCCUCUAGAUCGCGUUUCUGCGGAGCUCGGGCGGAGCCCUGCUGAGACGAGAUCAUCACCAACCUCCGGAGCGCCGUCACGCUGCCGGAGAACUCUUCUACCUCUCCGUCUCUCUUGCUGGAUCAAGAAGGCCGAGAUCAUCGUCGAGCUGUACGUGUGCUGAACGCGGAGGUGCCGUCCGUUCGGUACUAGAUCGUGGGACUGAUCGCGGGAUUGAUAGGAAUUUUUUUGUUUCCCAUGCGACGUUCCCCAACAGUUUACCCCCUGAUCUCAACCCUACCCAGCUUUUCGACACUCCACACACCCCCGGGGCAGGAAACGCUCCAGGAGGAGGGCCGGCUCAGCCACGAAACCCGCCGCUUUUCCAAACGCCUCAGGGCCACUUUUCCAACCCCGUGGACAACAUGCUCGCCGCAACUCGCCACUAAGAAUCCCUUCCAAUUUGUGGCAACACUCCGGCCGAAAUAGAAGCAAGAAACGCCAUUGAGAUGUUGAAGACGGCGGUGGUUCAAAACGCGCAAUUCUUGCACAGCCUCGAUCGGCUACACUCCACCCCCAAGCGAGCCGCACCAGAAGCCGGCCAGAGGACCAUCCCGCCAUAACCAGCGGGCCGCGACACCUGCCUCAGGUUAACCCGCCUAACCAUCGGGACCCGCCAGGCCGGGAUCACCCAGACAUUCAAACCUGCCCAGCGCCACUUAUUGGAGGCGGCACGCAAGUAGGGGUGCCAUGCUUGGUCCCUUCCCUUCGCAAUGAGCGGAUGCCGAAAGAUUUUAAAGGACCAAGGAAGGUGCCCAAUUACACCCCGGACCUUGAGCAGACGUCAUGGGUUGAGAGUUACGAAAUCGCCAUGGACAUGCUCGAUGUAAGUGAAGCGGUCUGUGCCAGGUACUUCACAAUGAUGCUCGAAGGGACGGCGCACACUUGGUUGAAAAACCUGCCACCCAACUCCAUCCAGACUUGGCCUGAACUGAAAGAACGUUUCGUCAAAAACUUACGGGGAACUUGCAAACGCCCAAUGACGAUAGUCGACUUACAGCACUGCAUUCAGCGCCCCGAUGAGUCGGCACACCACUGGACGCGGCGGGUCGCAGAAAUCAUCCACUCAUCGGACGGCAUCACGGCGGCUCAGGCUGUGUUGAUCCUGGAGCAAAACUGCCACUAUGAGCCCUUGGUGCAGAAGCUAGGGCGACUCAAGCGCAAGGUCCAGGAUAUGGGCGAAUUGAUGGACACCCUCACUCGGUACACCGAAGCGGACGAUACCAAAGAUCCAGGAGAGGACGGCAGCAAGGCCAACUCGCCGAGGAAAGGCGAGUCAUCCAAAAAUCACCCCCGGUUUCAGGGACACGCCCACCAUAAUCACAGCGAAAACAUCAACAGAAGGCAGCAGGAAGGGUCCACGGACUUCGUCGCCAACACCAAUGCUAAUAAUGGCAACCAGCGCUAGAAGAAGAGGGGUUACAGUGGCAAGAAGCCGCGCAAUUAUAAUGAGAUACUUAAGGGCCCCUGCCCACACCAUGCCAUGGCGGACGGACCGACGACUCACUCUUGGGAGGACUGUUACGUGAUGCAGGAAUUUUGGGCGGAGGCAAUCAAAAAGGGCCAAACCGGUGACCAGGGCGAACGACAGGAACAGUUCGGUGCACCUAACCAACGUCAGAACCCGUUCGGCGGCUUCCCCGAACCAGGGGCCCAGGGCGUCUCACAACCAAGCAGUGGCCAGUAUCCGGUGCAUAACCAACAGCGCUAUAACCCGCCCGGAGUGUUUCAACAGCCACCCCCGCAGGGGGCUUCGCAGGGGCAAAAUGAUCAUGGCGGGUUCCGUAGCAAUCCCAAACAAUUAAGCAGCGGGCAAUACCACGUGUUCACCACCAGUGCCUGCAAGCGAGAUAAGGAGGUGAAGCACCGAACGUAUAGUGUAUCUGAGCCGACACUCCCCAGGUACCUCCACUGGUCUGAGCAAACUAUCUCGUGGAGUAGGGAGGAUCACCCGCCCAGAAUCGACAACCCCGGCGACUUAGCAUUGGUCGUGGCCCCCCAAGUCAGAGGAUACACCUUAUCGAAGGUGCUUAUGGAUGAUGGCAGCAGCAUCAACAUUUUAUACUUCGACACCUUUUGAAGGAUGAACCUACUAGAGAAAGACCUAAUGCCGUCAACCACGGUAUUCCAAGGUAUCGUCCCAGGUAAGUCGGCAUACCCAAUUGGGCGGGUCAAACUCACUAUGGUUUUUGGUACAACAUCCAAUCACAGGAGCGAGUCACUUAUAUUUGAGGUGGUCAAGCUAAAGAGCCCUUAACACGCGUUGUUUGGGCGACCGGCUUGCACCCGUUUCAUGGCUCGCCCCUGCUAUGUUUACCUUAAACUCAAGAUGCCUGGUCCUAAGGGACCCAUCACGGUCGAUGGUGACAGGAGGAUAGCAAGGGAGUGUGAGGAAGGAGAUGCGGCUUACGCAGAAAUUGCUUGUGCUGCAGAAGAACUCAAGUAUCACCAAGCCAAUGUUGAUCCGGCAGAUAUGUCGCCCCUCAAGAAGCCAACAACAGAUGCUGAGCCGCCCCUCAAGUUCAAACCAACGGAUGACACUAAGAUGGUGGACUUCGUUCCUGGCGACUCAUCCAAGCAGUUUACUAUCGGGGUGGGUCUGGAUCCCAAAUAGGAAAGCGCGCUCAUUGAAUUCAUCCGUGAGAAUUGGGACAUCUUCGCAUGGAAAACUUCUGACAUGCCUGGUGUACCAAGAGAAUUCUCUGAGCACCACCUUAAUGUUGACCCUAAAGCAAAGCCGAUUCAACAAUAUCUUCGCAGGUUCGAUGAGGAGUGACGCAAGGCAAUCGGGGAAGAAGUCGCCCGUCUUUUGGCUGCCGGAUUCAUCGUAGAGGUCUUCCACCCCAAGUGGUUGGCUAACCCGGUCCUGGUGCUCAAGAAGAACGGCACUUUCCGCAUGUGCAUUGACUACACCGACCUCAACAGAGCUUGUCCAAAGGACCCUUUCGCCCUUCCCCGCAUUGAUCAAAUCAUUGAUUCAGUGGCGGGCUGCGAGCGUUUGUGUUUCUUUGACGCCUACUCCAGAUAUCAGCAAAUCACAGUGGCUAUGGGAAAUCAGGAGAAGACAGCUUUCAUAACCCCAUUUGGGGCUUUUUGCUAUGUGUCCAUGCCGUUCGGGCUCAAGAGCGCCGGGGCGACUUACGAGCGCUGCAUCGAAAACUGUCUCCGUGGCCAAAUCGGACGCAACGUCCACGCUUACGUUGAUGACAUUGUGGUUAAAACUUGUAAGAAGGAGACGCUCUUGGAGGAUCUCAAGGAAAAUUUUGACAAUCUGCGGGUGUAUCAGAUGAAGCUCAAUCCCACCAAAUGUGUCUUUGGCGUUCCCGCGGGAAAGUUGUUGGGUUUCUUGGUGUCCGAACGCGGCAUUGAGGCCAACCCGGACAAAAUUGAGGCAAUUACUUCGCUUCGGAAACCAGCGAAUAUCAAUCAAGUUCAACGCAUGGCAGGUCGUAUUGCGGCUUUAAGUCGCUUUAUAAGCCGCCUGGGGGAGAAAGCUAUUCCCCUCUAUCAGUUGCUUAAGAAAGCUGACCGUUUUGUUUGGACAGACGAGGCCAAUGAUGCUUUUGAAGCCCUGAAGCAGCAGCUGGUUAACCCGCCAGUUUUUGCCGCCCCGACUGAAAAGGAGCCCAUGCUUCUAUACAUCACGGCGAACUCCAAGGCGGUGAGCGUGGCAGUAGUUGUCGAACGGAAGGAAGAAGGAAAGGAAUAUCCGGUACAACGCCCGGUGUACUUCAUUAGCGAGGUGCUAACCCUCUCCAAACAACGUUACCCGCACUGGCAGAAGUUGGUUUAUGGGGUCUUUAUGGCGAGUCGGAAGCUCAAACACUAUUUCCAAGAGCAUCCCAUCACGGUGGUUAGCUCCGCCCCUCUUGGGGACAUCAUCCAGAACUGAGAAGCAACGGGGCAAAUUGCCAAAUGGGCCAUUGAACUUGGGCCGCACCACGUGCGGUACACCCCUCGUACGGCCAUCAAGGCCCUGGCAUUGGUCGACUUCAUCGAUGAUUGGACCGAAUUGCAGAUUUCGGAAGACAGGCGUGACCUCACUUACUGGACUAUUUAUUUUGAUGGGUCUAGGCAAUUGGAAGGCUCGGGGGCUAGCGUGGUGUUGAUUUCACCCCAGGGAGACAAGUUCUGUUAUGUUCUCCGACUCAUGUUCCCGUGCACCAACAACGCUGCUGAGUAUGAAGCCUUGCUUCAUGGUUUGCGACUCGCCAAGGAGGUGAACCUCACGCGCGUCAGAUGUCUUGUCGAUUCUGAUUUGGUGGCUCAACAAGUUUCAGGUACAUGGGAUUCCCGGGACCCCUUGAUGGCGGCUUACAGAAGGGCCGUGUCUGAUGUGGCGGGUCAUUUCCAUGGCUACCAAGUUGAUCAUAUCGACCGACGACUUAACGAAGCAGCUGAUGCCCUCUCACGCCUCGGCUCACAACGUAAGCCGGUCCCUCCUAAUGUUUUUCUGGAUAUUCUGCAUAAUCCUUCCACGAGGUUGCCCUGAGAAGAGGAGUUGGCGAUACCAGACCCUGAGUCCCAGCUGGUGGCGGUUCUCCGUGUUACGCCGGAUUGGACUCUUCCUUAUUUGGCGUACCUUACACGAGGCGAGUUGCCUCCGGAUGAGGUGUUGGCUCGCCAAAUCGUCCGUCGGAGCAAGUCCAUGGUCAUCAUCAACGACGAAUUAUAUAAGCGAAGUACCUCUCGGGGUAUUUCAAAGAUGCGUUUCUUUCGAUGAAGGGUGGCGUAAUUCUAAACGAGAUCCAUGCGGGAGAUUGUGGGCAUCACGCCGGGUCACGUUCCCUGGUCUCGAAGGCGUUCCGACAUGGAUUCUAUUGGUUGACGGCUCAUGCGAACGCGGAAGAGAUAGUUCGUUGAUGUGAUGGCUGUCAACGUUAUGGCCGACAGGCCCAUGUGCCGGCUCAGGAGCUGAGGAUGAUCCCUAUCACUUGGCCCUUCGCGGUCUGGGGGUUAGAUAUGGUUGGCCCCUUUAAAAUGUCAUCCAACAAAAAAAACUCAUCUGCUAGUGGCGGUUGAUAAAUUCACCAAGUGGGUCGAAGCAGAACCCGUCGGCAGCUGUGAUGCAGAAACGGCCGUCAAAUUCUUGAAAAAGUUGAUAUUCCGGUUUGGAUACCCACACAGUAUUAUCACUGAUAAUGGUACCAAUUUAUCACAAGGAGCGAUGCAGGAGUUUUGCAACUGCGAGCACAUCCGGCUUGAUAUAUCUGCGGUCGCUCAUCCACAAUCUAAUGGGCAGGCGGAACGGGAGAAUCAGGAAGUACUGCGAGGAAUCAAACCCCGACUCAUGGUUCCCUUGGAGCACACCCCGGGGUGUUGGGUUGAGGAGUUGCCUUCAGUAUUAUGGAGCAUCCGAACCACCCCAAACCGUUCUACGGGUUUUACCCCUUUCUUCCUGGUAUAUGGAGCAGAAGCCGUUCUUCCAAGUGACAUUAGGCAUGACUCGCCCAGAGUCGCUGCUUACGUGGAACAGGACAACGAGUUGGCACGUCAGGAUUCUUUGGAUGCUUUGGAGGAAGCACGCGAUCUGGCUACCUCCCGAUCGGCUAUUUAUCAGCAGGACUUGCGGCGUUAUCAUAGCCGCCGGGUCAAGAGCCGAGCUUUUCAGGAGGGCGACUUAGUGCUCCGUUUGAUCCAAGAUCGCACUGACAUGCAUAAGUUGUCACCACCAUGGGAAGGACCGUCGUCGUUAGCAAAAACCUUCGCAACGGGUCAUACUAUCUGGUGGAUCUUCGGCCUGAUCGGCCAACCACGGAGGCUGAGUCAACUCGCCCCUGGAACAUAGCCCACUUGCGGCGUUAUUACACUUGAGCUAUUGGCUCCAUUUUUUCUUCUCUCAUCUUUUGAAAAUUGUAAGUCUUUCAUUUAUAUAAAGCAAUAAAGUUGAUGCCCACGAAUUCUGGGUCUUUCCUGCCACUUCAUCUUAUUGAAAGCAUGGAUCUUUAUUGCUCUUCGACAAGUCGCCCAAGCAUGGACGCUAUCCAUACCAGAUAGCAUAAGUGGCCAUGCUGCGCUUAUUACAACACUGGGUAUCGAUAAGCCAAAGAGGAUCAAGUCGCUACAAGCGCGCGAUUCAAACAUGGGCGCCUUAUAUGAUUCUAUGGAUUAGACCGGCUUACUUGGGGGCUAUUAGCUCCCAAGUCGUUUUGUGGUAAGAGCAUAUACGCUUCUACAAUCCUAUGACCGGUCUUUCCCCUAAUCAUAGGUCACUUGGGGGCUUCCUCUCACUGAGAUUACCUUACUACCCAUUUGGCUAGCGAAAAAUUACCGCAUUACAAAUGGUUAUACUGGCCUGUGUGUUGGCCGAAUCGCCAUAUGGACCAAUGAACUCUUGGCGAGUUACUCCGCUCUAUGGACCCUGAACUCGCCUUGGUUAAAACAUGCAUGGUACCGGCUAGCGCCCCACAUGGAGAAUAGAGAAACCAUUGGUUCAUUGAACCUGCUUCACUGAAGCUUGACUCGUGCCUGAUCAGCCGGUCUAAAUACUUGAGCUUUUUUACACAAAAAAGUCUCCCUCGGGCAGCACUUGAGUUUAUCUAACUCGUCCUAUCCUGACGCGACUUGAACGAGCCGACGAAAUUCUUAUUUUCACCUUCCUCGCACUGCCACGAGGUUUCACAAAUUUUUAUAACUCUCCGGAUAUUUUUGAACCAGGCUCUUCUACAUAUAAUUCGCCAGAACACCUUGAGUCGGUUAUUAUUUAUCAUCCAUUACUCAUUGAGAUGGUCUGAUGUAUGUUUUUUAGCCCAACAGGUUGAUGAUCAGAAUCUCUACUGACAUGGCGGGUCAAGCGUCAUAAGGCGCCCCAGGGCGACACAAGGUUUUUAAAGAUCACAGAAAGGGAUUGUUUUCUACAAUAAACCUAUUACAUGGCUCGGAUGGCCAAUUCAGUAAACAUCUAUUCUGCUGGUGCCUCCGGAUCAGCUUGCCCUGAGCUCUGGCCGACUUCAAGUUGCAAGUCGCCCAACACCCAGUUGCACUUGGAUAGAGCGGCAAAUUCAUCUUCAUCAUUCAAGAAUNNNNNNNNNNNNNNNNNNNNNNNNNNNNNNNNNNNNNNNNNNNNNNNAAUGCCGAGAGAUCCGCCUCCAAAUCAAAAGGGUUUUUGCGCCGACGAGGAGUCAAGCUGGUUGUCACAAAGGUUGGCAGGUUUACUUUCUUAUUCUUGUCGUCAUAAGCAGCUUGGUACUUUGACAAAUCCAAGCUUGUUGCCAGCUGAGUCGCCGCCGAGCGUGAUUCUUUGACAACAUGGUAAUAAUCGUCUUGAGUAAAUUCUGACUCAUCGUCCUUGAGAUGUGGAAAGCCUGCUGCUACUUUUUCGGGUUUCAGUUCGGGAGCAUAUGCUAAACACCGACUCAAUGUAGUGAGCACCCCUUUCCGGGCGGCGGAUCGGGUUAGCUAACCUAUCUGAGGCGGAAGGGUAGAUAAGCAGCCAAGCAUCGUUUUGAUUGAUGUUAUGGGUUCCUUGGCGCCCAUCACUGCCUUCACAGUCAGCAUGCUUCCAGUAUACAGUUGCUCCGUCAAUGUGUAAAUCGCCUUUAACUUCAAGAUACAAUCGUCCUGAAGAUUGGCGGCUCUCGGACCUGUAUAAAGGACAAUAAUGGUCACUACUUUCUUCAUACUAAGUUUUUCUUUUUCAAAGUACAAGAUCAGAGAUUCCUUCUUACCAAAGAUAGCUUGUGCCAUGUUGGAGAUAUGUUGCUUUAAGCCGGCCAGCUCUUGCUGCAUGGUUUCUAGUUUUGUUUCAGCUUUUUCCGCUCGCUUUAGCGCGACGGCUUGAUCAGCUUGAGCCUUCUUGUUGGCGGCCUUCAGUUUUUCCAUCUCAGCUAGGAUCACCUGAUAUUUUUCUUCCGCUUUAGCACGCGCGUCUUGCUGGCCGGUGAAAAUUUUCUUUAAGUCGCUCAAUGUCGAGUCAGCUUGGGCAAGAGAUUCCUGUCAAACAUAUUAUCAAGGGACAAGUCUCACAAUUAUUGCAAGCAAUACCCCUGACACUUGGGGGCUAACGUAUAAUUUUUUAGACAAAAUUAUACCACAUCAAGACCCGGCUCAUCUUUCAAAAGAUGAGCCGGCCCUUGGGGGUUACAGGUCGAAAGUUUUUCUAACAUCAAGACCCGUCUCAUCUUUCAAAAGAUGACCCGUCCCUUGGGGGUUACAAGUCGAAAGUUUUUCUAACAUCAAGACCCGGCUCAUCUUUCAAAAGAUGACCCGGCCCUUGGGGGUUAUAGGUCGAAAGUUUUUCUAACGUCAAGACCGGGCUCAUCUUUCAAAAGAUGACCCCGCCCUUGGGGGUUACAGGUCGAAAUUUUUUCUAACAUCAAGACCCGGCUCAUCUUUCGAAAGAUGACCCGACCCUUGGGGGUUAAUGAGGAGGAUAUGCAUUAAGGCGUACCUCAUGUUUGUUCUUCAUCAUAAGGAGCAGAUUCUUCUCCAUCUCAUAACUUGACUACAGGCGACUUGCGAAGCCGGAGCAGAGCUCUUUAAAUUCAAGAUUCUCGUACUGAGAAAGUUUGGCCUAGGAAAUUUCAUGUCUAGUAGAAGGCUGGGAUGAUGUUGAUACAUGUUUCAAUAAGACUGCCGAAGCCGGCUUGGAGAAGCCAGUACCAGUGAUGAUUACAGCAUCCGGAUCUUCAGCCAUUUUCAAUGGACUUGGCGGGUUGGGCGUUUCCGUGCCUUCCUUGGUAGAACUUGGGAGGUCCGCCUGGUCAUUAGGUUUAUCCUUUGCCGGGUUAGCAUGAGCCGGUGCCGGUUUUUCUUUAGGCUCUGGAGCCGGAGUGGAAGUUGAUCCGCCAAUUUUCCUCUUCUUCGCUUGUGCUCUAAAAAGAGAAGGGGUUAUGCUUAAAAGCAAGCAUCAUCAUCAUCAGGGCAAAUGUAAGUAUUAUAAGGACCUACCCUUGAACGCGAAUCAUUAGCAGAAGGGCUGACAUCACUGAGUCGCCCGACGAAGGGGGAGAACUCUGCAAAAGUAAUAUCUCAAAAUAUGAGCAAGUUAUAAGUAUGAUCCAAAAGGAAGCAAAGGGGGACGUUGCUAAAGGAUACCUCAUUCUGCCGCUUCUUGGUAGGAGUUUUCGCUUGUAACCCGGACACCAAAUCUCCUGAGUGGCUCCGAGUCUUUCGAUGGAAAGCAUGUUGCGCCUUCUUCAAAAGGAAAUUAGGAUCCAGACAAGCAUUCGGGUGAGACAUGGGAACUUUCCCACAAACCCGCCUGGCCGGCUUAGGCGGAGAGAAGGUGAGUCGGAAGAAAUAGAAAUUACCUCUACACCGUUAUCUUGGCUUUCGUUAUCAUCAUUCUAUACGUAAGAGAUGUACAGAUAUAAGCACAAAUCAUAGCAACGGAUGUCAAGACAAAGAAGAUAGAAUUUUACCUCUGAAGACACGUCGCCGAUUUGGGAUUCGUCCACAUCGAACGAUUCGGUGAUGGAGGCUUUGCUUUUACUCUUGGUUUUCUUUUUUGGAGGCGGCGUGGCUUGCUUCAGGGCCAUCUUCUUCAGCCUCUUGGACCAGAAUCGGUCGCCUUUCUGAAGUGGAAUUUUUAUUAUGCGAAUCAGAAUGCAAGUAAGUCGGAAAGAAUGAACCAAAGGCGGGUUAAAUUAUUUACCUUAGGAGCCGGGUUAAUCUUGCAGAAUGGUUAAGCCCUAUUUGGCUACACUUGGCCGUGGGCUCGCCGGUUAACUUCUUGAUAAUGGUCACAAUAUCAUCCUCUGUGAGUGCUGUGCGGAAGUAGCAUUGGGGAUGGUCCAAAGUGCCAUCAAACUCACACAUCAAGCCGUCUCGGCGACUCAAGGGACGGAUGCGCCAUUCCACCCAGCAGCGGAUCAGAUCAACCCCGGGGAGACCAUUGUUCGUUAGAGAUCGUAACUCGGAUAGCACCGGAAUAAAAUCCAACUCCUCUUCUUUGGUGAGCUUGUCUGGAAGUUUAAAGUUUGUAGGUAGGCGUUCCUUCCUAUAGCCGAGGAGUUUGUUUUCACCCGGAGGAGAAGUUUCCUGGCAAUAAAACCAAGACUCGCCCCAGCCUUUGGGAUGGCUUGGCAUGGCGAGUGAUGGGAAUGAGCUGUCCCUGCGACGUUGAACGUUGGCACCUCCAAGUUCUAAGCUAGGGCCAUUGGCAAACUCGGUCUGGCGAUUCAAAUGAAAGAAGUACCAGAACAAAGGGAUUGAAGGUUCGAUCCGCAAGUAGGCUUCACAGAAUACUUGGAACUGACAUAUGUUGCUAAUCGAGUUGGGGCCCAGGUCUUGGAGGCGGACGUUCAUGAAGGCCAUAGCAUCUCUGAGGAAUUUUGACCCUAGCGGCUUAAACCCCCGUUCGAGGUGCUCAGCAAAAACAACUAUUUCCCCUUCCUUCGGGUUGGGGAUUUCUUCGCCUAACCCGGAUCGCCAUCCGAUAACUUUUUCCGGGUCAAGAUUCCCCGUCUUCACGCAGUCGUUGAGGAAAGCGUCGUCAACUUUGGGCAGGAGCCAAUCGGCCUUGAAAACGGUACCCAUAGCUACAGAGGAAAAGGUCACGGAUAAAUUAACUCGCCGAACGCUUGCUGAGUGGCUAAGAGGAUCUAUUAACUCGCCGAACAUUUGUCAAGUGACUAAGGGAAUCUGUUGACUCGCCAAUAAGGGACCAGGUCUGGACACAAGGGCGACUUAGGAAUUUCCUAUUGUUUAGGGGAGACAAUUCAGAGCCUCAGAGAUGUUCAUUAAAAUGGUAAAGUGCGGAUCUAUAAACAGGUUUUUAUAUGGCAGGCAGUAAAAUAUAGAUCUACGAGCAGGUAAAAAUGAAUAGAAAAAAGCCUCGAUAAGGUGAAACAGCCUAUGGCUAGGGUAAAAACAGUGAGGUUGAUUUGACAGAAGCCUUUCUUAGUUCCUUGACAGGAGCUAAUCGAUUGAGAAUAUGGUCGAUAUUACCGCGCCUAUCACUAGUGCAAAUCAAUCAACAUAUAUGGAGGUAUUCGAGGUGCUCCAAGGAACCGGCGGAUGAUGAACACCGAAGAGCUAAGAUCUGCUUCUAAUGACGAAGGGCUGACCUGAUGAUGGGGUCCGGAGGCGAACGAGAGAGAUCUGCAGCGAGUGCUGCGUCCUUGGUCGGCCUGGAGACGUGUCGAACGCGGUGGCCGGAGAUGGAGUUUCCUCGGGCGGCGAUGGAGCUCUUGGUGCGGUUGCGAGGAAGAACAGACCAACGAAAUGGGUAGGUGGAGAUGUUCUCUGUCCCCUUUCCCGAGCCUAUUUAUUGGGUCGGGCGCUGGAAUCGAGGCGUCUCGCGCAGGAACUGAAGACACGAUAAAGAUUCGCCAUAAUAGCGCCAAGAUUUUCGGGAUAUAUGUGCCGAGAGAUCCGUUGGGGAUUGCGUCAUCAUUUUUUCCGAGAUCAAAGUGAUAAGAUGAUGUCAUCAAGAAACGGUUCGGCGACUUGGAUGUUUCCGCAAAAGGUGGCGGUUUAGACGUAUGAUAUAUAAAAAAAGUAGAAUGAGUCGCUCCUGCCUAGGUAAGAGUAUUGGCGUGAACAGGUUCAAGUCAAUCUGGGGCCUAAUGUUGGGGAUAUUAUCUGUUGUGUGACCCGCCCUAUCUGGGCCGGGUCACCAAGCGGGCAACUCGUCUUUUGGCGAUUCAAGAUUUGGCCCUGUAGGCCCAGGAGCUGGAUGGCGGUUCAAGAUCCUCGUGGAGGAUCAAUCAUCAGGGAGUUAUCUAGUCUUGGAAAGCACGGCGGCUUAGAGAUAGAAAGAAUCAUGACUUGUAUGAUGGCGAGGACUCUUGUAAACCCCAAGGGCUCGACUUGUAUAUAAAGGAGAGUCCCAGGGAAGGAGAGGGCAGGUUGGAAGUCAUCGAAAGCUAGGUCAGGCGAGUUACGCCCUCCUUGUAACCGAAACAUCAUCAAUACAACACAAAGCAGGACGUAGGCUUUUACCUCCUCACGAGGGGCCGAACCUGGGUAAAUCUGCGUCUCGCUCCCGUUCAACCCCUUUGAGUCGCCACCAAGGUGCGAUGGCUCCAACACUAAGUCCUUUCAUGAGGACAUCUUCCGUGACAAAACCACGACGCCAUGGGCAUGUCUCCGUACAAAAUGGUUUACGGUAGAGCAUGUCAUUUACCUCUUGAGCUAGAGCAUAAGGCUUAUUGGGCAAUCAAAGAGCUCAACUUUGAUUUCAAACUUGCUGGUGAGAAGCGAUUAUUUGACAUUAGCUCACUCGAUGAAUGGAGAACUCAGGCAUAUGAAAAUGCCAAGCUGUUCAAAGAAAAAGUUAAGAGGUGGCAUGAUAAAAGGAUACAGAAACGUGAGUUCAAUGUAGGUUAUUAUGUAUUGCUAUAUAAUUCCCGUUUAAGAUUUUUUGCAGGCAAGCUUCUCUAUAAAUGGGAAGGUCCUUACAUUGUUGAGGAAGUAUAUCGUUCCGGUGCCAUAAAGAUCAACAACACGGAAGGUAAUUUUCCAAGAGUUGUAAAUGGGCAAAGAAUCAAGCAUUAUAUCUUAGGUACUGAUAACCCACAAGUAUAGGGGAUCGCAACAGUUUUCGAGGGUAGAGUAUUCAACCCAAAUUUAUUGAUUCGACACAAGGGGAAGCCAAAGAAUAUUCUCAAGUAUUAGCAGUUGAGUUGUCGAUUCAACCACACCUGAAAGACUUAGUAUCUACAGAAAAGUAUCAGUAGCAGAGUAGUGUGAUAACAACAGUAGCAACGGUAACAGUAGCAGCAGUGGCAGCAGUAGCAACACAGUAACAGUAGCAGCAGCGAUAGCAGUAGCGACAAAGUAACGUAGCAAGGACUAGUAGGAAAACUUGUAGGCAUUGGAUCGGUGAUGGAUGAUUAUGCCGGAUGGUAUUCAUCAUGCAACAGUUAUAACACAGAGAGAUAUGUAACUAGCUCCAGUUCAUCAAUGUAAUGUAGGCUCUGUUUGAUCUUGUUGUUGCAACUAUGUCUAACUCAUAUCCAGAAUUUCUGCAAGAUCAUAAGUUAACCACAUAAGCAAAUGACAUCUAGGUCUCACGGUAAACUCAUAUCAAUGGCAUAAUCAACUAGCGUGCAAUAAUAAUAAGUUUCAAACGUCAACACUUCAAUCAAAACAAUCAUGAAGCAGUAUGAACAGGUGGUAUCUCGCUAGCUCUUUCUGAGACCGCAAAACAUAAAUGCAGAGCACCUUCAAAGACCAAGGGCUGACUAAACAUUGUAAUUCAGUCAUAGUCAUACUCAACAUCAGUCAAAAGAAAAGCAUAAAAAUGACAGAGGUGCUCUCUAAUUGGUGCUUUUAUAAGAACAGGAUGACUCAACAGGAACAUAAAUAGAUAGGCCCUUCACAGAGGGAUGCAUUGAUUUGCAGAGGUGCCAGAGCUCAAGCUUUUAAAACAGAGAUAAUAAUUUUGGGUGGCAUGCUUUCAUUGUCAACGCAAUGACCAAGAGUUUUCACCAUCUUCCACGCUACACAUGCUAUAGAUGGUUCCCAAACACAAAAGUAAAGUUUUGACUCCCCCACCACCGAUCAAUCACACUCCACGGCUAGCCGAAUACUCGGGUGCCGUCCAUACCAACAUCAAUCCAGGGGGAGUUUUGUUUGCAAUUAUCUUUUCGAUUUGAGUAUGGAACUGGCAUUCCAAUUACCGGCCCCUUUCUGAUGAAUGAUAGUGAAUAAACACAUAUCGAGGAUAACACGCCUAGCGUGGAAGAUACUGAUCGCCCCUUGUCACCACGUGAGCGGUUCGGGCAUGCAAAACAGAUUAUUUCUUGAAGAUUUAGAGAGUGGCACAUGCAAAUUUACUUGGAACGGAAGGUAGAUACCACAUAUAGGCAGGUAUGGUGGACUCAUAUGGAACAACUUUGGGGUUAUGGAAGUGGAUGCACAAGCAGUAUUCCGCUUAGUACAAGUGAAGGCUAGCAAAAGACUGGGAAGCGGCCAACUAGAGAGCGACAUCAGUCAUCAAAAUGCAUUGAGAUUAACCAAUGUUGAGUGCAAGCAUGAGUAGGACAUAAAUCACCAUGAACAUGAAUAUCAUAGAGGCGAUGUUGAUUUGUUUCAACUACAUGCGUGAACAUGCGCCAAGUCAAGCCACGUGAAUCAUUCAAAGGAGGAUACCAUCCUAUCAUACUACAUCAUAAGCAUCUCAAGAUUCAUAUUGGCAUCCAAGACAAACCAUUAUAAGCUCCUAGCUAAUUAAGCAUGGCAUCAGAAACUAUGAUCUCUAAGUUGUCAUUGCAAACAUAUUUCUCUCGCAACAAAGCUGAAUUGGGAAUGAUGAGCUAGUCAUAUUUACAAAAACAAAAUAGAUCGAGUUCAUACCAGCUUUUCCAGGCUCAGUCACUUCAUCAUAUAUCGUCAUUAUUGCCUUUCACUUGCACGACCGAAUGGUGUGAACAAUAAUAAGAGUGCUCAUGCAUUGGACUAAGCUGGAAUCUGCAAGCAAACACAAAGGAGAAGACAAAGUAAUAUGGCUCUUUGACAGAUAAACAUAUAUGCAUGCGAGAGCCACUAAACAUUGUAACCAUGGUCUUCUACCUUGAUCCAAAGAAAAAGAAAACUAUUUACACGGGAAAGCUCCCAACAAGCAAAAGAAGAACGAGAAAUAUUUUUGGGUUUUCUCAAAAUAGACAAACACACGAGAAGAAAGCGAGAAAAAGAAAUAAACUAGCAUGGAUGAUAUAGUGGCAAAGUGUGAACACCGACUAACAAAGUGAAAGUGUGAGCAAGAAUAUAAAGUCGGUGAGAAACACGUACUCCCCCAAGCUUAGGCUUUUGGCCUAAGUUGGUCUACUCCCAAGGAGGGAAAUAACCAGCUCCGGGGUACUCCGGAGUGUACUGAGGGUGCCACUGUUGUGUGAGCUCCUCUCGCUCCCACUGAUAAACUGACGUUUGGUACUCGACUGGUAGCUCGGUCACGGGCGCCUGUGGUGGUGCUAUGCCCCAAUAUGCGUAGAUGUCCGAGGGCAUAAUAAUGUACCUGCCUAGAUGAAGAUUGAACAAAGAAGGAGCAGGCAAAGUAAUAGUCUCACGAGUACCCUGACUAAAUACCAGGUUAUAAAUCAUCCUCCUAUUUAUAUCUCUAUGAAGAAAGUCAUGGCGAACCAUGCUAUCAUAAUCUAGAUAUCUCUCAGGAAGAAGAAUGUCUUCUUCCUCAUCCAGUCUAAUAGGUAUCUCAAAAUGUCUAGCAAGAUGAGUAGCAUAGAUACCUCCACAGACAACGCCUUUAGAACAGUUUGUGUUCAACCGUUGAGCUACUAUAGCGCCCAAGCUAUAAGUUUUAUCAUUAUAAAGGGCUUCGCGCAACACCGCAAGAUCUAGGGAGCUAAGGGCCCCAGCUUUCCCACGGCCAAUCAAACAUUUUGCCACAAAUAAUGAGAAGUAGCGAAGCACGGAAAAAAGUAUGCUAGCAGCUCUAGCGCAAGACACUCCUCUCUCCUCUCCGACAGCAAUAGUAUCUAUGUAAGCCUCCAAGUCUCGUGGACGAGGUUCAUGAAUAUCCCCAACAUAAGGUAAUUUGCAAACAUUGCAAAAAUCCUGAAGUGACAUGCGCUGGGGGAUAUCAUAUAACUUGAACUCAACCAUAGGAGGAUUCUUCCUUGGAUAGAAGUUAAAGCUUUGCACGAAAAUAUUAGUGAGGAGAAGGUAUUGCGGACACUUAUCUUCAACGAAGGCGGUAAGGCCUGCGUUCUCCACCAAGUAAUAAAAGUCCUCAUAAAGUCCGGCAGCGCAUAAGAACACAUCGCUUGGCCACUCGCACGCUCGAACUUCUACAACUCGGGGGACCGGAUACUUGGGUUUCUUCUUCUCAUGUUCAUCAUCCUUGGGGUCACGGCUUGAAGAGCCUCUUAAGAACCUCCUCAUCUUUUCAUUUUUCUAUCUCUGAAAAUUUCUGAAAUUUUUAGUGAUUCUAAGGAAAAGUGAACAGGGCUCAACGAAACUCAUAGCAACUACUCCGACAAGUGCCUAGAGGCCAUAUCACGCAUCAAAACUACUUGGGACCAGCUAAGAUUAGCAUGCAAAGCUCAAGAACAGGGUCAUCAAGGCAGCAAAAAUACGCGACGAAUAAGGCACUAGAGCAAAAACUAAUUGGACUAAUGGAGGAGUCACAUACCAAGGAGCAAUUUCCCCAAAACAGUUUGGUGAAUGGGGCUUUGCACAAGGAGAUCGAAAAUCGCAGCAAGAAGAGCAAGAACACGGGUUUGAGCUGCGAAACAAUUUUUUCUGGAGGUAGGAGAAGCAGAUGGGAGCUAGAAUAAGUGGAGGGGGGUACACGUGGGCCCCACAAGCCUGGUAGGCACGACCAGGGGGUGUCCGCGCCUCUAGGGCUUGUGGACCACUAGUGCAGCCCCCUGACUAGCUCUCCGUCUCAGAAUUUUUCAAAAAUGCAAGAAAAAAUCAUACUUGAUUUUCACGGCAUUCGGAGAACUUUUAUUUCUAGGGUAUUUUUCUAUGGGACGCUAAAAGCAGAAAACAGGAAAAACUAAAGCUAAAUCCAUUAUUUUUCUUCUAAGCAACCGAAGGUGAAAACUUGGGGCAGAGGGUUGUGACUCCUCGAUUCAUCCGUCUCAUGGUCAUCAAAAGAAAUCCGUCAAUGAGGUUGGUCAAGUCUCCUUGACAAACUUUUUCGAAUCGCAAAAGAAAACGGAGAAUUUUUGAAUAGUCACUAGGUUACCUCAAUGGGGAUGUGCAUAUCCCCAACAAGCAAAUCAUACUUCAUCUUAACAGUAGGUAUAGGGCAUUCGAAGCUCCCAAUAAGAAUUGAUGAAGUUUUUUCGAUAGCAUUGAUGCAAUGUACUCGAUAUUGUUUCUUCGGAAAGUGCAUCGUAUGCUCAUUACCAUUGACAUGGAAAUUGACAUUGCCUUUGUUGCAAUCAAUAACAGCCUCUACAGUGUUUAAAAAGGGUCUUCCAAGGAUGAUCGCCAUGGCAUCAUCCUCGGGAAUAUCCAGAAUAACAAAGUCUGUUAAGAUAGUAACUUUAGAAACCACAAUAGGCACAUCCUCGCAAAUGCCGAUAGGGAAAGCAGUUCAUUUGUCGGCCAUUUGCAGAGAGAUUUUAGUGGGUGUCAACUUAUCCAGUUCAAGUCUACGAUAAAGAGGGAGAGGCAUAACACUAACACCGGCUCCAAGAUCGCAUAAAGCAGUUCUAACGUAGUUUCCUUUAAUGGAGUAAGGUAUAGUGGGCACUCCGGGAUCACCUAGUUUCUUAGGAGUUCCACCCUUGAAGGUGUAAUUAGCGAGCAUGGUGGAAAUCUCAACCUCAGAUAUCCUCCUCUUAUUAGUCACAAUAUCCUUCAUGUACUUGGCAUAGGGAGACAUUUUGAGCAUAUCUGUCAAACGCAUUUGCAGAAAGACAGGUCUAAUCAUUUCAACAAAUCGCUCAAAAUCAUCAUCAUCCUUUUCCUUGGAUGGUUUAGGAGGAAAGGGCAUGGGUUUCUGAACCCAUGGUUUCUUUACCAUGCUUCCUAGCAGCGAAGUCGUUCUUAUUGUAUCUCUUAUUCUUAGGCUGUGGGUUAUCAAGAUCAACAGGUUCAAUCUCCACAUCCUUAUCAUUGCGAGGUUGAGCAUCAACAUGAACAUCACUAUUGAUAUUAUCAUUAGGCUCAUGUUCAUCACCAGAUUGUGUUUCGACAUCAGAGACAAAGACAUCGUUUGGACUCUCGGGUGUAACAGCAACAGGGUUGCUAGCGUGCAAGUUCCUAUCAUCUUUCUUCUUCUUCUUAGGAUGACUAGGUGCAUCAGUGCUAACUCCUUGAGAAUCUUGUUCAAUUCUCUUAGGAUGACCCUCAGGAUACAAAGGUUCUUGGGUCAUUCUAUCGCCUCUAGUGACGACUCUCACGGAAUUUUCAUUCAACUCAUUGAGCAAGUCAUUCUGAGCCUUAAGUACUUGUUCUACUUGAGUAGUAACCAUAGAGGCAUGUUUACUCAAGAGCUUAAGAUCAUUGCCGUUUCUGUCCACACAAGCACUUAAAUGACUAACCAUACGAGCAUUCUGUUCCAAUUCUCUGCUAACAUAAUCAUUGAAACUUUUUGUUUGGCAACAAAGUUAUCAAAUUCAUCCAGACAUAAGCUAGCAGGUUUAUCAAAAGGAAUAUCACUCCCAAUGAAUGUACGAAGAGAAUUUACCUCUACUACCUGUAUCGGGUUAUCGAGACCAUGGAUCUCUUCGAUAGGUGGUAGAUUUUUGACAUCCUCAGAUUUAAUGCCUUUCUCUAUCAUAGAUUUCUUAGCUUCUUGCAUAUCUUCAGGACUGAGGAAUAUAAUACCUCUUUUCUUUGGAGUUGGCUUUGGAGGUGGUUCGGGAAUAGUCCAAGCAUUCUCAUUGCACAAGAUAUUAUUCAAUAGGAUCUCAGCUUGUUCUAUGGAUCGUUCCCUAAAAACACAGCCAGCACAACUAUCUAGGUGGUCUCUAGAAGCAUCGGUUAGUCCAUUAUAGAAGAUAUCAAGUAUUUCAUUCUUCUCAAGAGGGUGAUCAGGCAAAGCAUUCAGUAGCUGGACGAGCCUCCCCCAAGCUUGUGGGAGACUCUCUUCUUCAACUUGCACAAAGUUGUAUAUUUCCUUCAAGGCAGCUUGCUUCUUAUGGGCAGGGAAAUAUUUUUCAGAGAAGUAGUAGAUCAUAUCCUGGGGGCUACGCACACAACCAGGAUCAAGAGAAGUGAACCAAGUGUUAGCAUCAUCCUUUAGCGAGAAAGGAAACAACUUAAGGAUAUAGUAGUGGCGGAUCUUUUCCUCACUCGUGAAUUGGGAGGCUAUAUCGUGCAGUUUGGUAAGAUGGGCUACAACCGUUUCAGACUCAUAACCGCGAAAAGGAUGAUAUUCGACCAAAAUGAUUAACUCAGGGUCGACAGAGAAUUCAUAAUCCUUAUCGGUCACAAAGAUAGGCGAAGUAGCAAACUUCGGGUCGUAUUUCAUCCUAGCGUUCAAAGAUUUUUCUUUCCACGUGCGCAGUAAUUUCGCAACAUCAUAGCUAUCCUUACAAGCAAGAAAGUCCUCAGCUAUCUCUCCCUCCAUAACAUAACCCUCAUGCAUAUCAGGCAAUUCAUAUCUAGGAGAGCUAUAUCUAACAUGCGAAAUAGCAGGUUCUACUUCAAUAAUCCCAGCAGUUUCAGAAAUAUCAUCACAUCUAGCAGCAACUCUAGCAAUUUGUGCAUCAAGGAAUGCACCUAGUGGCAAAGCAGUAUCAAGCAUAGCAUUAUCACAAGCAUCAUGGACAACAGAAGUAGCAUCAUCAAGCACAGGCGGCACAUCAAAAUUUCUAGUAGGAGGUGGUGUCGCAAACUUACUCAUAACUGAAGGUGAAUCAAGUGCAGAGCUAGAUGGCAGUUCCUUACCUGUCCUCGUAGUUGAGGGCAAGACUUUAGUUCUUGGAUCUUUCGGAUUCCUCAUAGUGAUCAGCAGACGUAAAUCCCAAGUGACUCAGAGAAUAUAGCUAUGCUUCCCUGGCAACGGCGCCAGAAAAAGUUCUUGAUAACCCACAAGUAUAGGGGAUCGCAACAGUUUUCGAGGGUAGAGUAUUCAACCCAAAUUUAUUGAUUUGACACAAGGGGAAGCCAAAGAAUAUUCUCAAGUAUUAGCAGUUGAGUUGUCAAUUCAACCACACCUUAAAGACUUAGUAUCUGCAGAAAAGUAUCAGUAGCAGAGUAGUGUGAUAGCAACAAUAGCAACGGUAACAGUAGCAGCAGUGGCAGCAGUAGCAACAGAGUAACAGUAGCAGUAGUGACAACAGUAGCGGCAAAAUAACGUAGCAAGGACCAGUAGGAAAAACUCAUAGGCAUUGGAUCGGUGAUGGAUGAUUAUGCCGGAUGGUAUUCGUCAUGCAACAAUUAUAACAAAAAGAGAUAUGUAACUAGCUCCAGUUCGUCAAUGUAAUGUAGGCAUGUAUUCCGUAUGUAGUCAUACGUGCUUAGGGAAAAGAACUUGCAUGAAAUCUAUUGUCCAUCCCUCCCGUGGCAGCGGGUACCUAAUGGAAACUACGGGAUAUUAAGGUUCUCCUUUUAAUAGAGAACCGGACCAACGCAUUAACACUUAGUGAAUACAUGAACUCCUCAUACUAUGGUCAUCUCCGGGAGUGGUUCCGGCUAUUGUCACUCCGGGGUUGCCGGGUCAUAACACAUAGUAGGUGACUAAAACUUGCAAGAUAGGAUCAACACCACACAUAUAUUGGCGACAACAUAAUACGUUCAAAUCUGAAAUCAUGGCACUCGGGCCCUAGUGACAAGCAUUAAGCAAGGCAAAGUAGUAGCAACAUCAAUCUCAGAACAUAGUGGAUACUAGGGAUCAAUCCCCGUCAAAACUAACUCGAUUACAUGAUAGAUCUCAUCCGACCCAUCACCGUCCAGCAAGCCUACGAUGAGAUUACUCAUGAACGGUGAAGAGCAUCAUGGUAUUGGCGAUGAAGGAAGGUUGGUGUUGACGAUGGCGACGAUCUCCCCUCUCCGGAGCCGAGAACGGACUCCAGAUCUGCCCUCCAGAGGAAGAACUGGAGGUGGCGGCACCUCCGUAUCGUAAAACGCGAUGAACUGUUCUCCUUUAUUUUUUCCGAACGAAAGGGACUAAAUAGAGCUGGAAUUGGAGGCGGUGGAGUUUCGUGGGCCCCACAAGCCUGCCAGGCGCGGCCAGGGGGGCCGCGCCUGGUGGGCUUGUGGGCUCCAUGCUCCAUUUCCUCGGUUGAUUCUUGCGCCAGUAUUUUUUAUAUAUUCCACAAAAAAUCCCCGUAAAUUUCCAGGUCAUUGGGAAAACUUUUAUUUCUGUGCAAAAACAACACCAUGGCAAUUCUGCUGAAAACAGCGUUAGUCCGGGUUAGUUCCAUUCAAAUCAUACAAAUUAGAGACCAAAACAAGGGAAAAAGUGUUUGGAAAAGUAGAUACGACGGAGACGUAUCAGGUACUCUCGUAAAUGUUGAAAGCAAUAUUAUUAAUACCAUAACUCCGGAGGAGUGCAUAAGGGAUAUUUAUCAGCCUGUUUCAGACUCCGAAAACGAAGAGGUAUGUGAUUCGGUAAGUAAACCGACUCCAAAACUUUUCGAAUAGCAAUUUUUCUCCAUUUUGAAAUUUUUGAAAAAUAGAAAAAAUUUAAAGUAGUCCGAAAAGUGCACGAGGAGGCGACAAGCCUGCCAGGCCCGGCCUACCCCCCUGGCCAGGCCUGGGUGGCUUGUGGGCAUCUCGUGUGCCUCCCGGACUCCGUUUCCUUGCGGAGUACUCCUUUUGGCCGGGAAAAAUUCAUUAUAUAUUUUCCUGGAAGGUCUGACCCUCGUAUCAUGCAAAUCUCCUAUGUUUUCAUUUCGAGCUUCUGUGCAGACAGAUCUAGAUCGCUAUGACAUCCCCAAAAGUUCCGAAGGACAAGUUCUUCGAGAAGGUCAUCAAUCCCUACCCCGCGGGAGUGCUGCAACAUCCUCAAUCUAUCAAGAUGCAUGAGGGGGUGCUGCACAUCCGUGAUGUUGAGGGGCCCAAGAAGACUGGAAGCGUGGAGGCGAGGCUCAAAGCAAUGGAGCAGCAAGUCUUCAAGUGCCAAGGGAUGGUGGAAUGCGGACUCAGCGCCAACCACAUGAUGAUCACGGAGUUCACCAACAAGCUUGGGGGAGUUGAUACGUCCAUUUUGCAUCAUGCUUUUAUGUUGAUAUUUAUCGCCUUAUGGGUUGUUAUUACGCUUCACGGUACAAUACUUAUGCCUUUUCUCUCUUAUUUUAUAAGAUUUACAUGAAGAGGGAGAAUGCCAGCAACUGGAAUUCUGGUCUGAAAAGGGAGCAAGUUUGAGAUACCUAUUCUGCGCAACUCCAAAAGCCGUGAAAAUCAACGAGGAAUUAUUUUGGAUUUUACGAAAAAUAUUGGGCGGAAGAAGUACCGGAGGGGAGCCACGAGGAGGCCACAAGCGUGCCAGGCCCGGCCUACCCCCCUGGUCGGGCUUGGGUGGCUUGUGGACCCCCUGUUGCCCCUCCGGCGCUCAUCUUUUGCUAUAUGGAGGGUUUCGUUCCAUAAAAAUCAGAAGGAGGAUUUCGGGAGGAGCCGCCACCGCCACGAGGCGGAACUUGAGCACAACCAAUCUAGAGCUCCGGCAGGGCCGUCCUGCUGGGGAAAUUUCCCUCUCGGAGGGGGAAAUCGUCGCCAUCGUCAUCACCAACAAUCCUCUCAUCGGAGGGGACUCAUCUCCAUCAACAUCUUCAUCAGCACCAUCUCAUCUCCAAACCCUAGUUCAUCUCUUGUAACCAAUCUCCGUCUCGCGACUCUGAUUGGUACUUGUAAGGUUGCUAGUAGUGUUAAUUACUCUUUGUAGUUGAUGCUAGUUGGAUUACUUGGUGGAAGAUUAUAUGUUCAGAUCUUUGAUGCUAUUCAAUACCUCUCUGGUCAUGAACAUAAUUAUUCUUUGUGAGUAGUCACUUUUGUUCCCGAGGACAUGGGAUAAGUCUUGCUAUAAGUAGUCAUGUGAAUUUGGUAUUCGUUCCAUAUUUUGAUGCGUUGUAUGUUGCUUUUCCUCUAGUGGUGUUAUGUUAACGUCAACUACAUAACACUCCACCAUUAUUUGGGCCUAGAGAAAGGCAUUGGGAAGUAAUAAGUAGAUGAUGGGUUGCUAGAGUGACAGAAGCUUAAACCCUAGUUUAUGCGUUGCUUCGUAAGGGGUUGAUUUGGAUCCACUAGUUUAAUGCUAUGGUUAGACCUUGUCUUAUUUCUUCUCUCGUAGUUGUGGAUGCUUGCGAGAGGGGUUAAUCAUAAGUGGGAUGUUUGUCCAAGUAAGGGCAGCACCUAAGCACCGGUCCACCCACAUAUCAAAUUAUCAAAGUAGCAAAGCAAAUCAUAUGAACUUGAUGAAAACUAGCUUGACAGAAAUUCCCAUGUGUCCUCGGGAGCGCUUUACCUCAUAUAAGAGUUUGUCCAGGCUUGUCCCUUGCUACAAAAGGGAUUGGGCCAUCUUGUUUCACCUUUGUUACUAUUGUCACUUGCUACUCGCUAUGAAUUAUCUUGUCACGCAACUAUGUGUUACCGAUAAUUUCAGUGCUUGCAGAGAAUACCUUGCUGAAAACCACUUGUCAGUUCCUUCUGCUCCUCAUUGGGUUCGACACUCUUACUUAUCAAAAGGACUACUAUAGAUCCCCUACACUUGUGGGUCAUCAACUACCUCUGGUAAAUUUUAGUAGGAUGGUUAGACUAGCUGGCCGCCCGCAUGGCCCCGCAAAUGAUCGACCACCCCCGCCUCCUGAAUAUAUGGCUGGGAUGAUCCAAUAGUUUGAACUAAACAUCCAGUUUAUGCAAGGCUCAUGGACCAGUUCCAAAUGCCGAACAUGAAUCACCAGCAAGGCGUGACCCUCCAAGACUUCUGCCACCUCAACCCUGAGAUCUAUCGCAGCUCAACUCAGCCCCUUGAUGCUGAUGACUGCCUCUGUGGCAUUGCUUAUGAGUUGGAGUCGCCAAUGUGCCCCUGGCGAGCUAUGUCAACUUUGCAGCUUACUUUCUGAAGGGUACCGUUGCUCAAUGGUGGGAUAGUCACAGGCGCUCUGAGCCUGCUGGAACUAUCAUCACUUGGACCGAGUUCAAGGCUGCCUACCGUGCUUGCUACAUUCCUCAGGGAAUCAUGGACCAGAAGAAGCAUGAGUUCCGCAACCUUGUCCACGGCAACAAAACUAUGGAUGCUUAUCAGUGGGAGUUUCUGGACUUAUCCCGCUAUGCUGAAGAAGACAUUGCAACUCAUGCUCGCAGACAGGAGAAAUUACGUGAUUGCCUCCACCCUGACAUCAAGCUGGCGCUCCUUGUUCAGGACUAUGCUGAUUUCGCCACCGUGGUGAACAAGGCCAUUCAGAUUGAGACUGGUCUACAAGAAUACAAGGAUAGCAGCAAGUGCAACCGUGACAUGGGCUCAUCUUUGGGAUCACUUUCUCAGAAGCGGAAGAUCUGGAUUCCACACAACAUGCACUAUGCACGUGCUCCUGCUCCAAGGCCGUCCUAUGUUGCACCUCGUCUGCCUCCUCCACCACCUAGAUAGUCGAGGCUUCCAGCUCCAACGCCUCGAGUUCCUCUUUCCUGUCUUAAGGAAGAGUUGUGCUUCAAGUGUGGAUGUCUAGGUCACCAUGCUAGAGACUGCAGGCAGAAUCCGAACCAGCUGGCACUUCCCUCAACUGGCAGUGGCAACAAUUAGAACCGCAACAACAAUGUGAAGCAUGCUUAUGUUCGUGGUUAGGCCAACAACAUUGAGAUGGGUCUGGCUCAGGACCAGCGUGCUACCGUGAUGGGUACACUUCUCGUGAACUCAAUAUCUGCUUCUAUAUUGUUUGAUACAGGAGUAUCACAUUCCUUUAUGUCAGAAAAUUUUGCAUACAUGCAUGACAUUAGAAGCGAAGAUAUGAACCUUCCGAUAGUGGUUUGCCCCAAUGUUCGUGUAGAAAUCGAAGGAUUGGAAUUCCUUGCCACUCCCAUUUUACUGAAGGCUUCUAACAUUGACCUUAUACUGGGAAUGGACUGGUUAAAGGCUCAUACGACUUCAAUUGUUUGUGCCACCAAAAUUGUCCACCUCCUACACCCUUAAAAAGAAUUAAUAAGCUAUCAUGCUCAUCUCGUCCAAGAUGUUGAGGCACGGCUAUAUGCCUUGAAUGCAUUAAAUGUGUCACCUCUUGAAGGGAUUGAAAACAUACCAAUUGUCCGGGAAUUCCAAGAUGUCUUUCCAGAAGAACUUCCGGGGAUUCCCAUGCUCGAGUUGUCGAGUUUGUCAUCGACUUGGUGCCCGGUACCACUCCUAUCGCCAAGCAUCCUUAUAAAAUGCCACCGCAUGAACUUCUUGAACUUAAGCAAUAAAUUGACAAUUAUCUUCGUCUGGGUUUCAUUCAUCCGAGUUCCUCUUCUUGGGGAGCACCUUCUCUCUUUGUUAAGAAGAAGGAUGGAACAAAUCGUUUGGUUCAAGACUACCGUCCUAUCAAUUAGGCCACUAUUCAAAACAAAUAUCCUCUUCCUCGGAUAAAUGAUCUGUAUGAUCAACUUGAUGGUUCCUGAGUCUUCUCUAAGAUCGACUUGAGGUUGGGAUACCACCAGAUCCGUGUUUGCAAAGAGGAUAUCCCAAAGACCGCCUUUGUUACUCGCUAUGGAUCAUACGAGUACACUGUCAUGUCCUUCAGCUUAACGAAUGCGUUGGCAACCUUCUCUCGAUUAAUGAAUUAUAUAUUCAUGGACUACCUCCAAAAAAUUGUCGUGGUAUAUCUACAUGAUAUUCUGGUAUAUUCGAAGAAUAAAUAAGAGCAUGUCGAACAUCUUUGUCUUGUACUGGAUAAGCUUCGGGAGCAUAAAUUCUAUGUGAAGUAUUCCAAAUGUGAGUUCUGGCUGGACGAAGUGACGUACCUUGGUCAUGUGAUCUCCAAAGAUGGUAUUAUGGUCAACCCCGAACGAGCCCAAGCUAUUCUUGACUAGACUCCCCCGAAGAAUGUCAAGCAAGUUAGAAGUUUUCUCGGACUCGCCAGCUAUUGUCGUCGAUUCGUCGAGAAUUUCUCCAAGAUUGCAAAGCCCUUAACCAAUCUACUUCACAAAGGCAUUAAGUAUGAGUGGACUGAUAAAUGUCAGGAAAGUUUCCAGGCUCUCAAGGACAAACUGACGUCCGCUCCGGUACUUGCUCCUCCGGAUACAAAAAGGGAUUUCGUCAUGUAUUGUGACGCUUCUCGUCAAGGAAUAGGGUGUAUCCUUAUGCAAGAUCGCAAAGUGAUUUCUUAUGCAUCACGUCAGCUGCAUGCUCAUGAAGAGAACUAUCUAGUUCAUGAUCUCGAGCUUGUUGCGGUUGUACAUUCACUAAAAGGGUGGCGACAAUACCUUCUCGGUAAUCGCUAUGAGAUCUACACCGAUCAUCAGAAUCUGAAGUAUCUGUUCACUCAGCCGAAUCUGAAUCCGUGUCAACAAAGAUGGAUGGAGCAUAAAGCAGAUUUUGACUGUGGUAUAUCGUGUACCCCCGACAAGGCUAGCAUAAUGGUUGAUGCCUUGAGUCGCAAGUAGUACUGCAACAAUCUCCACGUUCAUAAGGUUCAUGACAUCUUCAAGAGGAAUUUCGUAAGUUGAACCUCCAUAUUAUUCCUUAGAGUUACCUUGUUCCCCCUCCUGAAGAGUUUCGCAAGAUGAACCUCCGUGUUGUUAAUCAGGGAUCCCUCAGUAACCUGGUUGUUGAACCAGAUCUAGUGGGCAUCAUCAAGACUAUUCAACUCUGUGACGAUGAUGUAGAAAGAAUUAAGCGCUAUCUUGCAGAGGUUGAUGACCCACAAGUGUAGGGUAUAUAUCGUAGCCUUUUCAAUAAGUAAGAGUGUCGAACCCAACGAGGAGCAAAAGGUACUCACAAGUGAUCUUGAGCAAGGAAUAACUGCAAAUACUGGAAGGUAGCUUUUUAUGGGUUUUCUAGUAUAAGAAACAAGGAAAUAAAUGCAAGUAAACUAAAUCGUGCCAAGGUGCAGCAAGUGGCCCAAUCCUUUUGAACACAAAGGAUAAGCCGAGGGACUAAACUUAUAAAGACUAAGGCAUUCCUCGGGACACACGGGAAAGAUAGUCAAGUGCUUUCGCCAUAUUCCGUCUAGUACUAUGUUUUGUAUUGAUAAUUGUUAUGUGGGUGGACCUUUACUAGUGCACCAUCUAGGCUAAGACAAGUACACUCUUAUGAUUAAUCCCUCUUGCAAGAAUCCGAAAAUACAAGAGAGAAAUUAAGGAAAGGCCUAACCAUAACAAUAAGCUUUAGGAUCCAAUACUCCCUCAUGGAAAAGUAUGCAAACUAGGGUUUAGGUUUUUGUCACUCCGCAACCCACCAUAAGCAUUCUUUAUACAUGAUGCAUUCCCCUAGGUCCUUCAAGAGGCGAACUGUUAUGUAGUCGACGUUCACAUAACACCACUAGAAGAAUAACACCUUAACUUAAAUACCAAUCAACACAUAUUACUUCAACAUCAUAUGAGUACUAGCAUCUAGACUUUUCCCAUGUCCUCAAGAACUAAUGGAACAACUCACAAGACAUAAAAGAGAUCAUGAUCAUAGAUGAUCAAAUUAUGAUUAACAAUCUGGUCCUAACAAUAAUCCUCCAACAAAACUCAAUAGCAUUCACCACAAAAGAGUAAUCAACACCGAUAGAGUAGAGGGGGUGAAUAGUGGAAGGUACAACUCCGAUUGCAAUGGUGAGGUAGAUGGGAUGAAGGUGCAGAUGGUGCUGGUGUUGGUGAUGAUGGUGAUGAUGAUCUCGAUGAUGCCCGUGACGAUGGUGGUGACGAUGAGGAUGAUCUCCCCUUCCGGGAGGAGUUCUCCCCGGUGGAAUCUGCCCGCCGGAAAGGUCUUUUCUUCUAUGUAGGUUUCCGCCACGGAGCGACGGUGGAAACGCGAAAACUCUUCUGUCCCCAGAAUUUUUAGGUCAAGAGGGACAUAUAGGCCAAAGGGGAGUGCCAGAGGUUGGGCCCAUCACCCAGGCGGCCUCCUAGCACGGCCUAGGGGGUCACGCCAGCAAGUCGCCUGGGUGACCUGUGGCCCCCCUCCGACCCCUCUUUGGCCGGUCUUCGGGAUCCUUUCGGAAACUUCUUCCCUCCAGAUUUCAGCGGAACUGGAGAUGUUAUGAUAUUGAAACUCUUUGUGCUAUUUUCUCCACUGAAUCCCGCGUCUGCUGUUUUGGCACCGGAAAGCUAUAAAUUGUGUAAAAUAAGCCAAAACACUAUAAGUACAUCAUCAUAAAGUGAAAUAUAUCAAUGAAUAGAGAUACAUUAUGAUACAAAAUAGUGAUGCAUUUUGGACGUAUCAACUCCCCCAAGCUUAGACCUUGCUUGUCCCCGAGCGAAUACUGAGCUCGGUAAACCUGUCCACAAGUUUAGAGAGUGAAGUGUCAAUAAAUAAGAAUACAAACAAGAAGCAUCAUAAUUUCUCUACUAAACUCAACUAUCCUCAACAACAAUCUCAACUCAUAAGGCCCUUAUGAAAGAGUAAUAUCAAUUACAAUCAAAAUUAGAGCUAAGAAAACUCAUCAAACCAUGGCAAACAUGUCCUUGGUCAAAGAACAACUGAUAACUUUUAACCUUUUCUCUUCCUCUUAUGUUUUGAUGAGAUCAAGUGAAGCUUUUUGAAAGAACAUGUUAUUAGUCAAGAAGUGAAAAUGCUAACACAAAGGAAGAUGUUUGCUUUAGCUAGGCUUAACAAACAACUCACUUAUCUUAAUGAUAAGGUCAACAAAGGUGUCAUAUGGCAAAUCUCAAUGAAACAAUAUAAAUGCGUGCAUCUUUGUCAACAUAAAGUGUCUGCUCUUUUCAAGAUAGAAAGAAGUAGGUUUUACUGACUCAACAUAAAAGUAAAAGAUUGGCCCUUCGUAGAGGGAAGUAGGGAAAACUCAUGUGCUAGAGAUUUUAGGGAGUUUGAAAUCAACAAGAUUGUAAAACAAGCUUUUGAGAGGUGCAUAAUUUGUCAAGAAUGCUAGUAGAUAGCCCAAUACUUCUCAUGAUGGACAAUUUUUGAGGAACGGCUCCCAAAGUGGGGACGAUCACAUCCCCUUAGUCUCCGUUGUUUAUCACUACCAAAGUUUUCUGAUUUCUCAUCAACAAAGCAUGAAGGAGGUUUUAUUUGUUCUUAUUAUCUUCUACGAGCUGGGCACGCUCAUGGCAGUCCCUCCUCGUAUUAGCGGUUCGCAGAUCACAUGCAAACCCAAGAUAAAACUUGUCCAGUAUGAGAAGAUCAUGAAUUACCUACCACUUCCUCAUAGCUAAAGCAGAGGCACAAAACAGGGAGUAAUAUUUGAAGCUUUAAAUAUAGCACAUGAGUAAUAUACUUUAGGAGUGGCGGUGAAAUACCACAUAUAGGGAAGAUAUGGUGGACUCUAGGGAAGGUUGAGGUUUCAAGGUAUGGUUAGUGCAAGGGUUGGUUAGCAAAGGCUUUUAAGAGCAGACAAAUAAUGUUGACUUGGUUGCAAAACAAUAUAAAGUUUAACAUAAGGAAUUAGUAUAAAACAUCAAGUUGUCUUCCUUGUCAGCGUAACACUUCAAGCAUAAGAACAUAAAGGUUUUGGCUAUGUCGCUACUAGAAAAACUCAUGCUUGUUGUUAUGACCAAUGCUAUGUUUGCCAAGAUUAAAUAAAGUUUUCAAAGCCAUACCUGAUGUGUAAGAUCAAUACUCCCAUAAGAAUCAUCAUACAAGAUCCAUUGCAUGAAGAGAAUACCAAGUGCAACAAAGAAACCAAUAGACAUAUCAUUAAUAUUCCAUCAUAGACAUUGCAUGCUCACAGAUACAAUCUCUCCACAAAGGAGUGAUAGACCUCAAUGCAAACACCUAUUUCAUAAGAUAACUUCCCUAGACAUGAUACGACACUAAACUUGACCAAAAAUAAGUAAAGGAUAAAAAAUAAAGAUACCGCACACUCCCCCAAGCUUGGAACCAGCUAAGGGAAUACCGUUACCCAUGAAGAUUUUACUCUUCAUCCUUGUUCUUAUUCCUCAGGUAAUCCUUAGCGAAACGCUUCCAUGGCAGAGGUCCUCCCUCCACAUAGGAUUCUUCAGUCUCCAAGAUCCUGCUUUCGGCAGAGAAGCCUAUGCGCAAAAAAUUAAGUCCAUACUCAUAGUUCUGGUUUUGAAGGUCAUAGAUGCGCCCUUGAAGCUCGAACACCUUGGUUCCUAGUGCGGAUAUGGUUGAUCGCACUUAUUUCAUCUCCUCCUAUGUUCCCUCUUUAGCUCGGCGAUGAUAUCGUAGUUGGCCUCAACACCACGCUCGAUCAUCAACUUGUACUUGAAGACUUCUUACUCCACUUCUUCCAACCUGGCCUAGUGCUCCCCUCCUCGAUAGGUCCCUUCAAAUCUUCUUUGUGGAGGACACCAUCCUCCACCCAAAGUAUUUGAGGGUGUCUCUUUACCUCUGCGAGGUAAGGGUUGAUGACGUUGACGAGGAACUUGUCCUUGGUAGAUUUUGGGGAAGCCAUGGCACCUAAGUUUGCUGAAAGUUUUCCUGGCACAAACAGAUCGAAAAGAAAAUGCACGGAAUCGCAAGAUACAAAGCCGGGACGAUCCGGGAAAAUAUAUAGGAAAAAUUUCUGCACUGAAAGGAAGGUAACAAGCUAAAGUGGAGUCGAAGAUGGACUCCAAGUUGUCCAGGCGGUCUUGUGGCGCGGCCAAGGCCUAGCCCAUGCUAGCAGGUCGCAUGGACGACCUGGAGAUCUUCUCCGGCUCCGCUUCGGCUCGGAAUUUUCCUAAUUUUGCAAAAACACAUAAAACAGAACUUUUAUUGAUGUUCGCGAAGUUUCCUUAUCGUAUGUCAUACCUUUUCUUAUUCUGCUUCUAUCGGUGUCGGAUACAGUGUUGCAAUAUGUUCUUCAUGAGUGGCUACCUGUAUCACAUCCACCUCUACAUUGAUGGGGUCUCCAGCCAUGUAAUGCUUGAGUCUUUUCCCAUUCACAACAUGUGGUUUUGUGCCUUCAAAAUUAUUAAUCUUGAUUGCACCGGAGCGGUAGACUUCUUCGAUAUGGUACGGUCCUUCCCACUUGGAACAUAAUUUACCUAGAGAAAACCUGAAACGAGAUCUAUAAAACAAAACUUUGUCACCAACAUUAAAUUCACGUUUCAAAAUUCUCUUGUCGUGCCACUUCUUUACCUUUUCUUUAAACAUUUUUGCGCUCUCGUAAGCUUCACUUCUCAACUCAUCUAGAGAAGUCAAGUUCAUGAGACGCUUUUCACCAGCAAGCUUUGGAUCAACAUUAAGCUCUCUAACAACCAGAAAGCUUUGUGCUCUAAUUCUAGAGAUAAAUGGCAUGCCUUGCCAUAAACCAUCUUAUAUGGAGACAUCCCCAUGGGAUUUUUGUAAGCUGUUCUAUACGCCCACAAGGCAUCUCCUAGCUUAUUGGACCAGUCCUUUCUAGAACUGUUCACUGUCUUUUGCAAGAUCAACUUGAUCUCUCUAUUUGUGAGCUCAACUUGCCCACUUGUUUGAAGGUGGUAAGGUGAAGCAAUUCUAUGAUUAACAUCAUAUUUGGCUAGAGCUUUUCUAAAAGCACCGUGUGUAAAAUGUGAUCCUCCGUCGGUCAUGAGGUACCUAGGUACACCAAACCUAGGGAAGAUUACAUCCUUGAGCAUUUUCAAAGAUGUCUUGUGAUCAGCACUCCCAGUGGGGAUUGAUUCAACCCACUUGGUCACAUAAUCUACAGCUACUAAGAUGUGAGUGUACUUGUGUGAAGGAGGGAAAGGGCCCAUAAAAUCAAAACCCCGGCAAUCAAAGGGCUCAAUGACUAGCGAAUAAUUCAUAGGCAUCUCAUUCCUCCUACUAAUAUUACCAACUCUCUGGCACUUAUCAUACGAUAAAACGUAAUUUCUAGCAUCUUUAAAGAGAGUAGGCCAAUAAAAACCUGAUUGGAGAACCUUAUGUGCGGUCCUCUCACCGGCAUGAUGUCCUCCAUAAGGACUGCCAUGACAUUGUCUCAAAAUCUCCUUCUGCUCAUGCUCCGGUAUGCAUCUCCUCACAAUUCCAUCCGCACCUUCUCUAAAAAGAUGUGGGUCAUCCCAAAAGUAAUACCUCAAGUCGUGGAAGUACUUCUUCCGCUGCUGAAAUGUUAAACCUGGAGGCAAAAACUUUGCAACAAUAAAGUUAGCAUAAUCUGCAUACCAUGGAUCUGAAUUAGAUUUCACGUGUAAAACAGCUAAUUGAUCGUCGAGAAAACUAUCAUUGACCGGAAUAGGAUCAUGUGGUAUGUCCUCCAUCCUGGAAAGGUUGUCUGCUACAGGGUUGCCUGCUCCUUUCCUUUCAAUAAUCUGCAAAUCAAAGUCUUGAAGAAGAAAGACCCAUCUGAUAAACCUUGGUUUGGCAUCCUUCUUUUCCAUAAGAUACUUAAUAGCAGCAUGAUCAGUAUGAAUAAUAACUUUAGAAUCAACAACGUAAGGCCUAAACUUAUCACAAGCAAACACUACCACUAAAAAUUCUUUCUCAGUAGUAGCGUAAUUAUUUUGAGCAGUGUCAAGGGUUUUGCUAGCAUAAUUGAUAACAUUCAAUUUCUUAUCAACCCUUUGUCCUAACACAGCUCCAACAGCAAAAUUACUAGCAUCACACAUGAUUUGAAAAGGCAAAUUCCAAUCAGGUGGUUGGACUAUAGAGGCGGUUAUCAAGGCUUUGUUAAGAACUUCGAAUGCUUCCUUACAAUUUUCAUAAAACACACAAGGAAUAUCCUUCUCGAGAAGAUUAGUAAGGGGUUUUGAAGUUUUAGAAAAGUCUUUAAUAAAUCUCCUAUAAAAACCAGCAUGACCGAGGAAACUACGAAUACCUCUGAUGUCUUUUGGAUAAGGGAUUCUCUCGAUUGCUUCAACCUUUGCCCUAUCCACCUCGAUUCCUCUUUGUGAAAUCUUGUGGCCAAGAAAAAUUCCCUCAUUGACCAUGAAGUGGCACUUCUCCCAGUUGAGUACCAAGUUCGUCUCCUCACAUCUCUGCAAAACUUUAUUAAGGUUGUGGAUAUAAUGGUCAAAAUAGGUUCCAUAGACGGAGAAAUCGUCCAUGAAGACCUCCACAAUUUCCUCAGAAAAACCAUGAAAGAUAGCACGCAUACACCUUUGAAAAGUAGUAGGAGCAUUGCAUAAACCAAAAGGCUUAUGUCUAUAAGCAUGAGUACCAAAGGGACAAGUAAAAGUGGUCUUCUCUUGAUCAACAGUGUUAACAUGAAUUUGAGAGAAGCAAGAGUACCCAUCAAGAUAGCAAAAGUGAGUGUUUUUGGAUAACUUUCAAGCAUUUGGUUGAUGAAUGGCAGCGGGUCGUGGUCCUUCCUGGUUGCCUUGUUCAGCUUCCUAUACUCAAUACACAUUCUAUAUCCAAUAAUAAUUCUUUGAGGUAUUAGUUCAUUCUUCUCAUUAGGAACCACAGUCGUACCUCCGUUCUUGUGACACAAUGUACUGGACUUACCCACUUACUAUCAGCUAUAGGGUAGAUAAUACAUGAGGCUAGAAGUUUGAGGAUUUUGGUCCUCACAACAUCCUUCAUGUUCGGGUUUAACCAUCAUUGAUGAUCAACAACUAGUUUAGCAUCAGGCUCAAUAUUGAUAGUAUGUUGACAAAUAGAUGGGCUAAUCCCCUUAAGAUCAUCAUGGGUAUAACCAAUAGUGCCUCAGUGUUUACGAAGGACUUCCAACAAUCGCUCUUCUUCAUAUCCGGACAGGUUAAAACUGAUAAUGACAGGAUAUAUUUUCUUUUCGUCUAAAUAAGCAUACUUAAGCGUACUUGGAAGAGGUUUAAGAUCAAACAUAGGGUCUUCUUUUGGUUUCGAUAAAAUUCCCAAAGGUUCAACCAGAAGGUUGUGCUUCAGAUAGCAGGUUAUCUCAAGAAUAUAUCAUCUAGCUCAUUCCUUUCCUGCAUAUGCAUAUCAUUCUUUUGGUUUUCCAUAAAUUGUUGCAAAGAAUCGUUAGGAGGAAUAGCAAUAGAAGCAAUCUCUUCAAUAAUUUUAUCAUUACUAGGUAGAUCAGUACCACGAGUUUGCUUCGAGAAUUUAGAAAAGUUAAAUUCAUAUGGCUCACCAUUAAAUUCAACAGAUACUUUUCAUUUCCUGUAAUCUAUAAUAGCUCCACAAAUUUUGAGAAAAGGCCUACCAAAGAUAAUAGGGCAAAAAUUAUCUUGUAUUGAACCAAGUACUAGAAAGUCAGUAGGAUAUUUUACCUUUCCACAUAGAACUUCAACAUCUCACACAAUUCCAAUAGGAGGGAUAGUUUGUUUAUUUGCAAGCUGAAUUGUAACAUCAACUUCUUCAAUUUCACAUGGUAGAAUCUCAUUCAUGAUCUCUUGAUAAAGUGAAAAAGGAAUAGCACUAGCACUCGAUCCCAAAUCACAUAGCCCAAAAAUUAGUGGAGACAGCACACAAAUAUAUUCUUGGUUGUAACAAGGUUAGUGGAGACAACACAAAAAUUUAUCCUAUUUUAAUAGAUACAACUGGAGUACCUGAAAUUGGGCAUCUAUUCUUGGUUGUAACAAGGUUAGUGGAGACAACACAAAUAUUUAUAUUGGAAUCCUCAAUAUUAGUAGUAACAAGAUCCUUGACUAAUGUAACUUGAGGAUUGACUUUAAUCAGGCCCUCAUGCUCAUCAGUCGUUCUUUCACUUUUAUUCAGGAUGUCUGUGACAAAAGAAUGCUCCCUCAUCCUUGCGGGAAAAGGGGGCUUUUCAUAUUCAACUGCAGGCAAGAUAGGGUCAGCAACAUUAAUAUCAACACGUAAUUCCUUAAAGGGUUUAUGGUGUUGAUCCUCCUUCUCAGAAGAGUCAAUAUGAGAGGCAAAGUCUUUGGAAAAAUAAAUUAGAAGCUGGGAAUCAAGACCAAUCUUAGUGCAAAAGAUAUUGAAGUAAUCACAUAGCUCUCAAUGUAAUCACGUUCAUAAUGUAUAACGAGUUCAAUACCUUUAUCAAUCUCCCAGUCUUCAGUGUUCUUCUGGAUCCUUUCAAUAAGAUCCUAUUUAGCUUCAGUGCUUUUGUUGGAGAAUGCCCCACUAGAGGAAGCAUCAAGCAUCUCUUUAUCUUGACGAGAAAGCCUUGCAUAAAAAUUUGUAAGAACAAUUUCUUUGGAGAGCUCAUGAUUGGGACAUUUGGGCAUUAAGGAUUUCAAUCUCCCCCAGGCUUGAGCGAUGCUUUCUACGUCACGAGACCAAAAGUUAUAAAUAUAAUUCAUGUCUCGGUGUAUUUCAUGAAGAGGAUAAAACUUUGCGUAAAAGAGAGGCAUAAGAUCUUGCCAAUUUAGUAAAUGAGAGUCAUCAAGAAGCCUAUACCAAUCCAAAGCCUUAUAUUUUAAUGAUAGAGAGAAUAGUUUUCUCAUAAAAAACUCCAUCGAUAUACCUGCAAGCUUAAAUAAGGAGCAUAUUUGUGAAAGAUAUUGCAAGUGUUCACCUGGAUGUCUAUCUCCUUCAUAUCGAUUAUCCAAAACACAAUCAACAAUACCAGUUGGUAUUUUAAAAGGCACAAUUUCAGUAGGUGGGGGAGGCUUCUCCACCGCAAUAGCGUUGGAGCGGUUCCCCACAAGCAACAAACCAAGAGCAGAGUUGUCCAUAGGAACAAAAAGUGGAAACAGUAAAACAAAAACAGCACGUACAGUGUAAAGGUUCCGUACCAAUUUCACUUACCAAUAGCGUUACACUCCGUGGCAACGGCGCCAGAAAAUGGUCUUGAUGACUCACAAGUGUAGGGGGUCUAUCGUAGCCUUUUUGAUAAGUAAGAGUGUCGAACCCAACAAGGAGCAGAAGGUAUUGACAAGUGAUCUUGAGCAAGGAAACUUCAAAUACUAGAAGGUAGCUUUUUAUGGGUUUUCUAGUAUAAGCAACAAGGAAAUAAAUGCAAGUACAGUAAAUCUUGCCAAGGUGCAACAAGUGGCCCAAUCCUUUUGAACACAAAGGAUAAGCCGAGGGACUAAACUUAUAAAGACUAAGGCGUUCCUCGGGACACAUGGGAAAGAUAGUCAAGUGCUUCCUCCAUAUUCCGUCUAGUACUUUGUUUUGUAUUGAUAAGUGUGAUGUGGGUGGAUCUUUACUAGUGCACCGUUUAGGCUAAGACAAGUACACUCUUAUGAUUAAUCCCUCUUGCAAGCAUCCGCAAAUACAAGAGAGAAAUUAAGGCAAAACCUAACCAUAGCAACAAGCUUUAGGAUCCAAUACUCCCUCAUGCAAAAGUAUGCAAACUGGAUUUAGGUUUCUGUCACUCCGACAACCCACCAUAAGCAUUCUUUGUACACGAUGCAUUCCCCUAGGUCCUUAAAGAGGUGAUGUGUUAUGUAGUCGACGUUCACAUAACACCACUAGAAGAAUAACACCAUAACUUAAAUAUCAAUCAACACAUAUUACUUCAACAUCAUAUGACUACUAGCAUCUAGACUUUUCCCAUGUCCUCAAGAACUAAUGGAACUACUCACAAGACAUAAAAGAGAUCAUGAUCAGAGGUGAUGAAAAUAUGAUUAACAAUCUGGUCAUAACAAUAAUCCUCCAACAAAACUCAAUAGCAUUCACCACAAAAGAGUAAUCAACACCGGUAGAGUAGAGGGGAUGAAUAGUGCAAGGUACAACUCCGAUUGCAAUGGUGAGGUAGAUGGGAUGAAGGUCGAGAUGGUGCUGGUGUUGGUGAUGAUGGUGAUGAUGAUAUCGAUGAUGACCGUGAAGAUGGUGAUGGUGAUGAGGAAGAUCUCCCCUUCCCGGAGGAGUUCUCCCCGGCGGAAUCUGCCCGCCGGAAAGGUCUUUUCCUCUCUGUAGGUUUCCGCCGCUAAUCGCAAAAACUCUUCUGUCCCCAAAAGUUUUAGGUCAAGAGGGACAUAUAGGCCAAAGGGGAGUGCCGGAGGUUGGGCCCAUCACCCAGGCGGCUUCCUAGCGCGGCCUAGGAGGGUCGCGCUAGUAGGUCACCUGGGUGACCUGUGGCCCCCCUCCGGCCCCUCUUUGGCCUGUCUUCGGGAUCCUUUCAGAAACUUCUUCCCUCCAGAUUUCAGUGCAAUUGGAGAUGUUCUGAUAUUGUAACUCUUUGUGCUAUUUUCUCCACAGAAUCCUGCGUGUGCUGUUUCGGCACCGGAAAGUUGUAAAUUGUGUAAAAUAAGCUAGAACACUAUAAGUACAUCAUCAUAAAGUGAAAUAUAUCAAUGAAUAGAGAUAAAUUAUGAUACAAAAUAGUGAUGCAUUUUGGAUGUAUCAAGCGUAACCCUCUAGCUUCACUAUUGUUGAUUAUGGAGCCUUGUACUUCAAAGGUCGCCUAUUCGUCCCAAAUAAAAAGAAAACCUCACAAUGACUGGACGGGUGAUGAAAGAAGCUCAUGAUACCCCGAUGUCUAUACAUCCGAGUAGUAGAAAGAUGUACCAGGACAUCCGUGAUAGGUUCUCGUGGCCAAAUAUGAAACAAGAAAUUGCAGGCUAUGUUGCAGAAUGUGAUAUUUGUCGGCGAAUCAAAGCAGAAAAUCAAAGGCCUGCUGGAACUUUGCAACCUAUCUCUAUUCCUGAAUGGAAAUGGGACCAUGUUGAAAUGGACUUUGUCACUGGUUUUCCUAGAUCUCAGAAAGGUAAUGAUGUUAUUUUUGUCGUCAUUGACCGAUUGUCCAAAGUUGCACAUUUUUUGGCUGUCAAAGAAACAAUUAUUGCUAGUCAGCUGGUAGAUCUUUAUAAGUCCAGAAUUGUUUCACAUCACGGUAUUCCGUUGGUAAUUAGCUCGGGCCAUGGCAGCUUGUUCACUUCAAAAUUCUGGGAAAGUUUUCAGAAGGCUAUGGGGACUCAUCUAUCCUUCAGCACCGCAUUUCACCCUCAAUCCCAGGGAAAAGUUGAACGAGUCAACCAAAUUCUCGAAGACAUGCUUCAAGCUUGUGUCAUUUCUUUCGGUAAGAAAUGGGAGGAAUCUCUCCCGUGUGCUGAGUUCUCCUACAACAAUAGUUAUCAAGCUAGUCUGAAGAUGGCCCCUUUCGAAGUAUUGUAUGGACGAAGGUGUCGAACUCCUCUGAAUUGGUCAGAAACUGGGGAACAAUCACUCUUCGGUCUGGAUAUUAUCCAACAUCCUGAAGAUCAAGUCCACAUUAUUCAUGAGAAUCUGAAGGUUGUUAUGUCUCGUCAAAAAAGUGAGUAUGACUGUCAUCAUCAAGAUAUGGUCUAUCAACCUGGCGAAUAGGCUUAUCUUCGUGUCACACCAAUGAGAGGUGCACACUGUUUUGGGAUCAAGGGCAAGUUAGUUCCUCGCUAUAUUGGUCCUUUCACUAUUCUUGAAAGGCGUGGAAAAGUAGCUUAUCAAUUGGAACUGUCGGCGAACCUUUCUCACGUUCACGAUGUCUUCCAUGUGUCCCAACUGUGCCACUGCUUCAAAGACCAUGUUCGAGCAGUGGACCAUGAUAUGCUUGAGCUGCAACAAGACCUCUCGUAUAAAGAGUAUCCGAUCCGCAUUCUCGAUCAGACUGAAUGUCAGACUCGUCGCAAGGUCACCAAGUUCCUUAAGGUGCAGUGGUCAAAUCAUUCUGAAGAUGAAGCCACUUGGGAACGCGAGGAUCAUCUUCGUGAUGAAUACCCUAGGCUCUUUCCUUCUACUUCUUAAUUCUCAGGAUGAAAAUUCUUUUUAGUAGAGGAGAGUUGUGACGCCUUGGAUUUGUGCUACAGCAAUCUGUGUAAUUAAGCUACGGUAAUCCCAUGCUAAUGAUGCCAUGUCACCACGGUUACUGUUGUAUAUCUCGCGAUGAUUCAAUCCCGUGCGAAUUCGAAAUUCAGAAUUCAAACCAAGUCAAACGGCAAAAGUUUUCAAACAUACAAACUAAAAUGUAUGGGAUGCGAUAAAUAAUGCAUAAGUAAUUGAGUUGUGGGAAUCAACAUUUUUGGAACUAUUUAAAUUCACAGAACUAAAAGAAAACAAAAACAAGAACUUAUAAAAAAACCACCCCUAUUUGGGCCGGCCCGAGCGAGCCUAACCAGUCCCCCCAACCGGCCCAUCAUACCCCCUCGGUAUAAAAGACCCCCUCUCUCCCCCAAACCCUAAAUCUCACCUACCCCUCAUUUCCUCCCUUCCCAGAGCCACCAAGGGCUCGAGCCCACGCCUCAUCGCCGCCGCCGACACCCCCCACCGCUAGCCCUCGCCGGAGCCGGCCGCUUCCAUCGCCGGCCGCCCUCCUUCACUACGCCGGCUCCCUCAGACCUCCACAUUGACCCUCUGCCACCCCUGCUUCCGAGGGUGAGCACCACCAGGGGGCUCCUCCCCUUCCACCUCUCCUCCCCUCAGCUCCGGCGACCGGAUCCACUCCGGCCACCCCUCGCACCCAUGCCGCCCCUCCGGCGACCCCCCUCCUCCCCUUUUCCCCGUGUGCACCCCCACGACCGCAGCCGCCGACGCGACCGACCACCACCGGUCAUGGUUGUCACGCCCGCUGCGGACCCCUGACCCCCUUCGGUGCCCCGCGCCGUCCGUCACCUCAUAGCGUGCAUGCCGCUGCUCCCGUGUACGCUGCCGCUCCCCCGCCUACUCCCCGAGCCGUUGGCCCGUCCGACAUGUUGGAAAUAUGCCCUAGAGGCAAUAAUAAAUUAGUUAUUAUUAUAUUUCCUUGUUCAUAAUAAUCGUUUAUUAUCCAUGCUAGAAUUGUAUUGAUUCGAAACUCAAAUACAUGUGUGGAUACAUAGACAACACACUGUCCCUAGUGAGCCUCUAGUUGACUAGUUUGCUGAUCAAAGAUGGUCAAGGUUUCCUGACCAUACGCAAGUGUUGUCACUUCAUAACGGGAUCACAUCAUUAGGAGAAUCAUGUGAUGGACAAGACCCAAAUUAUAUACGUAGCAUAUUGACCGUGUCAUUUUAUUGCUAUUGUUUUCUGCGUGUCAAGUAUUUGUUCCUUUGACCAUGAGAUCAUAUAACUCACUGGCACCGAAGGAAUGCCUUGUGUGCAUCAAACGUCACAAUGUAACUGGGUGACUAUAAAGGUGCUCUACACGUAUCUCCGAAGGUGUCCGUUGACUUAGUAUGGAUCAAGACUGGGAUUUGUCACUCCGUGUGACAGAGAGGUAUCUCGGGGCCCACUCGGUAGUACAACAUCACACACAUGCCUUGAAAGCAAUGUGACUAAGUGUAAGUCAAGGAAUCUUGUAUUACAAAACGAUUAAAGAGACUUGCCGGUAACGAGAUUGAAAUAGGUAUGCGGAUAUCGACGAUUGAAUCUCGGGCAAGUAACAUACCAAAGGACAAAGGGAAUGACAUACGAUAUUAUAUGAAUCCUUGACACUGAGGUUCAACCGAUAAGAUCUUUCGAGAAUAUGUAGGAUCCAAUAUGGGCAUCCAGGUCCCGCUAUUGGAUAUUGACCGAAGAGUACCUCCGUGCAUGUCUACAUAGUUCUCGAACCCGCAGGGUCUGCACACUUAAGGUUCGACGAUGUUUUAGUAUAGUUGAGUUAUAUGUCUGGUUACUGAAUAUUGUUCGGAGUCCCAGAUGAGAUCACGGACGUCACGAGGUUUUUCGGAAUGGUCCAGAGAUGAAGAUUGAUAUAUAGGAUGACUUCAUUUGGUUACCGGAAAGUUUUCGGGCAUUACCGGGAAUGUACCAGGAGCGACGAAUGGGUUCCGGAAGUUCACCGGGAGGGGGCAACGCUCCCCGGGGAAGCCCAAAGGACUUAUGGGUGGAGCACCAGCCCCUAAGGGCUGGUGGGACAGCCCAAUAAGGCCUAUGCGCCAUAAGAGAAAAACCAAAGAAAGAAAAAAAAAGAAAAGGUGGGAAGGAAGAGAAGGACUCCACUUUCCAAUCCUAUUUUGAGAAGGAUUGGACGAGUCCUACUCCUCCUCUUGGCCGGUGCACCUUGGCGUCUUGGCCCUGAUACGUCUCCGUCGUAUCUACUUUUCCAAACUCUUUUGCCCUUGUUUUGGACUCUAAUUUGCAUGAUUUGAAUGGAACUAACCCGGACUAACGUUGUUUUCAGCAGAAUUGCCAUGGUGUUGUUUUUGCGCAGAAAUAAAAGUUCUCGGAAUGACCUGGAAAUUUACGGAGAAUUUUUGUGGAAUAUAUAAAAAAUACUGGCGCAAGAAUCAACGGAGGAAGUGGAGCGUGGAGCCCACAAGCCCACCAGGCAUGGCCCCCCUGGCCGCGCCUGGCAGGCUUGUGGAGCCCACGAAGCUCCACCGCCUCCAAUCUCAGCUCUAUUUAGUCUGUUUCGUCCGGAAAAAAUCAAGAAGAGUUCAUCGCGUUUUACCAUACGGAGGUGCCGCCACCUCCUGUUCUUCCUCUGGAGGGCAGAUCUGGAGUCCGUUCUGGUAUCCGGAGAGGGGAGAUCGUCGCCAUCGUCAUCACCAACCUUCCUUCAUCGCCAAUUCCAUGAUGCUCUUCACCGUUCGUGAGUAAUCUCAUUGUAGGCUUGCUGGACGGUGAUGGGUUGGAUGAGAUCUAUCAUGUAAUCGAGUUAGUUUUUACGGGGAUUGAUCCCUAGUAUCCACUAUGUUCUGAGAUUGAUGUUGCNNNNNNNNNNNNNNNNNNNNNNNNNNNNNNNNNNNNNNNNNNNNNNNNNNNNNNNNNNNNNNNNNNNNNNNNNNNNNNNNNNNNNNNNNNNNNNNNNNNNUAUGAGUAACAAAGAUUCUUCCCAAGUCCUAUGAUUUACACAACUAGCAUGGCUAAGCAUUACUAUUAAACUUGGACAUAUGAACCAUAUUUAUUUGCGACCACUACAUGGUUAGGAAGGAGGGGUAUUAAGAAAGUCAAAGGAGGGUGUCAAUAUCUUUUACAAGCUCGUCAAGAUCCCAAUCACCCAACUAAAUCCAAGCAAAACCACAUAAUCCAUCAUAAAAUUAUGUCAAAAUAUGACAAUCAACUAACUAAAUCCAUUUUUUUCCUAAUUAAAUUAAAUAUUUGUUUAUCCAUCAAUAUAAUAAUCCUCAUGCUUAUCUUGUAGACCAAAAAUCUCAUAAUCCACCAAACUUCCUCGACUAUCUUCUGAAGACACAAUCACCUAACUAGAUCCAACUAAAAUCUCAUAAAUCACCGAGAAAUUUGGCUCAAUGUCGCGAUCACCUAACUAAAUCCAAAUUGUUCAAAAUUAGUUAAUCCACCGAACAACUUUGACAUCUCCCCAAGAUCACAAUAUACUAACUAAAUCCAUUGAAAAUCUUGUAAUCCACCGCGAAAUUUGUUCAAGAUCACAAUUGCCUAACUACAUCCAGAUUGCUCCAUGUUACUAAAGAUCCAUUUAUCCACCAAUAUAAUAACCACUGUGGUCCCUUACUAGACCUAAAUUAGCAUAUUUCAUCAAUCAUCUCGGACUAUCUCUUUAGGAUCACAGACAUCUAACUGAAUUUAGCAUAUUUCAUCAAUCAUCUCGGACUAUCUCUUUAGGAUCACAGUCAUCUAACUGAAUCCAACAAAACCUCAAAAUCCCAUCAUGAAUUUGGUUGAAAAAAAACAAUCACCUAACUAAAUCAAAAUUGUUCCAAACUAAAUUAAAGAUCUGUUUAUCCACCAAUAUAAAAUCACCAUUCUCAUCUUCUAUAUCUAAAAUCCCAUAGUCAAGCAAACAUCUUUGACUAUAUUCUCAAGACAUAAUCAUCUAACUAAAUCCAUGUAAAAUCUCAUAAUCCAGCGUGAAAUNNNNNNNNNNNNNNNNNNNNNNNNNNNNNNNNNNNNNNNNNNNNNNNNNNNNNNNNNNNNNNNNNNNNNNNNNNNNNNNNNNNNNNNNNNNNNNNNNNNNAAUGCUGAGGAAAAUGCACCUGACCAAGACAAUGCAUUCGUCGUGCUCAACCCCGAGACUGCAAUUGUUGUCUCCCCUCCUGUUCCUCAGCAAAAUCUUCAGCCAGUUCAGCGUCAGCCAUUCUCCAAGCGUCCUAAGUUUCAGAAAGANNNNNNNNNNNNNNNNNNNNNNNNNNNNNNNNNNNNNNNNNNNNNNNNNNNNNNNNNNNNNNNNNNNNNNNNNNNNNNNNNNNNNNNNNNNNNNNNNNNNNNNNNNNNNNNNNNNNNNNNNNNNNNNNNNNNNNNNNNNNNNNNNNNNNNNNNNNNNNNNNNNNNNNNNNNNNNNNNNNNNNNNNNNNNNNNNNNNNNNNNNNNNNNNNNNNNNNNNNNNNNNNNNNNNNNNNNNNNNNNNNNNNNNNNNNNNNNAUGAUGCUGGUUUACUACCAAUGUGCUCCGACAUCUCUGACUGGAACAGCGAGCCAAUUCUUCAGUUCUAUGCCACUCUUCACAUAUCUCGCAACCCUGAAGACAUUAACACUUGGGUGUUUGAUUGGAUGACACAAAACACUCACCACAAGGCUCCUGCUACUGAACUCCUCCGUGAACUGCCUGUACCAAUUCCCUCAGAUGAGGCUGUGAAGCUUUAUGGUGAGCGUGAGCUGCCCAAUGGGAUGAUGGAAGUCCUCAUGAAGCCUUUGGCUGAAGGAAAACCUCCGAGAAAAACCUUCCUUGUCCACGAGCUCAAGUAUACACCCAGGCCUGUCUAUAGAAUCCUCUGCAGUGUGCUCGCGCCGAUCAAAGGCCAUGAUGAUGAAGAAGAUGUCGUAGGCCUCAUGAAGAAUAUCCACUUCAACAUCAUUCAUGGUAUUCCUAUCAACAUCCAUGAUUUCUUCUUGAGGACUUUGGCCGACAAUGCUAUGUGUCCUUUUGAUCACAAGAUAUAUGCUCCAUGGAUCAUGAGAUUCAUCAGGACAAGGACGGGUAUCAACUUCCACGCUGAUUUCCAAAACCAUGUUGGCUAUAUGCCUCCUAUCCGGGUNNNNNNNNNNNNNNNNNNNNNNNNNNNNNNNNNNNNNNNNNNNNNNNNNNNNNNNNNNNNNNNNNNNNNNNNNNNNNNNNNNNNNNNNNNNNNNNNNNNNGCGCACGAAGACCUAUCAUGGUGAUGUCCAUCUACGAGAGGGGAUUUCCGAUCUACGUACCCUUGUAGAUCGCACAGCAGAAGCGUUAAGAAACGCGGUUGAUGUAGUGGAACGUCCUCACGUCCCUCGAUCCACCCCGCGAACCGUCCCACGAACCGUCCCGCGACCCGUCCCACGAUCCGCUCCGAUCUAGUGCCGAACGGACGGCACCUCCGCGUUCAGCACACGUACAGCUCGACGAUGAUCUCAGCCUUCUUGAUCCAGCAAGAGAGACGGAGAGGUAGAUGAGUUCUCCGGCAGCGUGAUGGCGCUCCGGAGGUUGGUGGUGAUCUAAUCUCAGCAGGGCUCCGCCCGAGCUCUGCAGAAACGCGAUCUAGAGGAAAAACCGUGGAGGUAUGUGGUCGGGCUGUCGUGGCAAAAGUUGUCUCAAAUCAGCCCUAAUGCCUCAGUAUAUAUAGGAGGAGGGAGGGGAGGCUUGCCUUGAGGCUCAAGGAGCCCCAAGGACUGCGCCACCAAGGGAGGAGGAGUCCUCCUCCAAUCCUAGUCCAACUAGGAUUGGAAAGUGGAGUCCUCUCCUUUCCCACCUCUUCUUUUUUUUCUUUCUCUUUGAUUUUCUAUCCUUGGCGCAUAGGGCCUUCUUGGGCUGUCCCACCAGCCCACCAAGGGCUGGUGCGCCACCCCCAAGGCCUAUGGGCUUCCCUGGNNNNNNNNNNNNNNNNNNNNNNNNNNNNNNNNNNNNNNNNNNNNNNNNNNNNNNNNNNNNNNNNNNNNNNNNNNNNNNNNNNNNNNNNNNNNNNNNNNNNCGACGCUUGAGGUGCAGCACACCGAGUGGCGCAUUAAGUACAUAAGCCUUCUGCGCAGCAACGAGGACAAUCCUCGGCAAAGUUUGCUACUAUCAACUUUCAACUAAAUUUUCUCUAGGAACAUAUAAAAAAUAGUAGAGCUAUAGCGCAAGCUACAUCGUAAUUCGCAAAGACCAUUAGACUAUGUUCAUGACAAUUAGUUCAAUUAAUCAUAUUACUUAAGAACUCCCACUCAAAAAGUACAUCUCUCUAGUCAUUUGAGUGGUACAUGAUCCAAAUCCACUAUCUCAAGUCCGAUCAUCACGUGAGUCGAGAAUAGUUUCAGUGGUAAGCAUCUCUAUGCUAAUCAUAUCAACUAUACGAUUCAUGCUCGACCUUUCUGUCUCAUGUGUACCGAGGCCAUGUCUGGACAUUCUAGGCUCGUCAAGUUUAACACCAGUGUUCCACGUGUGCAACUGUUUUGCACCCGUUGUAUGUGAACGUUGAGUCUAUCACACCCUAUCAUCACUUGGUGUCUCGAAACGAAGAACUGUCGCAAUGGUGCACAGUCCGGGAGAACACAAUUUCGUCUUGAAAUUUUAGUGAGAGAUCACCUCAUAAUUCUACUGUCGUUCUAAGCAAGAUAAGGUGCAUAAAGGAUUAACAUCACAUGCAAUUCAUAAGUGACAUGAUAUGGCCAUCAUCAUGUGCUUCUUGAUCUCCAUCACCAAAGCACCGGCAUGAUCUUCUUGUCACCNNNNNNNNNNNNNNNNNNNNNNNNNNNNNNNNNNNNNNNNNNNNNNNNNNNNNNNNNNNNNNNNNNNNNNNNNNNNNNNNNNNNNNNNNNNNNNNNNNNNNNNNNNNNNNNNNNNNNNNNNNNNNNNNNNNNNNNNNNNNNNNNNNNNNNNNNNNNNNNNNNNNNNNNNNNNNNNNNNNNNNNNNNNNNNNNNNNNNNNNNNNNNNNNNNNNNNNNNNNNNNNNNNNNNNNNNNNNNNNNNNNNNNNNNNNNNNNNNNNNNNNNNNNNNNNNNNNNNNNNNNNNNNNNNNNNNNNNNNNNNNNNNNNNNNNNNNNNNNNNNNNNNNNNNNNNNNNNNNNNNNNNNNNNNNNNNNNNNNNNNNNNNNNNNNNNNNNNNNNNNNNNNNNNNNNNNNNNNNNNNNNNNNNNNNNNNNNNNNNNNNNNNNNNNNNNNNNNNNNNNNNNNNNNNNNNNNNNNNNNNNNNNNNNNNNNNNNNNNNNNNNNNNNNNNNNNNNNNNNNNNNNNNNNNNNNNNNNNNNNNNNNNNNNNNNNNNNNNNNNNNNNNNNNNNNNNNNNNNNNNNNNNNNNNNNNNNNNNNNNNNNNNNNNNNNNNNNNNNNNNNNNNNNNNNNNNNNNNNNNNNNNNNNNNNNNNNNNNNNNNNNNNNNNNNNNNNNNNNNNNNNNNNNNNNNNNNNNNNNNNNNNNNNNNNNNNNNNNNNNNNNNNNNNNNNNNNNNNNNNNNNNNNNNNNNNNNNNNNNNNNNNNNNNNNNNNNNNNNNNNNNNNNNNNNNNNNNNNNNNNNNNNNNNNNNNNNNNNNNNNNNNNNNNNNNNNNNNNNNNNNNNNNNNNNNNNNNNNNNNNNNNNNNNNNNNNNNNNNNNNNNNNNNNNNNNNNNNNNNNNNNNNNNNNNNNNNNNNNNNNNNNNNNNNNNNNNNNNNNNNNNNNNNNNNNNNNNNNNNNNNNNNNNNNNNNNNNNNNNNNNNNNNNNNNNNNNNNNNNNNNNNNNNNNNNNNNNNNNNNNNNNNNNNNNNNNNNNNNNNNNNNNNNNNNNNNNNNNNNNNNNNNNNNNNNNNNNNNNNNNNNNNNNNNNNNNNNNNNNNNNNNNNNNNNNNNNNNNNNNNNNNNNNNNNNNNNNNNNNNNNNNNNNNNNNNNNNNNNNNNNNNNUUUUUUUUCUCUUUGAUUUUUCUUCCAAUGCGCAUAGGGCUCUUUUGGGCUGUCCCACCAGCCCACUAAGGGCUGGUGCGCCACCCUCAAGGCCUAUGGCCUUCCCCGGGGUGGGUUGCCCCCCCCCCCCGGUGAACUCCCGGAACCCAUUCGUCAUUCCCGGUACAUUCCCGGUAACUCCGAAAACCUUCCGGUAAUCAAAUGAGGUCAUCCUAUAUAUCAAUCUUCGUUUCCGGACCAUUCCGGAAACCCUCGUGACGUCCGUGAUCUCAUCCGGGACUCCGAACAACAUUCGGUAACCAACCAUAUAACUCAAAUAUGCAUAAAAACAACGUCGAACCUUAAGUGUGCAGACCCUGCGGGUUCGAGAACUAUGUAGACAUGACCUGAGUGACUCCUCGGUCAAUAUCCAAUAGCGGGACCUGGAUGCCCAUAUUGGAUCCUACAUAUUCUACGAAGAUCUUAUCGUUUGAACCUCAGUGCCAAGGAUUCAUAUAAUCCCGUAUGUCAUUCCCUUUGUCCUUCGGUAUGUUACUUGCCCGAGAUUCGAUCGUCAGUAUCCGCAUACCUAUUUCAAUCUCGUUUACCGGCAAGUCUCUUUACUCGUUCCGUAAUACAAGAUCCCGCAACUUACACUAAGUCACAUUGCNNNNNNNNNNNNNNNNNNNNNNNNNNNNNNNNNNNNNNNNNNNNNNNNNNNNNNNNNNNNNNNNNNNNNNNNNNNNNNNNNNNNNNNNNNNNNNNNNNNNGGCUUGAUGUCCUUGUCCUGUUUGCGGUUUUGUGUCACACACUUGAUUAAGCAGUCCUUGUCCUGUUUGCGGUUUUGUGUCACGCACUUGAUUAAGCAUCCCACGUUCUCCUACUGUGCGCCCUUGGCCUUGACGAUAGGUAUCGCGUGUUCUCGGGCGCGUCCCGUGUAUAAAAUCCAGGUAUGCGCCAAUUGUCCUAGCUCUUGCUCGCCAUUGGUGGUGCUUGAGCGUGCGGUUACAGUGUCGACCAGGAAGGGAACACUGGAUGUGGGAUCAAGACAGCACACAUAGCAACCCGCCACCAGGCAACGGAUACACAUCCGGAUUUACAAGGAGCUCCAUAGGAGUCUCAAUAGUGUGCUCAUCAAAGCGGCAUGAGUAAGAAGAUCCUAGAUAUACUUCUCUUACGAAAUAAAGAAGACAUUAGAGAUAGAAAAAACCUCAAUCUCCAAGAAAGUAGCGACUUCUUUAGUAAACAUGGAACAAUUUGGAUUUAGUUAGGCGAUUGUGAUCUUGAACAAAUUGCAUGAUGGAUCACGAGAUUUUUCAAUGGAUUUAGAUGAAUGUGAUCUUGAG
rnacentral:lncRNA from 1 species